rnacentral:lncRNA from 1 species
AGUUAAUCAAACUCAAAUCAAUUUUCUUUCUUAACAAAAUAUUCCAAAGAUGUGUAGCAUUUUUCAGAUCACAUGCGAUGGUGCUUUUUUCAAUCGUUGCUUGGAUUGCUUUCUUGGAAAAGCAGCAUACAUACGUAACCUCCAAGAUAAUCUUGUAGCCUUGGACACUGAAUUGGGAAAUCUGAUCGCUAAAAAGAACGAUGUGAUGAGGAGGGUUGUCGAUGCUGAACGGCAACAAAUGAGAAGGCUGGACGGAGUGCAAGUGUGGGUUUCGAGGCUCGAUGCUGUUAAAACUGAAGCCGAUGAACUUAUCACAGACGGCUCUCGAGAAAUUGAAAAAUUAUGUGUUGGAGGCUACUGUUCCAAGAACUGCAGGUCAAGCUACAAAUUCGGAAAACAAGUGGCAAGAAAGCUACGAGAUGUGGAGACUUUAAUCGCCGAGGGAGUUUUUGAGUCGGUGGCUGAGAGAGCUCCGGAACCUGUGGCAGAUAAAAGACCCACUGAGCCAACAAUAGUAGGCUUGCAAUCACAGCUUGAACAAGUUUGGAGAUGUCUUCUUGUAGAAGAAUCAGCGGGAAUCAUUGGCCUAUAUGGUAUGGGCGGUGUUGGUAAAACCACACUGUUGACCCAUAUCAACAAUAAAUUUCUUGAGAGUCCCACCAACUUUGAUUGUGUGAUUUGGGUCGUAGUUUCAAAAGACCUGCGACUUGAAAAAAUUCAAGAAGAUAUUGGGAAGAAGAUAGGUCUGUUUGAUGGUUCGUGGAAGAAUAAAAGUGUUGAGGAGAAAGCCGUAGACAUCUUGCGGAGAUUAGGAGAGAAGAGGUUUGUAUUGUUGUUAGAUGAUUUAUGGGAGCGGGUUGAUUUAACAGAAGUGGGCGUUCCACUUCCCAGCCCACAAAAAUACUACAUCAAAGUCGUAUUCACGACCCGUUUCAUUGAUGUGUGUGGUAGCAUGGAAAGUCACAGGAAGUUUAAAGUGGCAUGCUUAUCAGAAGAGGAUGCUUGGGAGCUGUUUCGAGGAAAAGUAAGGCAAGAAACUCUUGAGAGUCAUCAUGAUAUCGUUGAGCUAGCCCAAACUGUGGCCAGAGAGUGUGGCGGUUUGCCACUCGCGCUUAAAACUAUAGGUCGAUCUAUGGCCUACAGAAAGACAGCUAAGGAGUGGAGACAUGCAAUUGAAAUGUUAAGGAGAUCAGCUUCAGAGUUUGCAGGUUUGGGAGAAAAGGUGUAUCGUCUUUUAAAGUUUAGCUAUGAUAGUUUGCAGAAUGAUACGAUUAGAUCUUGUUUCUUAUAUUGUUGUUUGUAUCCUGAAGAUUAUGGCAUUCUUAAAUGGGAUUUGAUUGAUUGUUGGAUUGGUGAGGGAUUCUUAGAGGAAUCUGACAGGUUUAGUGCAGAAAACCAAGGAUACUACAUUGUGGGCACUCUUGUUCAUGCAUGUUUAUUAGAAGAGGUGGAAGAUGAUAAAGUAAAAAUGCAUGACGUUGUUCGUGAUAUGGCUAUAUGGAUAACCGGUGAAAUUGAGAAGGAGAAGCGAAACUUUUUGGUUUGUGCAGGUGCUGGAUUAAAAGAGGCACCGGAUGUUGAAGUAUGGGAAAAUGUGAGAAGAUUGUCAUUGAUGCAAAACCAAAUUGAAACUCUGUCAGAGGUUCCCACAUGCCCUCAUCUUCUCACUUUAUUUCUUGACUUUAAUAGGGAGUUGAAGACUAUUGCGGAUGGCUUCUUCCGAUGUAUGCCUUCUCUCAAAGUUUUGAAGAUGUCAAACUCUGGAAAGCCUUGGAAAGGUUUGGAAUUAAAUUUGGGGAUGCCAAAGUUGGGUUCACUACAGCUUCUUGAUAUUUCACACACCUGCAUACAAGAUUUACCGCAAGAAUUAAAGUUGUUGGUAAAUCUGAAAUGUUUGAAUUUGAGGCGGACAAUUUGGUUAAAUAAAAUUUCAUGGCAACUAAUAUCAAAUUUUUCAAGGUUACGUGUGUUGAGAAUGUUCGCUACUGGCUGGUUCAAUUUUCAUGAAGCACCAGAAGACAGCGUUUUAUUUGGUGGGGGUGAAGUUUUGAUACAGGAAUUGCUCGGUUUGAAAUAUUUAGAGGUAUUGGAGUUGACCUUGGGAAGUUAUCAUGCUCUCCAAAUUCUUUUCAGCUCAAAUAAGCUAAAAAGUUGUAUUCGAUCUCUUUACCUCCAGUUGACCGGAGAUACAGCGUUAAUUAUUGAUGCUACGGCUUUCGCAGAUCUAAAACACCUCAAUGAAUUACGCAUUGAGUCGGCUACAAAGCUGAAAGAAUUGACGGCUGAUUAUACAGAGAUAGUUCGAAAAAGGCGGGAACCUUUUGUUUUCCGCAGCCUUCACCAUGUUACUAUACAAAGCUGCCAGAAGUUGAAAGAUUCGACAUUCCUCGUUUUUGCUCCAAACCUCAAGUCUCUUUCGAUAGUCAAAUGCAAUGCUAUGGAAGAAAUAAUCAGCGUCGGAAAAUUUGCUGAGACUCCUGAGAUGAUGGGACAUAUAAGUCCUUUUGAAAAUCUCCAAAUGAUUGAUUUACUAGGUUUGCCACAUUUGAAGAGCAUCUUCUGGAAGCCAUUGCCUUUCACUCAUCUGAAAGAAAUAUCUGUGCGUUAUUGCCCUAAUCUUAAAAAGCUUCCACUCGAUUCCAACAGUGCAAAGGAGCGUAAAUUUGUUAUUCGUGGAGAAGAAGACUGGUGGAACCCACUUCAAUGGGAGGAUGAAGCCACUCAAAUUGCUUUUCGUUCCUGUUUCCAACCCUUGUUCCUGAACAGUGGUCGCAAAAUUUGAUUUCUGGUGAGUGCGUUUGUCUUUUAAAAAGAAUAAUUUAAAAGAAAUUUAUUCUUGUCGGUUUCUUCACUGUUUUUAUUUCAGUUUCUCUCUCUCUCUCUCUCUCUCUCUCUUUUUGUCUUCUGCAAAUCACAAUUACAUUUUUAUUCUUGUCGUUUUCUUCACUGUUUUUAUUUCAGUUUCUCUCUCUCUCUCUCUCUCUCUUUUUGUCUUCUGCAAAUCACAAUCAAAUGUUGAAUUAAUGGAAUUAAUGCUUCAUAAAUUUGCCGGCACUGCCAUUACUUUUUUUUGGGGGAUCGAAUUGAUACUUUAUUUAUAUCUUCUUAGCGAUUUAAUUUCCUGUCAAAAGACGAACGAGAAGAACAUAUGACUUAAACCAAUGCUCGCAUAAACUUGCUGUAAAAAGAUAUAAUCUCACUGAAAUGCACACGCCUAGAAUGAAUAGAAUUAAAACAGGGAAAAUAUUAAGUAUAUUAGCCCUCUUUACUGAAAAUCAAAUGACAGUAAAUUUUUUGAAGUUUUGAUUUUCUAUGGUCAAUUCCACCUUUUGCAAUUUCUUCUGUUCUAACAAAAACCAAUUUCUUUGUUCAAGUAUUUUCGUUUGGAUAUUAAUAAUUCUCCACCGAAAGAGUGAACUCUUGCUCAAAGGGAUCUCUAAUAAUACAUAACAUGAUUAUUUUCGUUUGAAUAAUUGAUUUCUUGAUUGAAUUGUCGUGUAAUUGAUUUAUGGGGGAUGACACAUCAACAUACUUGAAAAUACACUAAUCUCAGCAUCAUCGGUUAAUAACUUUUAGAUUUAUGGGUAAUCAAUAGUUAAGAUUAGUUGUCAUUAAUACUAAAUAAUUUUUACUUUUUUUGUCUCUUCUAGAGGAUCUUCUAGAAAAAUGCAUCCACAAUUAAAUUUAAUACUUUACAUAAUAAACAAAGCCUAAAUGUUAAAUUUAAGAAACUGCAUUGUAUUUCAGUUGAAGUUGACUUUAAUAUUUAGGGUAGAAAAACAAUUAAUUUUAUUUUUUGAAAUGUCCAUAUUCAGAGCACAUUUCAAAAAGACUCAAUAAUUUCUCAUAAAUUUCAAUUAAAAAUAUUCAAUUUGUUGUUUCAGUUCUUUUAUUUUUUAUUUUUUCCGACAUGAAAGCGACUUAAUGUUACUAAAUUGGGUGGUCUUUGGAUUUUCAUGACCCAAUAAUUGGAACAAAACAAUUUUCUCAAGCGCUCUCCCGCAACAUUUUAUAAUUGAAGCCGCUGCCCCGCCCGUGGUUUCAAACUUUUUUCUUUCUCCUUGUUUAAAUUAAUGGGAGCAGCCUCCGUCCUUGACUAGUUGACUGCUUGUCUUCUUUUUUUUAUUAAUUAAUUAAUUCAGCCGCCCCCCUUUCUUGUCCCAAUAUCUUCUACUUUCGGUUUCCUUUUAUUAUCUCUUUAUUUUUAAAAAAUGCUUAUAAUAAUAAUAAAAUAUAAAAUAUAAAAAUAAAAAUAUAAUUUAUCAGAAAAUUAAGAUAAAGAAAUAUUAUAAGCACAUCAAUCAACAAGUGAAAAAAAAACAAUUUUAAUUUACAUUAAAUAUAAACUUUCAGUGUUAAUCAACUUUUCUAAAUAACUAAAUUAAAAAAUUAAUUGAUUUAAUUGUGGUGUAAUUGAUUUGUAGGGGAUGAAUCAGCAGCAUCAUCGGUUAACGCUUUCAGAUUUAUAGUUAAUCAAUAGUUGAGAGUUGUUAUCACUAACGCCGUGUAUUUUUUAAUGUUUUUUCUCUCUCCUACAGCAUCUUCUAGGAAAGUGCAUCCGUUGCUAAAAUUUAGUAUCGUAAAUAAUAAACCAAGAAUAAAUAUUAAAUCUAAGAAACUGUAUUGCAUUUAAUAUUUAAGGGAGAAAAAUAAUUAUAGUGUCUUUAUUAAUCAGUAAAAAAAAAAAUUAGAAUCAUAAUAAAUUGUAUUGUUAUUGAUGUAUUUAUUUUAUUUUAUACUCAAAAUAAAUUAUUUUAAAUUAUUAAAAUAAUUUAAAAUUAGUAUUUUAUUUUAUACUCAAAAUAAAUAAUUUAAAAUUUUCAUUUCUUGUUUAUUUCGCAAGUUGUUAUUGCCUAAUGCUAUGUCAACUCGAACAUUAGCAUUUUUUUUUUUGGUCCUCUUUUAACGCAAAAUUAGUGUAGGUUAAGUAACAUAAUCAAUAUUAGGACAAUUUGAAAUCCCUAUGGGUGCGUUUGGUACACUGUAUUGUAUUAUACUGUAUUGCAUUAUUUUAAUGCUGAUGUAUUGUAUUAUGUUGUAUUGCAUUAGCACUGUAUUAUAACAAUGCUAUACAAUAUUUGGUGUUACAUUGUACUGUAUUAGAUUUUAAUUAUAUUAUAUUUAGUGUUACAAUUGUUGUAACAUAAACACGACCAAAAUAAAUUGUACUAAAUAAUCUAAGUAAGAGUUCUGUAGUAUAUGUAAUAAUACUAUUUAUAUUAUUAUUAUUAAUAAUUCUAAAUUAAUAUUAUUUAAUUUUAUUCAUAUUUAAAUAUGUAUUAUUAGUUUAUUAAAUUAUUUAAAAUAAUUAAUUUAUAUAUAUUAAUUAUUGUAACUUAAUUAAAUAAUGUAAUGCUAUAUUAUAUUUUUAUAUACUAUUUAAGUAUUUAUUAUUAAUUAUAUUUAAUUAUAAAUUUAUUAAUAAAUUAUAAUAUAAAAAUAAAAAAUAAAAAUUAAUAUUGUAUAAUAUUAUAUUAAAUUAAAGUUUUAUUUUUAUUACUAUUAUUAUAAAGUAAAAAAAAAAAAAAGGGAAGCUACUGACUUUUGAAACACAAAAGUCAGUAAUACAACCUAAUCACGAGGGGGGGCGCGGGUUUUGAUAAUGCGGCAAAAGCUGCAUUGUAAUGCUGCUCAAUGCAAUCCAUUUGAUCACCAAACACAGGUAUAUUUUAACUAAUGCUGGGCCCACAAAAUAAUACAAUGCAAUUCCGCAUGCCAAACAUACCCUAUGGGUGCGUUUGGUACACUGUAUUGUAUUAUACUGUAUUGUAUUAUUUUAAUGCUGGUGUAUUGUAUUAUGCUGUAUUGCGUUAGCAUUGUAUUAUAAUAAUGUUGUACAAUGUUUGGUGUUACACUGUACUGUAUUAAUUUUUAAUUAAACUAUAUUUGGUGUUAUAUUGUAUUGUAUUAAUUUUUAUAAUUAAUUAAAUUAAAUAAUUAAAAAAUAAUAUUUAUUAAUACUUAGAAAAAUAAUAAAUAUAGAAAUCUUAAUUGUAGAAAUUUAACAAAUUUUUUAGUAAAUAUUAAAAAUUAAUGAUUAAAUUUCUAAAAUUUGUAUUAUAAUUAUGAUAAAAUAAAUUUAUAAAAUUUAAUAUUAUAUGUAAAUAAUAAAUUUAGAUUAUAAUUAAUAUUAUAAUUGUUAAUAUAAAUUAAUAAAUUAUUAUUCAAUAAUAUUCAAUUAUAUUUUAAUUUACAAUAUAUUAUUAUUUUUACAUUUUAAUAUAUUAAUAAAUUUAUAAUUUAACAUAAAUAAUUAUAAAUUUAAAUAAUAUUAAUUUUAAAAUUAAUAUUAAUGUAAAUAAUAUUAUAAUAUUAAUAUAUUAUUUUUAUAUGAAUCAUUAAUAAAUAAAAUAAUAUUAUCAUAUAAUUUAUUUUUAUAUUUUAUUCAUUAUAUUAAUAUUUAAUAAUAAAAUAAUUUAUUUUUAUAAUAUUUUAAUAAAAUAAAUUUGCCUCAAUUGAGGCAUUAACUGUUGCCUCAAUUGAGGCAAAAAGCUUCCGCAUCCCUCGGGUUUGCGUAAUGCGGCCCCAUGCCUCAUUAUGCUGCAUUAUAAUGCAGCAUAAUGAGGUGUCAAAUUUUGCCAAACAUGUUCUUGGUAAUAAACUAAUGUGAAUAGUAGUAUAAUACCACAUAAUCUCAUGCACCAAACACGCCCUAUGUGUAUUAUUCACGGUAUCUAUGAGGGCUUAUCCUUUUGCUAGAACAAACUCUAGCAAAUUGUCAAAUGUGCUUAUCCUUUCCCUUGACGACUCAUUUUAAAAUUGUCACUCAUUUUAAAAUUGUCUUUCAAUGCACAAACACAGACAUAACCGCCGACAUCGAGCACCAAGUUUGGAAUUUAAUUGAUAAGCAUACAUUUGAUAAAUUAAUGAAAAGUUUGGAGAGUAGUUUUGAUCACCCUUGAUUAGGACGGUAUUACAAAAAAGAUCAAAAAGAAAACAUCGUCUCUCUUCACAAAAAUAAAUAUUUUCCGUUAGAAUUUAAUACAAUAAUAUUUUUUUUGAUUAAAAUUUAAUUAAAUACACAAAUAAAUUAUAUAUUUUUUAAAAAAAUUUACACCCAGUCACAAGGCUGGCUAUUAAACUUAAAGGGUGGAAGCUUCGGAGACUAAAGUUGGUAACUUCUCCAAGUGGUCUUAAGUUGACCGGAACUACCCAGACUUUAUGUUUGGUAGCCUAGACCUGAUCGGACCUAGGCCCAAGUUUGGUCUUAAAGUCCACAAUUAAAUUAAAAAAAAAUUAUUUGAUUUGUAAUUGAUUUAUGGGGAAUGAAUCCGCAGCCCUAAAAUUACACCAAUCUUGACAUAAUGACAUCAUCGGUUAAAAACGUUCAGAUUUAUGGUUAAUCAAUGGUUUGAGAUUUGUUAUCAUUAAUGCUAGAUAUUUUUUAACAUUUUUUUCUAUCUCUCUUCUCCUGAAGGAUUUUCUAGGAAAAUGCAUCCACAACAAAAAUUUUAAAUUGUAAACAAUAAACAGAGUAUAAACGUUAAAUCUAAGGAACAUCGCUGCAUUUCAGCUGAAGCGAACUUUAAUAUUUUACGGAGAAAAAUAAUUAAGUCUUUAAUGUGAUUUAUUGAUUAAUAUAUAUGACUAAUUUUUUAAAAGAAGAUGAAGGAUGAAGCUUAAAAAUAUAAAUUAUAGAAUUAAUUUAUCUCUUCAAUAAAUCUAAAGUUUAUUUUUUUUAUUACAUGCUUCUAUUUUAUUUUUAUUCCAUGUUAAUGAAUGGAGAUUUAAAUCCAUUUUGGAUUUAUAAAGAUGUUUAGAUAUUUAAAUCCACGUGUGAUUCCAAACUUGAACCUUUUUUUUUUUUUUUUCUAAUUAAUGCAAACAGCCGCCUCUUUGACUGCUUUUCUUCUUUGUUUAUUAAUUAAUUAAUUCAGCUGCCCACCUUUCUUUUCCUAAUGUUUUCUACUCCCAAAUUUUUUUAAGGACAAGGCUACGUUGCAGACGCUGUACCUAACAGCUGCACCUUCGCCAGCUUAAAAAAGGGUGCAUUUGGUAAGCAACUUUUCUUUCGUGUGCAUAUGUGUCCUGCCACCAUUGGGUGUGUACGUAACAGAUAAUGUACCGUAACAAGCUCCUAUUUUUAAAUUUGUUUAUAAUGAUAAAAUAUAAAAAUUAAGAUUAAAAUGUAAUGUAAUGUAAAAUUAAAGGUGGAAGAGUAUUAAAAUAAGGCUAAACCUAUGUUACGUUUAACGUAACAUACAUUUAAAUAUAUAAAAUAUCAAUGGAAACCCUCAAAUUUUAUGGAAACUAUAUUAAUAAAAUUAAAAGAAAUAUUUUUAAAUCUGAAAGAAGAAAUAAAAGAUAUAAAGCAAGAGAUAGGAAAACUAAAAAUAGAAAUAUCUGUAAAAGAAAAAGGAAAAGAAAAAUUAGAAAUAAAAGAAACAACUCCAACUGAAUCGAAUUCAGACUAAUGGAAGAUGUAUUAGAAACUUUAACUGAAAAAUUCAGUGACAUAAAUCUUAGUGAUUUAGAAGACUUUGAAAAAGAAUAUUAGAUAAAAAUGAAUACUGCUGGAGGACCAGAAAUGAAACCUAAUGUAGCAUAACCAAGUCAUAGAUAUGGUAUAAAUAAAAUGAAAAAUAAACCUUUUUACGAGUAUAUACCUCCUAUUAAAAAUACUCCUUGGAAAAAAGAAUACAAACCAAAUCAAGAUACAUUAACCCCAAUAAAUAAUGCUGGAACAUUUUUAAAUCUAGAUUGUAAGAUAGACAUUCGAAAGGCGUUAGCAGAAUGGGUGUUACAAAUGAAAUUAUUUUUUAUAUUUAACGGGUCAAAGGAUGACUAGAAUGUAGAGACUGAAGAAGAAAAAAUAGAUAUAUUUGUUGAAAUCUUAAUAGCCAGUUUUUCAGGAAAUGUGUUUAAUUGGUGGAGAGGAUUAAGCGAUGAUACACAAAACUUAAUAAAAGAUUCAACCAAAUAGCAUUUAGAAAAAAUAAAGCCUUAGGAAUGGAAAGGAUAACUGAAUACAUAGCUAGUGAAUUUUUAGGAGAAGAUUGGCUAGAAAAAUCGGGCAUAUAUGAAAAUUUAAAAAUUUAUGAUAAAAAGAUCUUAGUGUUUUUAUUAAAAAAUUAAAAUUUACAUGACUAUUUCUUUAAAUAUUUAGGGCAUAUAUGAACCACGGAGGAGAAAAGCUUUAUUUAAUAUUUUAGAAUAGUUUUUGAUCAGUACAAUUGGGUCCUUAUUCAGAAUUAUUGUUCUCUUCCGCAACAGUUUUUGUUUAUCAAAGUCGUCAAUUAAAAUUUUAGAAUUCUUAUCAGAAGAAGUAGUCGUUUUAGAAGUUGGGUCUUGGAUCAAAUUUCUACGAGUGCAUGAAUUAACAAUAAAAAAAUUUCAUUACACACGGUUUAAGCUACAAACUACUAUUUGCACAGUUGACUAUAAAACUUACCUCCAAUUACACUAAACCUCUCUAUUUGGUAACGUUGAGACUAAAUUAAUUUUAUUAGCAUGAAAAGAUGAUAGAAAUAUAAUUAUAAAUAUUAUUGUUGUUAAUCAAUUAGUACAUGUGAUAUAAAGGUUAAAUGUGCACUAUAUUUAAUAAUUAAUUAGUGGAGCAUGUUAAACAAAAUGUUAAUGUAUAUUUAUAUAGUGUUAGGAAUAUGCAAAGUCAAGUCCUCAAUUUGCAUUAUCCUGUAUAGAAUAUUACUCUAAAAAUGUUUUACUAUAAUUGGCUUAGAACAUUUGUAAAGAAAAAUAAUAAUAAAAUAAUAAAUAACAUACACCGUCACAUAGCACCUAGACAAUGAUAGAAAAUUAUUAAAGAGAGUGCAAACAAUUAAUUAGAGAUUUUUAUGAUGACUUUUAAUAUUCAUGAUAAUAACAAAUAAAUACAUGUAUCACUUUUUUAAAAUAUUAAAUUUGACUGCUCCAUUAAUAAAUUAUUAUUGUAAUUCAGACUCUAUCUAUAUAUCCUUGCACUAAGAAUAAUUAAGGUAACGUUUGUUUUUUAACUUAAUGACUUAAAGUGACUUAACUUAAUUAAUUAAGUUAAUUAGAGGUGUUUGUUUUAUAACUUAAUGAGACUUUUUAGAUAAUUUUGACUUAAUAAAAUAAGCUAAUUUUUUUUGGCUUUUUACUUAAUGGAGAAAUCUGAAUUAAGUCAAUUACUUGCUAAUGUCAAAAAUAUCCUUGUUUUAUAAUUUAUUUUUCAUGUCUAUCCCAAAACUCGCCCGUAGAUAUUUACCCCACAUAAAAAUAUCCCUGUUUUUUUCUUUCUUAUAUUAUAUACGAUAAAAUUUGAAAUUUAUAGUAUUUUAUAUAUUAAAAUUCUAAAAUAAUUAUGUAUUCACUUGAAUAUAGUUUUACUUAUAAAUGUUAAAAUAUGAUGGUAUUUAAUAUAUUAUUUAUUUGACAUUCAAAUUUAAUAAGGAUACAAAUGUAAAAGUACAUAUUUUCAGCUUUUUAAAUUGAAAAAAAAUAACUUAAUAUUUAUUUUCUGAGAUUCAGACGAAAAAAUAAACAUAUUAUUCAGAUUCAUACAUUCAGAUCUAUUCAGAAUUCAAACUAAUUCAAGUCUAUUCAAAUUUUAGACAAAAAAAUAAACGCCACCUAAGUCAUAAUAAAAAUUUUCGUAACUACAUCUCGUUUCUUCCUCAUAAUAAUAAUUAGAUUGGUUCGAAUAUUAUAACUAUAUAGAUUUAGUGUAUAGCCACAUCCAAUUUAAAUAUUGACCCAAUUGGGAUGGUCCCCAAAAAAAAAGAUUCGUUAAAGGAUAAUUCUAAUUAUUUUUACUUCUCAAACGUUAGUGGGACGUUUCUAUUAGCGCACUCGUAAGCCAAGUUGUCAAAUAUUUAUACUAAACUACAAUUGCUAACAAGAAAAAUCAAGAUCGUGUUAAGCAAGUGGGUCCCGAAUAGGACGUGCAAAUCUCUCGUAAGUCAAGUUGUCAAAUGUUUAUAUAAAACUAACAAUUACUGACAAGAAAAAUCAAGAUCGUAUUAAAAAUGGGUCCCGAAUAGGAUUAUCUUUUUAAGAAUAUUAUUAUUUUAUUAUUAAAAUUUUAUUAAUAUAACAGUAUUAAAAUUUAUUAAAAAAUAUAUUUUAUUAUUAAAAUUUUAUACCGUUAUCAAUUUAUUAUUAUUUUAUUAAAAAAAUUAAUAUUUAACAAAAAUUGAGAUAAAAAUUAAUUUUUGUUCUCUGUCUUUAUUUAUUUAUUUAUUUUUUUGGGUCUUCUGCAAAUCACAAUCAAAUGUUGAAUUAUAAAUUUGCCGGCAUUGCUUUUUUUUUUUUUUUUGGGCCGGGGGGUGGUGUUGAAUUGAUGCUCUGGGUUUUUGACUUUUGUUGUCAAAUUUUACUCUGUUUUUCCCAAAUUGAUGCUANNNNNNNNNNNNNNNNNNNNNNNNNNNNNNNNNNNNNNNNNNNNNNNNNNNNNNNNNNNNNNNNNNNNNNNNNNNNNNNNNNNNNNNNNNNNNNNNNNNNNNNNNNNNNNNNNNNNNNNNNNNNNNNNNNNNNNNNNNNNNNNNNNNNNNNNNNNNNNNNNNNNNNNNNNNNNNNNNNNNNNNNNNNNNNNNNNNNNNNNNNNNNNNNNNNNNNNNNNNNNNNNNNNNNNNNNNNNNNNNNNNNNNNNNNNNNNNNNNNNNNNNNNNNNNNNNNNNNNNNNNNNNNNNNNNNNNNNNNNNNNNNNNNNNNNNNNNNNNNNNNNNNNNNNNNNNNNNNNNNNNNNNNNNNNNNNNNNNNNNNNNNNNNNNNNNNNNNNNNNNNNNNNNNNNNNNNNNNNNNNNNNNNNNNNNNNNNNNNNNNNNNNNNNNNNNNNNNNNNNNNNNNNNNNNNNNNNNNNNNNNNNNNNNNNNNNNNNNNNNNNNNNNNNNNNNNNNNNNNNNNNNNNNNNNNNNNNNNNNNNNNNNNNNNNNNNNNNNNNNNNNNNNNNNNNNNNNNNNNNNNNNNNNNNNNNNNNNNNNNNNNNNNNNNNNNNNNNNNNNNNNNNNNNNNNNNNNNNNNNNNNNNNNNNNNNNNNNNNNNNNNNNNNNNNNNNNNNNNNNNNNNNNNNNNNNNNNNNNNNNNNNNNNNNNNNNNNNNNNNNNNNNNNNNNNNNNNNNNNNNNNNNNNNNNNNNNNNNNNNNNNNNNNNNNNNNNNNNNNNNNNNNNNNNNNNNNNNNNNNNNNNNNNNNNNNNNNNNNNNNNNNNNNNNNNNNNNNNNNNNNNNNNNNNNNNNNNNNNNNNNNNNNNNNNNNNNNNNNNNNNNNNNNNNNNNNNNNNNNNNNNNNNNNNNNNNNNNNNNNNNNNNNNNNNNNNNNNNNNNNNNNNNNNNNNNNNNNNNNNNNNNNNNNNNNNNNNNNNNNNNNNNNNNNNNNNNNNNNNNNNNNNNNNNNNNNNNNNNNNNNNNNNNNNNNNNNNNNNNNNNNNNNNNNNNNNNNNNNNNNNNNNNNNNNNNNNNNNNNNNNNNNNNNNNNNNNNNNNNNNNNNNNNNNNNNNNNNNNNNNNNNNNNNNNNNNNNNNNNNNNNNNNNNNNNNNNNNNNNNNNNNNNNNNNNNNNNNNNNNNNNNNNNNNNNNNNNNNNNNNNNNNNNNNNNNNNNNNNNNNNNNNNNNNNNNNNNNNNNNNNNNNNNNNNNNNNNNNNNNNNNNNNNNNNNNNNNNNNNNNNNNNNNNNNNNNNNNNNNNNNNNNNNNNNGAAGGGUCUCUAAUCAAUAGCUGGAAGCAAUUGAGAAGGCGGUUGCUACAGUGAAUUCAAAUGUAAAAUGUUUGCUAUUCUUCGAUUUGGUUAAUGAUUUCGUAUGAAUAUUGUUGUUCCGUUGAGUUGCAUGCGAAUUCAAAUGCAAAAUAUUCUUCGAUUUUCAAUUUUGAAAUCAAAUUUUUUUUUCCUUCUCAAGCAUGUUAUGCAGAAACGAUUGUCAUGUUAUGCAGAAACGAUUUUUACUAAAUCAUUUUUAACAAACUAUUGAAAUUAAACCACUGGAAUAAGAAUUGUAAGGAUUUAUCGUAAGCUUACUAAUACGAUAAUUCUGAAACUAUCACCUUUUUUUUUUUAUUUGUUGCAGGGAAACCCAAAUUUUGUAUUUUGUCAAUUUCAUCUGAUAUGGAAUUUAUUUCCUCCCUAAAGAUUUAUCAAACUGCUUCUCUUCCCUGCUUCAAUAUCUUUAUGCAAUUACGAUCUCAUAGGAAAAGAGAGUUUGGGUUGUAUAUCUUAUAGUAUUUAUUUAUUUUUUGUUAAAAGAAAUUUAUUUUAAAAUAGUUUAUAGCAACAGUUUUUAUUUAACAAUAAUGAGGAAGGAUUAUUAUAGGUUCAAAUAGUUGUUAGAACAUUAUAAAAAAGUCCAUUUACUAUCAAAUGUUUUAAAUUGGUGCAACGUGAUAAUUGUCUCAUAUAAUUUUUUAAGGGUAAAAACUCGUUUCAUUCCCAUAUUUUAAGAUUAUUACUCAUUUAGUCUUUAUAUUUUUAAAAAUGUUUCAAAACAUUCAUACCCUUAAAUUAUUAACAUCUCUGCUGUUACUUUUUAUUUUUUUUUGACUUGUUUUUACAAUAUUGCCCUCUUACAAUAAUGUUUCUUUUUAUAAAAUUAAUAAAAAGAAAAAAAAUUAAAUUAUCAAUUUAACCCCAAAAAUAAAAUAAAAAUAAAAAGAAUAAAUAUUAAUUUUUGUGAAAGUUUACAUGUGUCCAAAAUAAAUUUUAUUGUAAAAAUAAUUAAAUUGCCUUUUUUUUGGACAUUAGUAAUAAAAAAAUUAAUAUAUUAAUUCCUCAGCAGUGUGUUACAAAAAAGUAAAAUAUAUUAAUUUUGUUUUUAUUUUAGACAAUGAGAUAGAGAAAAGUACAAGAUAAAGGAAAGGACUUCAAAACUCACUGUUCAUCAUAAUGCCCUUUGCCUUUAAAAAAAAAUCAUUCUAAUAUUUUAUAACACAUAAAAUAUAAUCCUAAGAUAAAUAUAAUAAUACAUAUUUUAAACUAAUCUCGAUAUUUAAAAUAUGUUUUAAUAUUUUAUAAUCUAUCAGACAUAUUUUAUUAUAUUAAUGUAAAAUUUAUAAUAAAUACAAACAUAUUAUUAAAAUAAAUAUAUAAAAAAUAUUUAUUUUUUAUAUGUUUACACUGAGGACUCUCUUUAAUUCAUUUAUUUUCUCUCUCUCCAAACAGGUACUGUCUUCAGUUAGCAAUGCUAUGAUAGUAAUCCAAUUCUCUUCUCCCCCACCUGAGCGAGAUUUGAAUUUGAAUCCCUUGUUUUUCACCCACUCUGUUUUUUUUCACGCAAGAUUUGACAAUUUGAGUUAAAAAAUAUGGUCCAAAACUUGAACACGUAUCUUUUAAUUGUAAUAAAAGUUCUUUAAGCUUUGGAGAUGGCAUAUAUAUGGCUGGAAGUGUCCUUUUCUUUGACCUAGAGGCAGCACCAAGCUAUCCAGCAUCAUCAUUUUUCAAGUGGGUCUUAAAUGCCUAGAAACGUUGGUGUUUCUUGAUUUAAAGAUGACACAUGCUAUAAGUGUGAAUGGUUUGGCUAAGCCUAAAUUUAAAGUCUACUCAAGUCGCAUUCAGGAUCAUGGAAAUUGGAAAGGGAGAGAUGAUAGCAAGAUUUAUAAUAAACAAUUAACUUGGGUCCUCAGUGUACAAAGCAAAUGCCACGCAAGCGAUAGCCGGCCCAGCCCAGAAAACCCAGUGGCGAUCCCAGAGAUGGCCUCCUCUAACGAGUGCUGGGCCCAAAAAUCUUUGCGGGUUGAGCCCAGCUCCGGCAUAGCCCUUUUGAGCAGUAACAGUUGUCGAGACAAAAACCAGAAGACCCAACACUGUUCCAAUGACAAUGCAUACGGUAAACUCUGCCAAGAGCCUUGGCUUGUCUGGAGUCAAAAGCCAUCCACACAGAAGCAAAAAGGAACACAAACGAGCAAAUUAUCUCAAGCCAAAGGGCCUGCCUAGUCCCCAAGCCGAUCUCAACAGGCCCAUCUGGCCCAGGUACGACAACAUUCAGGGUGCAGCCUCCAAGUUGUCAAAUAUUUAUAUUAAACUACAAUUGCUGACUAGAAAAAUCAAGAUCGUAUUACAAGUGGGUCCCGAAUUGGACGUGCCUAAAUCUUUUUAUAAUUUUCCCAGUGUAGCGGACAGAGGUCAUUACUAAAUUUCUCUUCCACACGCCACAGCAGCUUCGGUUAAUCAAACUCAAUCAAUUUUCUUGGCUUCUCCGCUUAUCAAUAUUACAAGGUAUGGGUAGCAUUUUUCAAAUCACAUGCGAUGGUACUAUUUUCAAUCGUUGCUUAGAUUGCUUUCUUGGAAAAGCAGCAUACAUAAGUAACCUCCAAGAUAAUCUUGUUGCCUUGGAGACUGAACUAAGGAAACUAAUCGCAGCAAAGAACGAUGUGAUGACGGCGGUUGUCAAUGCUGAACGGCAACAAAUGAGAAGGCUGGACCAAGUGCAAGUGUGGGUUUCGAGGGCGGAUGCUGUUAAAAAUGAAGCUGAUGAACUUAUCAGAGGCGGCUCUCAAGAAAUUGAAAAAUUAUGUCUUAGAGGGUUCUGUUCCAGGAACUGCACGUCAAGCUACAAGUUCGGAAAACAAGUGGCUAAAAAGCUACGAGCUGUGGAGACUUUAAUCGCCGAAGGAGUUUUUGAGGCGGUGGCUGCCGAGGUGGUGCCUGAGAGAGCUCCAGAGCCUGUAGCAGAUGAAAGACCUACCGAGCGAACAGUAGUAGGCUUGCAAUCACAACUUGAACAAGUCUGGAGAUGUCUUGCAGAAGAAUCAGCGGGAAUCAUUGGCCUAUAUGGUAUGGGCGGUGUUGGUAAAACUACACUAUUGACCUAUAUCAACAAUAAAUUUCUCGAGAGUCCAACCAACUUUGAUUGUGUGAUUUGGGUAGUAGUUUCAAAAGACCUGCGACUUGAAAAACUUCAAGAAAAUAUUGGGAAAAAGAUAGGUUUGGUUGAUGAUUCAUGGAAGAGUAAAAGUGUAGAGGAGAAAGCUCUCGACAUCUUCCGGAGUUUAAGAGAGAAGAGAAUUGUAUUGCUGUUAGAUGAUAUAUGGGAGCGGGUUGAUUUAACAAAAGUGGGCGUUCCACUUCCAGGACCACAAAAUACUACCUCAAAAGUCGUAUUCACAACCCGUUUGAUCGAUGUUUGUGGUAGCAUGGAAGCUGACAGGAAGUUCAAAGUAGCAUGCUUAUCAGAAAAGGAUGCUUGGGAACUGUUUCGAAAAAAAGUUGGGGAAGAAACUCUUGGAAGUCAUCAUGAUAUCGUUGAGCUAGCCCAAACUGUGGCCAAAGAGUGUGGUGGUUUGCCACUCGCACUUAUUACUAUCGGUCGAGCUAUGGCCUACAAAAAGACAGCCGAAGAGUGGAGACACGCAGUUGAAGUUCUAAGAAGAUCAGCUUCGGAAUUUGCAGGUUUGGGAAAAGAGGUGUAUCCUCUUUUAAAGUUUAGCUAUGAUAGUUUGCAGAAUAAGACGAUUAGAUCUUGUUUCUUAUAUUGUUGUUUAUAUCCUGAAGAUUAUGGCAUUCUUAAAUGGGACUUGAUUGACUGUUGGAUUGGUGAGGGAUUCUUAGAGGAAUCUGACAGGUUUGGUGCAGAAAACCAAGGAUACUACAUUGUGGGCACUCUUGUUCAUGCGUGUUUACUAGAAGAGAUAGAAGAUGAUAAAGUAAAAAUGCAUGACGUUGUUCGUGAUAUGGCUCUAUGGAUAGCUUGUGAAAUUGAGAAGGAGAAGAGAAACUUUUUGGUUUGUGCAGGUGCGGGACUAAAGGAGGCACCUGAUGUUAAAAGAUGGGAAAAUGUGAGAAGAUUGUCAUUGAUGCAAAACCAAAUUGAAACUUUGUCAGAGGUUCCUGCAUGCCCUCAUCUCCAUACUCUAUUUCUUGCCUCUAAUAAUAGUUUGCAGAGGAUCACCGAUGGCUUCUUCCAAUUUAUGCCUUCUCUCAAAGUUUUCAAGAUGUCAAACUGCGGGAAUUUAAUUUUGGAAUUACCUUUUGGGAUGUCAAAGUUGGGUUCAUUGGAACUUCUCGAUAUUUCACAUACCUACAUACAAGAGUUACCACAAGAGUUAAAGUUGUUGGUAAAUCUGAAAUGUUUGAAUUUGAGGUGGACAAGCGAGUUAAAUAAAAUUCCACGGCAGCUAAUAUCAAAUUCUUCAAGGUUACGUGUGUUGAGAAUGUUGGGUACUGGCUGGUUCAAUUUUCAUGAAGCAUCAGAAGACAGCGUUUUAUUUGGCGGGGGUGAAGUUUUAGUACGGGAAUUGCUCGGUUUGAAAUAUUUAGAGGUAUUGGAGUUGACCUUGCGAAGUUAUCAUGCUCUCCAAAUUGUUUUGAGCUCAAAUAAGUUAAAAAGUUGUAUUCGAUCUCUUUACCUCCAGUUGACCGGAGAUAGAAAGUCGAUUAUUGAUGCUACGGCUUUCGCAGAUCUAAACCACCUCAAUGAAUGAUUGAUUUUUAAAGGUUUUGAGUUGGAAGAAUUGAAGAUUGAUUAUACAGAGAUAGUACGAAAAAGGCGGGAACCUUUUGUUUUCCGCAGCCUUCACCGUGUUACCAUAGAUUCGUGCCUUAAAUUGAAAGAUUUGACAUUCCUCGUUUUUGCUCCAAACCUCAAGUCUCUUUCGCUAUUCAAUUGCCGUGCUAUGGAAGAAAUAAUCAGCGUUGGAAAAUUUGCUGAGGUUCCUGAGAUGAUGGGACAUAUAAGCCCUUUUGAAAAUCUCCGAAGUCUUCGUUUGUCACAUUUGCCAAAUUUGAAGAGCAUCUACUGGAAGCCAUUGCCUUUCACUCAUCUGAAAGAAAUGGUGGUACAUGGGUGUGAUCAGCUUAAAAAGCUUCCACUCGAUUCCAACAGUGCAAAAGAGCGUAAAUUUGUUAUUCGUGGACAAGCAGACUGGUGGGACCGACUUCAAUGGGAGGAUGAAGCCACUCAAAUUGCUUUUAGUUCCUGUUUCCAACCUUAACUUGAUUUCUGGUUAGUGCUGUUUCCUUAACUUUUACAUAUAUUCUCGUCGUUUGCUUCGUGCAAAAUACUAGGUCUUUUGUUCUCUGUUUUUAUUUCGCCCAUUUUUUUUUUUUUUUUUUGUCUUCUGCAAAUGACAGACAAAUGUUGAACUAAAAGGAAUUAAUGCUUUAUAACUUUGCCGGCAUUGCUUUUUUCUUUUUCUUUUUUGAUUUUUUGGGGCGAGGGGGGAUCGAAUAGAUGCUCUGGUUUUUGACUUUUUGUUGUCAAAUUUUACUCUGUUUUUUUCAAAUUGAUGCUUGAAUAUUUGAAUCAAAUUAAUGCUCACGUAAAUUUGUUCAGUUGCCGUAAAAGGAUAUAAUUACACUGAAAUACACAAACUCUAGAAUGAAUAGAAUUAAACAGAGAAAAUCUUGAGUAUAUUAGCCGUCUUCACAUAAAAUCAUAUGAAAAUUAAAUUUUGAAGUUUUUAUUUUCUAUUUUUAAUCAUACCCUUUAUAAUUUCUUCUGUUCUAACUACAAUAAAAUUUUUGGUUCAAGGAUUUUUAUGAGGGGUAUUAAUAAUAGUCCACCAAAAGAGUGAACAGUUGGAUGCUGCCCUAAGGGUCUCUAAUCAAUAGCUGGAAGCAAUUGAGAAGGCGGUCGUUACUGUGUACAAAGCCAUGCAGUAUUUGCUAUUCAUCUUAGUAAUUAUGAAGCUUUGGUAAAAUUUUCAAACAAAGUUGACAUGUUAUUUUGAGAUUUGGUUCAUGAUUUUGUAUGAAUAUCGUUGUUCCAUUGAGUUGUAUAUGAAUUCAAAUGUAAAAUAUUCUUUGGUUUUCAAUUUUGAAUUCAAUUUCUUUUCUUAAGCAUGUUGUGCAGAAAUGAUUUCUACUAAAUCAUUUUUGAUAAACUACUUAAAUUAAACAACUGCAAUAAGAACUGUUAAGGAUUUAUCGUAAGCAGACUAAUAUGAUAAUUCUGAAACUAUCAUUUUUUUUUUCAAUUUGUUGCAGGGAAAGCCAAAUUUUGUAUUUUUCAGUUUUAUCUGAUAUGGAAUUUAUUUCCUCUACACUAGCUACCUAAAGAUUUAUCAAAUUGCUUCUCUUCCCUGCUUCAAAUUAAUAUCUUUAUGCAACUACAAUCUCAUAGGAAAAGACAGUUUGGGUUGUAUUUAUUAUAGUUUUUUUUUUCGUUAAGAGCAAUUUAUUUUAAAAUCGUUUAGUAGUAACAGUUUUUAUUGAAUAAUAAUGGGGUAGGAUUAUUAUAGGUUCAACUAGUUGUUAGAACAUUAUAAAAAGUCCAUUUACUAUCAAAUGCUUUAAAUUGGUGCAACAUGAUAAUUGUCCCACAUAAUUUUUAAUAAUAUAUAUGGCCCAUAAAUUUAAUAUGAAUAAAUGAGUUUCGAUAGUUAAAUUUGAUACGAUUAUUAAAUAAGUUAUAUCCAUGUCAAUUCGACUUAAAAUCUGGUAAAUUUAGAUUUAGAGUUUAUAACAUGAUAACUUGUUUUAUGACAUGAUUUACUAAUCAAUUAAUAUUAAAUUAUAUUUUAGCCAAUCAGAUAUGUGGUACAUUUGUCAAAUUUUAAAAAUUAUUUAUUUAUAUAUGAAAUAAAUUUGACUAGACUGUGUGUAGGUAAUAGUGCAUAAUUUCUAAAAAAAUGUAAUAAUAACACGUUAAAAUGUUAUUUUUAUGAAGAAAAAUUGAAAUUUUAUUAAAUAGGCGACACAAUAAUAAAUGGGUUGAGAUUAUUUACAUUUUAAGAAUUACUCUGAACAUUAUUUUAUUUUAUAAAUUUUAUAUUACAAAAACACCCAUAGUUUAAUUUACCAUUAAGAACAAUUUUGUGCGAUUAAAUAAAAUACAUUACUCUUUACCCUUUCACUACAUCGACAUAAAUCCUAAUUGUUAUGUUUCUAAUUUCUUUGAUAUGCUUAUUGAAGUCCACAUUAUAAUCAAUUUUAAACUAUUAUACCACUUAAAUACAUUUUAGAAUGAGAAGUUUGGUUUUCUUCAUGGGCUGCCUUGCUGAUGCUGUUAUUGAAACUAUCGAACUUAAUAAUUUUAUGGCCAAAAUGAUAUAUGUUGAACCAGCUUUUACAUCGAAUUCUACCACCAUAAAAAAUCGUACUUGUAACAUCUCAAGGUUCCAAUUUAUCAAAAGUUAAUCAUUCAUAUUUGUUAGUUCCUAACAGUCACAAGAGCGUACAAGCCAAUUUUUGUAGCUCCUUUUUCUGCAGUAGAUUCAAGUAUAUUAUUAUCAAGCAUUUUUGUUACACCCUUAAUUCCUUAUCAUCAUCCCUUCAUUCAGAGCAACUAAACAGAGGUCAAUGUCAUUAUGUUAGAGUUACGAGGAAGAGUACUGCCAAAAAAGUUCUUUGUAUGGGAUUUAAUUUUCUGGGUUUGUAGUGAUGAACAAAUUGAGGGUUGUUUUGGUAUUUUCAAGAGUGUAUUGAGUGAAAAUUAUUUUUAAAAAAUUUAACAAAUGAGUGUAAUGAGUAAAAAAGUGUUUAAAGUAUUUUUUAGAGUACAAAUAGCUCCACCUUAAUAAAUGAGUUCUUGUAAAAAUUGAGAUUAUUGAUAUAAUUAUUAAAUAGGUUGGAUUGAAGUUAGUUUAAUUUUGACAAGAUAAUAAGACGACGCGACACAAAUACAACCAACCAGUCAACCCAAAUUGCAACCUUUUACUAAUAAAAGAUACCUGUUUGAAAAGUAAUUAUAAGCUAUCUUCUUUGUGUUAUUUCUCUAAAAAUUUGCGGCACAAAUAUUAUUUCCAUGGAGAAAAGUACGAAAUACCCGCUUUCACUUCAGCAGAAGCAAAGCAAAGCUAUGAGCCAUCUCUGUAUAAUUGAAACGCCAUUGCUAAACGGUUCUUGAUGAUGGGUGCCACCGUGCCAGCGUUGUCGCUGAUUUGCAUGAUUUAUUAGUUGUUCAGAUGGCGGAUUUUGUACUGUCACUUUCAUUUCAUUCUUGAGAGCCACGUACAAUACUAGGUGGCAUUGAAGUUGCCCCAGUGGUUAGUUUUCUGAUUUUUUUUAAUUCAAAUUUUUAUGUUUUAGAAAAAUGUAAGAAAUAUGUAGAAAUGUUGACAGCUACAAUUUUGAAACUUUGCCUAAAAUUAUUAUCGUUGCUUAUUGUUUCUUAGCUAAAGAGAAAUCCUAGAAACAUGAAAUUAUUAUUCUAUGCUUGUUUUAAUAUUAUACAUUAGCAGGUUAAUUAAAAAUUAGACGUGAAUACAACAAGAGAUAAGUGGAGAGAAUUUGGUAGUCGACCGCAUUUAGAAUUUAAUUUUUCUUUUAGCUGCCGAUCAUUAAAUUUUAUAUUUCAGAAAAUUAUACCUAGAAUAUUUCAAGGAUAUACUACGAAGAUUAUGAAGGUUUGAUUACAUGUCACUAUCAAUUGCCUCAAUCAUUUGUAGUAAAUUAAUUAAUCAUUUUGCUGCAAAUGAUUUCCUAUUAAAAAAUUCAAGUCAGAGCUGAAUUGCACAGUAGUUAGUCGUGCUUGCAAUUCAAAUCAAGUAUUGUAUUUUCUGCCUGAUUUGGUUGAUUCAACUAUGUGCAUUUGCAUAAUGGAGAUGCUUAUGAACGUUGUAGUAUAGAAAUCGAAACGUCUUGUCUUUUGCUAAGCCCAGAAGCAAAGUUCUUUGUAUUAUACUCAUCAGUUUUCUUCGUUCUCUUCGUUGAAAUUUUAUCCAAACAGCGGUUUCUUCGAAUUUUUGCCCUCUCUUACAUUUUUAAAUCUAUCAAAGAACGGUUACCUGAGAAGAUUGCCAUCAGGUAUUUCGAAAUUGAUUUCACUACAAUACCUUAAUCUAUCAGAUUUUAAUCUAUCAGAUGCUCCCGUCACUCAGUUGCCAAAAGUGACAAAAGCCUUAGUAAAUUUUUAGAGUAAAAACUCAUUUAUUCCUUAUAUUUUAAGAUUAGUAUCUAUUUAGUCCUUAUAUUUUGAAAAAUACCUUGAAACAUCACUGCCAUUAAAGUAUUGAUACCCUUACCGUUACUUUUUAUUUAUUUUGGCUUAUUUUUACAAUAUUACCCUUUAAUAAUAAUUUUUUUGUUUAGACAUUAAUAAAAAUAAAAUAAUUAAAUUACCAAUUUAAUCCUAAAAAAUAAAAAUAAAAAUUUAUAUUAAUUUUUAAUUGUAAAAAAUUGUAUGCAAACUACCAAAUGUGCAAACGGUGCUUGCAAAAAAAUUAAUAUAAAUUUUUUAUUUUUAGGGUUAAAUUAGUAAUUUAAUUAUUUUAUUUUUAUUAAUGUCCAAAAAAUUAGUAAUUUAAUUAUUUUCUUUUUAUUAAUGUCCAAAAAUUAUUAUAAAAGGGUAAUAUUAUAAAAGUAAGCUAAAAGAAAUGAAAAGUAACGGUAGGGGUAUCAAUACUUUAACGGUAGGGAUGUUUCGAGGUAUUUUUAAAAAUAUAAAGAGUAAAUGGACACUAAUAUUAAAAUACAGGGACUAAAUAAGUUUUUAUCCUAAAUCUUUAAGUGUUUGAAUUGGAGUACAUAAAUUAUCUCUCUACAAUUCAAAAACAACAGAUUUGUUACUUUUCAACGCUACAGGUUCCGCGAAUAUUCAGUUGUGGUUAUCUUGUUGAAACACCAGAAAAUAGCGUUCUAUUUGGUGGUAAUGAAUUCUUGGUUGGGGAGUUACUUAGUUUAAAACAUUUAAAUGUAUUAAGCAUCGCCUUAAAAGGUUUUUCUACCGUCCAAAAAUUUAUGAGCUCCCAAAAGUUUCAAAGUUGUACAAAAUGUUUGGAGCUUAUAGACAGUGAUGAUUCAAAGUCGUUUGCCAUGGCAGAGUUGAAGCAUCUUGAAAAACUAGGUAUUUCAAAUUGUGGAAAUUUGGAAGAGUUUAAGUUCUGCUGUGUCGAAGUUGGAAAAACUUGAGAAGAUUUUUGUUUGAACAGCCUUCACCAAGUUAAGAGAAAGGCUUGUCAUAAAUUGAGGGAAGUGACAUGGCUUGUGUUUGUACCAAAUCUUAAGGUUAUUCAGAUAGAAAAAUGUAUGGAGAUGGAGGUUGUUGGGAAAGAGACUACCACAAGCAGCUAAAAAUUAAGCGAAUACAAAAUUCUUUCUCUCUUUGUGUGAUUAAAAUAGGAUGUGCACCACAAACAAAUAAGCAGAAAAAUAAACCAAUAAAUGCAAAGCAAAAACCAACCACAAGAGACACCGAUUUUUAAGUAGAAAAUUUAAAUUGGGAAAAAUCACAGGAUAGUAGUCUGAUAUAAACUUCUACUAUAUUAAUGAGAUUACAACACAAAUUCUUCUCCAGAUAAUACUAGAUGCUAACAAUAUUAAAAUUCUCAACAAUCUUAGUUUAUAAUAAUAGAUCUAAAAUCUAUUUCUUCAAUAAGUGAGUAUCUCAAAUAAUAGCUACUGAGAGAAUAAAAUACAGAUCAACACCAGUAGAAAUAUAGAGGGCAAUGUCAGGAACUUACCCUCCAAAUUUAGGACUAAUCAGAGCUAAAAUAACCUUUUGAUUGUUGAAUCAAAGAUUGAAAACCAAAAAAAAAAAAAAUAUCUCUUUCUCUCGCAGUGUCUUCUCACUUUCGCAAAAUGUCUACAGCUCUCGCGAUUCUUUACUUAUUUCCUUAGUUAAUUUCAUCCAAGUCCAAAAUUUUACAAUAAUUACACAUCAAGCAAAUUAUUUUGGACUUUGAACUUUUUGGUCCACUGAAGUGAAAUGGACCUUACAAAUCUCCCCCUCCAUCUCAUCUAAGGGGCACCACCAAGCCCGCUCUCUACUUACAGCUUUCCAGCUUCUCCUUGGGUAAUGACUUUAUCAUCAUAUCUGAUGCAUUCUUCGUUGUGUGAAUUUCUCCAAGCUGCAACUGUUUCUACUCAAGCACGUCUUGUAUCCAAUGAUACUUCAUAUCAAUAUGCUUCGAUUUCAAAUGAUAUGUUGAAUUCUUUGCCAAGUGGAUGACACUUUAACUGUCACAGUACACAACAUAACUAUCUUGAUUAACACCUAGUUCUUGUAGAAAAUUCUUCAUCCACAAGGUUUCUUUGUAACUUUCAGUGAUUGUAAUAUACUCUACUUCUGUAGUAGACAAAGCAACACACUACUAAAGUCUAGACUGCCAUGAAACUGCUCCUCCUACAUAGGUGAGCAAAUAUCUUGAUAGAGACUUUCUAGAAUCAACAUCUCCUGCCAUAUAUGCAUCCGUAUCUACUUGUAAUAUAGGUUUGUCACCACCAAAACAUAAACAUGCCUUGGAAGUGCCUCUGAGAUAUAUGACAAUCUACUUUACUGCUGUCCAGUGUUUUUUACCCAGAUUAGAGGAAAACCAGUUGACUACCAACUGUUGAAGCGUACCUCAAACUACCAACUGUUGAAGCAUAAAAAACUCUUUUUAUCUCUUGCUUCUCUUUCUCACUUAUGGGACAAUGCUUGAAACUAAGCUUGAAAUGACCUGCAAGUGGAAAAUAAACAUAUUUUGCUUUGUCCAUAUUAUAUCUUUUAAGAACUUUUUCAACAUAUGCUUCCUGAGAUAACCAUAAAUUCCCAGUUUUUCUGUCACGAGAAAUCUUCAUGCCAAGAAUUUGUUUCGCCGAUCCCAAGUCCUUCAUUACAAAAGACUUGCUAAGCUCUCUCUUCAAAUUGUCAAUCUUACUAGUAUCCUUGCCAACAAUCAACAUGUCAUCCACAAAAAGUAAAAGAAUAAUAAAAUCAUUAUCACUAAACUUUUUCACAAACAUACAAUGAUCACACAUUGUCUUGCAAAAGCCAUGAUUCUCCAUAAAAGAAUCAAACUUCUUAUACCACUGUCUUGGUGCAUGUUUCAGCCCAUAUAAAGUUUUUUUCAAUUUGUACACAAGUUCUUCUUUACCUUUGACACUGAACUCUUCAGGUUGUUAUAUGUAUAUUUCCUCCUUUAAGUCAUCGUGUAAGAAAGCAGUCUUUACAUUGAAUUGUUCAAUUUCCAAAUCCAAGCUAGCUACUAAUCCCAGAGGUGCUUGCUCAAUUGGUUCUGCUGGACCAUUAUUAUUAUCCUCUCCAGCUCCCCUAUGAUCAUCAUGAACAACAUGUGGAGAAACCGAAGUUGGAAUAAUAAGAAUCUCUGGAGAUGGCUGAGACUUAUCAUUUUUUUUUCAUCACCAACUAUCUAAUUUUUAAGAAACACAACAUCUCUAAUUCUGAUUACUUUUCUUGUCACUGGAUCCCAUAAUCUGUACCCAAAUUCUUCAUGUCCAUAGCUUAAGAAAAUACAUUUCUUGGCUUUAUCAUCAAGUUUUGAUCUCUCAUCUUUAGGGAUAUGAACAUACACUCUGCACUUAAACACCCUCAAGUGUUUAUAAGAAACAUCUUUCCCAAUCCAAACUCUUUUAGGUACAUCGUCAUCUAAUGGAGCUUAAGGAGAAAGAUUAAUCAAAUCAACUACAGUACGCAUAGCCUCCGCUCAGAAGGAUUUAUAAAGCUUGGCAUCAGAAAACAUACAUCUGACUAUCUUUUCAAUUGUUCUGUUCAUUAUUUCUGCAACACCACUCUGCUGAGGGGAUUUUGGUACAGUUUUCUUAAGUUUGAUUCCAUGAGAUCUGCAAUACUGCUCAAAUGGUCCUCUGUACCCACCAUCAUUUUCUGCCCUGACACAUUUCAAUUUUUUUCUUGUCCCUCUCUCAACAUAAGCACGAAAGAAUUUAAACAUAGUAAGCACGAAAGAAUUUAAACAUAUCAAGCACUUAAUCUUUAGAUUUUAAAGCAAAAGUCCAUACUUUUCUAGAACAAUCAUUAAUAAAAGUCAUAAAAUAAAGUGCACCUCCUAUUGAUCUAUUUUGCAUCAUGCAAAUAUCAAUGUGAAUCAAAUCAAGGAUUUGUGACUUUCUAGAUGGAGAAAAGCUUUUAAAAGUUACUUUAUGUGCCUUUCCAGCUAAACACUAAACACAAGUCUUGAGGGACGUACCUACAAAGCUUGGUAGAAAUCCUUUUUUGGCAAGAGUUCCUAACCCUUUCUCACCAAUGUGACCAAGCCUUUUAUGCCAUGUCUCAAUGUCAGAAUUGUUUACAGCCAUAUUCAUAUAUUCUUUCUUGAUUUUGGCUUCUAUUACGUAGAGGGUGUUCAUUUUCUUUCCUUUAGCCAACACUAGAGAGCCUUUGGUGAGCUUUCAUUUUCCUUCACCAAAUUAGUUAGUAUAACUAUCAUCAUCAAUUUUUCUUGUGGAGAUCAAAUUAAGACGAAUAUCUAGUACAUGCAAGCUUUUUUGUGGAGAUCAAAUUAAGGCGAAUAUCUAGUACAUGUCUGACAUCUUUAAGGAGUAGCUUAUAGCCAACACUGGUUUGAAGCAAAUAUCUCCUAUGCCCACAAUCUUGGAUGCCCCCUCAUUUCCCAUCCGAACAUGGUCAUAAUUACCAUUAACAUAGGAUGUGAAGUAAUCAUGAUGUGCAGUUGUUGUGCAAAUUUUAAUGUACUCGCAAGCGCACGAAUCUAUUGUAGUAUAGAUCAAUGGUGACGAGUGUCGAUCCCACGAGGAGGUGGAUUUUAAUUGUGUAUAGAAUUAAUUUUGCAAAUGGUUGAUUGGAUUUGUGGUGGAAAUGAUUUGGAAUAUGCUAAAACUUAAAUUAAAAUGGCGAGAAUAAAUUCUAAAAUUGGAAUUGAAAUUGCGAGAAUAAAGUUGAAGAGAAUUCUAUUGAAAUGACGUACUUGGGUAUCUGGAUCCGUAUCAACAUGCAUCAUGGGCUAAAUAAUGCGUAUUAAUGCCAAUUAAAUCAUGAGGGGGGAAUCCACACCUCAUGAACCACGCUCUAAUCAAUAUGGUGCUAAGGGCUUAUCGUGCCAAAUAAUAAUAACCUUGUACUAGAGAGCCGGUGUAACCAAGGCGGUACUAGACAAGAUUAGUAUUAUUUGUCGACGAGAAGUCAAAACAUCCACAAAAACUAGAGGGGAAGAGAAAAUAAAUUUACCAAAUAAAGCCCAUGACACAUGUUGAGACUUCACCUUCAACCCAAGCUUAAAAGAAAAUUAGCUACUCAUAAUUGAACUAAGGGCAAAAUGGGAAUUUAUUAAAAUACGAAGAAAAUACAAGAUAGAGAGGGAAUUACAGAAAAUGGAUCCCAAAAAUGGAUUCAGAGAUAUCAAAUUAGGGGGGGAGGCCCCCUUUUUAUAGAUACAUGGAGUAAAUCAUGGCAAUCGGAUUAAAAACAGUUUGGACGCUCAGGAUUGCGCCACGUCAUCAGUCAACAGUCCACGGUUUGACCACGCGGAUGAACAGUAAUACGGUUUGACCCAUAUGAACAGUACGCGGUUUGACCCGGAUGAACAGUAACGCGGUUUGGUUGAAAAUAAUCCUGUGUGAUGCAUGCACCGUACGCGAGAUUUUUUGUCCACUGAUAUGCUGCCACGUCACCAUCAACAGUACAUAAGAAUUUUAGUCCAACAGGAUCGUGACACCUCAUCAGUCAAUGCCACAUCAUCGAUCCGUCUAUGUGAGCAGUGCCGUGAACAGUAACAUAUACAGUACCGUAUACGUGAAUAGUACCGUACAUGUGAAUAGUGCUAUUUUUCCUUUUAUGCUCCUCCUAAGGUUUUCGACCGUCCUGAGUUCAAAAGUGAUGUCCGUUUUACCGUCUGAUCUCUCCUUUAUUGUGAAAUCACUAUAAUACCACUAAAAUACAUAAAAUACUUAAUUAAAAUAAAACACAUGUAAUUAAAUCACAAGAAGGUUAAAUACAUAAAAGUAAGGGUUGUUAGUAAGACUUGAAAUGUAAAAUGAUGGUUUUCUCCUUUAUAAAUAUGCAUUUUCUAACACUCAACAGCAGUAACCACGAUGUGCAGUAACAUCAAACGAAGCACCCGAAUCAAUCACCCAAUUACUGGUAUGGCAAGUAAGAUUUAUAGAGCUAUCAUUAUAAGCAAUGCCCAUAUCACCAUUAAUUACGGCUGUAACAUUCUCUUUGUCAUUUUUCUGACCAUCGCCUUUUUCUUUCGCAUGUUCUCUUUUCCACAAUUUACACUACCUUUUUACAUGGCCCAUUUUCUGACAAUGAAAGCACUUAGCUUCUCCUAUGGGACUUAGAUCUUCCUCCAGGGUUAUCAUUAUUCUGAUGACGGAAAUUUCUGCUUCGACUUCUCCCCCGUCUUUUUUGGUUUUCUGAAACAAGUGUAGCUGACUCAGAGGGAACUACUUCAGCAUUCUUUCUUCGAGAUUCUUCAUUCCGCAGUCUAUCUGUAACCAUAUCCAAGUUUAAUUUACCAUUCGGUGCCGAAUUAUUCACUGACACCACUAAUGUCUCCCAACUAUCAGGUAAAGAACUAAGCAACAACAAUGCUUGUAACUCGUCAUCUAGAAUAAUCUUCAUAGUAGUCAACUGAUCAACCAAACCCUGAAACUCACUAGUGUGUUCAGUAAUACUGUGGCCUUUUUUAUAUUUCAAGUUAACAAGCCUUUUCAUUAGAUUGACUUUAUUUUGUGCUGUUGGCUGCUCAUAAAUUAUUUCUAAUUUUCUCCAAAGAACAUCAGCCUUGGAUUCCUUCGCGACAUGAUGGUACACACUCUGAUCAAUCCAUGACCUAAUAGUGCCCACGGCUUUCUGGUUCAAUUGAGCCCAUUUCUUAUCAUCUAUAUCAACAAGUUUAACUUCAUCACCUUCAAUAGGUUCAUGUAAGUCUUUCAUGUAGAGCAAAUCUUUCAUUCUAGACUUCCAAAUAUCAUAAUUCCACGACUCAAUUUAAUCAUGAACGCCAAAGACUCCUCUAUUUCAACCACAUAAGUAAUAAAAACACACAACCUGGCUCUGAUACCACUCUAUUGGGAAAACGACUACCACAAACAGCUACAAAUUAAGCGAAAAUAAAAUUCUUUUCCUCUUUGUGUGAUUAAAAUAGGAUGUGCACCAUAAACAAAUAAGCAGAAAAAUUAAUCAAUAAAUUCAAAGCAAAAAUCAACCACAAGAGACACCGAUUUUAACGUGGAAAAUUCAAAUCGGGAAAAACCAUGGGACAAUAGUCCGAUAUAAAUUUCCACUAUAUUAAUGGGAUUACAGUACAAAUUCUUCUCCAGAUAACACUAGAGGUUAACAACAUCAAGAUUUUCAACAAUCUUGGCUUACAAUAAUAGAUCUAAAAUCUAUUUCUUCAAUAAGUGAGUAUCUCCAAUAACAGCUAAUGAGAGAAUAAAAUAUAGAUCAACACGAGUAGAAAUGUAAAGGGCGAUGUCAGGAACUUAUCCUCCAAAUUUGGGAGAAAUCAAAGCUAAAAUUAUUUUUCGAUCGUUGAAUCAAAGAUUGAAAACCCAAAGAAAAAAAAUAUCUUUUUCUCUCGCAACGUCUUCUCACUUGCGCGAAAUGGCUACAUCUCUCGCGAUUAUUCACUUAUUUCCUUUAUAUUUUUUUUGGUUAAUUUCAUCCAAGUCUAAAAUUUUACAAUAAUUACACAUCAAGCAAAUUAUUUUGGACUUUGGGCUUUUGGUCCACUGAAGUGAGAUGGACCCUACAGAAGCAAUAAUCAGUGCAAGAAAAUUAAGUGAAGUUCCAGAGAUGAUGGCAGAUCUAAACCCUUUUGUAAAACUCCAAUAUCUUGGCCUCCGAAUUCUACCAAAAUUAAAAAAGCGUCUAUUGGAAUGUGUUGCCCUCUCCACAUGUCAGGGAAAUUUUUGUAUCUGAAUGCCCAAUUCUCAUUAGAGGAGAGGAACACUGGUGGAAUAAGUUGCAAUGGGAGGAUGAAGCAACCUAUAAUGCUUUUCUUCCUUGUUUUGGAUCCAUUUGAUGGGCAUCAACAUGGAUUAAUAUUUUGCAGCGAACCAAUUUGAAUAAAACUUACGGUAAGUGCUUUUCCAUUUAUUGCAUAUUUAUAUCUAAUUUUUGUUUUCCUUUAUGGUUAAAUUUUGCCCUGUAUAUGUUGUUGUACGGUGACAUUCUUGAAUCAAUUAUUAAUUUUUUUAAUUCUCGUCUCACAACCACCCUUUUGAUCAUGAGGAUAUGCCGAUAUCAAAGAGUCAUAAUUUGGGAUACAAAUGUAAGAAUUAGGCAGAUGACAUGUUGUUUCAAAGCUUUCGAAGAAGGACUAAAUAUGUCAUUGAAAGCCUCCAAUUUUGCGACUGAUUUUUUUUUAAUUUGUUAUUUUUAUAGGUGGCAAAAAUACCCGUCUGAUUUGGACUCGGCUGAUUUGGGCCGGGUACGGAGUAUGAAGCCGGGUUGGUCCUGGGCAUCACUUGAAACUCGGAACCUGGAUUUUAUUAAAAAAUAUUAUAAAUAUAUAUUAUUUUAAAUAUCUAUAUUUAUUAGACUCAUCUAUUACAUAUAUCUAAUUUCAUUGAAAUAAAUUUAAAAAUUAUAAAAUUACCAAUAUAUAUAUAUAUAUAUAAUAUUAAAAAAGUAUAAAAUCUGAGUCCUCAGAUUAAAACCCAGUUCAAGUGUCUAAAAAAUACAUGUGGACCGAGUUUGAACAUUGCGAUACCCAGACCCAAACUUGGGUUUUGCCAACCCUAGUCUUUUAAAUUGCUUGAUUGUAAUGUUUUAGUAUAGAAAAAUGAUAGCCAAGACAACAAUAAGAGGGCACAUUGUGCAUGCACAAUAGUGGAUAAUUUCGGCAUUCCAAAUCCAAUUAGGGUGGAUAACCUUUUAUUAGUAUUAACCUUCUCUCGUAUUCAAGUAAUGUAAAAUAUGCUUAGAAGCUGUGGAUCCCCCUUUAUAAGUGUUGGGCUUAUGCCAAACUCGAUUGAUGUGGGAUGCCUUUAUAGGCAUCAAGUUUUCUCCCAUACACUUUAUGUUAAAAAUAAUAAUGAUAAAAUAAAUCCAUUUUAAAAUAGACUUCUUUUUCUUUUCUAUAUAAACAAACUCAUUCUUCAAAUCAGUUGUGGGUGGAAGGAGUGAGUAGAGAAGAACUGGGCCCCUUUCGUUCCUCUAAAAACCUCACCAAACCUCUCUUGUAAGCUUCUCAGUGUCCCUCUCAAUAUUUCUUAUGAUCUCGUUUUUUAUUGAAUCACUUCUUUUGUGUGCUGCAUUUUUGUGUGUCGUAUUUGGGUUUAUCUUAUCUGGAAUCCUGUUAUGAUUGAUGGAACAAGUAAUCGAUUUUUGGUUUAUUUGGAAUGGAAUUAUGGUUUAUUUGGAAUGGAAUUAUCUGGGUGUAACGGAUUAAAUUAUGACAUUGGGGAGAAGGCACUAAGGGGUUUGCUUGACACAUUUGGUUCUGUGUUUACUCUGAAAGAAAUAGCUUUUGCUUAUCGUAAUGCAAGGCGAAAUCCCGAUUUGGGUGGUGAAUUUCUCUAUCCCAAUUGGGCUGGUGAAUUUCUCUGUGACAAAUAGGCAAACAGCUCAACCUCUUUUAUCUAUCUUCUACUAGUGAGGCAAGGGAUAAAAAGUCUUCAAAAUCAUCAAAUAGUAACAUCUUCGAGAAUUCAUUUUAUGCAAAUGGAAAAUCUAGACCUUCUAAGACAAAAUGGCGUCCAGUAUCAAGAGGUACCGUUUCAAGUUUUCUUGGUAAAAAUUAUGUAAACUUGCACAGCCAGCUAAUGGCACUUUUCUAGUUUUCUGGCAUCAAAGCCAUUGAAGUCGUAUCCAAAGGAGUUUCCCAUGUCUGCACUUUGUGGAGAAGGAACUAAACAAAAACAAUCAAAGGAUGACCAUUUGCAGAAGGAUGUGGAAGAUUUUCUGUUUAAAUUGCUAGGAGAAGUGUUCCAGCUGAAUAGGGAUGUGAUUCGGGAAGUUCCAGUAAUGUCUUAAAUAUGUUGAUGCCAAUUUAAUAUAUAUUGUCAUUUUCAAUGUUCUUUCUUUCUUUCUUUAUCUUCUUUUCUUCUACUUCUUCUUCUUUUUCUUUUCGUGUGCAUGUGAUCACUAAUUUGUUAUUAUACUUAACUUGCAGGUAGUUGUGGAUAUGAUAUGCAAAAGGUAAGGACUAUAUCUUCCUGAUAGAGGCCUCUGCUUUUUCCCUUUUAUGUAAUUUAGUAAAUCUCAUCUCCCUUUGUGAUUGUUAUAUCAUAUCAAAGUCAAGUCUUAAAUACUGCUGUCAUAUGUUAAGGUUCAACUUGCAUUUUGACUAACAUCCAUUUGUUGUCGCUUCCAAAAGUGAGAAUGAGAUACUUCGGUUAAUUUCAGUAGUUGAACCCAAUCGAGUACUUUAUCUAGAUCUUCAUGGUUCAAAGGCCUGAAACUUGCCCGUGAUUGUAAAAUGAUAUUAUGUGCUUUUAAUGCAAUAGGGGGAACAAGGUGUCAAAGGAAUUAGCAGAUUCUAUGGCAGAUUCUAUGCCUGUACAACUGUAACAAUUAUCCUUAUGAUUGUAAAUCUUAUAUGUUUUCCUUAUUUAGGAUAUACUAGCUGUAGGCUAUUUUAGAUAGUUAUGUAUAUGAUAGUUUAGCUAUGUUUAGGGCUAAACAUAAGCUUGUAUUCAUAGUAUAUAAAGGGAAUUCUCUUCUAAGAGAAAGCAUAACUUUUGCUCAAAAUUCUCUGAGUUUAUCAUGGUAUCAGAGCCUCAGUUCUGAAUUCUCUUCUUCCUAGUUCAUUCCCUUGUUCUUAGUUAUUCUUUUUUUUAUCAAGUUAUCUCAGCCUCAUGUCUUCAGACAAGUAUGAUGCUUUUUUGAUCCGUUUUAAUGGCACAAACUACUCAGCCUGGGCAUUUCAUUUCGAGAUAUUUGUCAAAGGCAAAGAUCUAUGGGGACAAGUUGAUGGCAGGAAACCUGCCCCUGAUAAAGAGAUAGACCAGGAUGGGUACGCCAAGUGGGAAGUCAAGGAUGCUCAAAUCAUGGCAUGGAUUCUAGGAUCUGUGGAAUCCAACUUCAUCUUGAAUCUUCGACCCUUCAAGACUGCAGCAGGAAUGUGGAAUCAUCUAAAGAAACUCUACAGUCACACCAACACUGCUCGUUGAUUUCAGCUUGAACAUGAGCUAGCCAAUCUCCAACAAGGCAGUCUCUCUAUUUCUGAUUUUUAUUCUAUCUUUAUGAUUAUUUGGGCUGAAUAUACUGAUAUAAUCUAUGCUACCUUACCUCCGAAGGUCUUAGUUUUGUUCAAUCUGUACAUGAAACUACUAAGAGAGAUCAAUUUAUGAUAAAACUGAUAUAUGAAUUUGAAAGCACUAGGUCCAAUCUUAUGAAUUGAGAAUCUGUCCCUUCCUUGGAUACAUGCCUCAAUGACUUAUUUCAUGAGGAGCAACGACUUCUUACUCAAAAUACCAUGAAACAAAAAAAAUCUACUUCUGUUCCUAUGGCUUAUGCAGCUCAAGGCAAGCCAAAAGGUAAGGACAUCAGUAUAGUUCAAUGUUUUUGUUGCAAAGGAUUUGGACAUUACGCUUCAAAUUGUUCAAAAAAAUUAUGCAACUAUUGCAAAAAAGAUGGACAUAUCAUUAAGGAAUGCCUUACUCGACCCCCCAAGAAAUCUGAAACAACAUAUGCUACCUCAGUUGGUUCUUCUAGUGAUGGUAGUUCUGUGGAUACAGCACAUUUGACCCAAAGUGCUCCUGUUCCUGUUCAAUCUGUGACCCCAUAAAUGAUUCAACAAAUGAUCAUUAUUGUAUUCUCCUCAUUAGGACUCUCAGGUAAAUCACCCACUAGAUCUCCUUGGUACUUUGAUUCUGGGGCUUCCCAUCACAUGACAAACAAUGCUAAAUUCUUCACCAAUGUAAGUAAAUACCUUAGAAAUCUAAAAAUUCAUACAGCUGAUGGCAACUCUUUACCUAUCACAGCCACUAGUGAUGUUUCUUUUUCUAUAACCAAUGUCUUUGUCUCUCCUGGUCUUCCUACUAAUCUUGUUUCAAUCGGUCAGUUAGUUGACAAUAAUUGUAAAGUAGAAUUCUCUAAAUCUAGUUGUGUUGUGCAGGAUCAGCAGUCAGGGAAGAUGAUUGCCAGGGGGCCUAAAAUAUGACGUCUUUUCCCUCUCCAAUUUGCUAAGUCUCCAUGUUUCUCUUUGCCUAUCAUCACUUGCAAUUUUACUAAGGUUAAUUAUCGAGCAUGGCAUAAACGUCUAGGACACCUAAACUCUAAUGUAUUUUAUGCUUUGCUAAAUUCUGGUUUACUUGGGAAUAAAAGAUCACCAUCCCUUAGUGUUGUUCAAUUUGAUUGCAAUUCUUGCAAGCUUGGAAAAAGUAAAAUUCUGCCAUUUCCCACUCACACACCGAAUGUUGUCCAGCCUUUUGAUUUGAUACAUAGUGAUGUGUGGGGUAUGGCGCCUGUUACAUCUCAUGCUAAUUACAAGUACUUUGUCACUUUUAUUGAUGACUAUAGUCGCUUCACAUGGAUUUAUUUUCUACAUUCUAAAGAUGAAGUGUUCUCUGUUUUCAAGCUUUUUCAUGCAUAUAUUCAGACCCAAUUUUCUACUAAUAUCAAAAUUCUUUGCUUUGAUAAUGGGGGUGAGUAUAUGUCUCAUUUAUUUUAAGAAUUUUUGCACACCAAUGGUAUAAUUUCUCAAAGAUCUUGUCCUUCAACCCCUCAACAAAAUGGGGUGGCUGAAAGAAAGAACUAUCACCUUCUCGAUGUUGUCUUCAUUUGUACCCUCUCGUUUUUGGUGUGAAGCUUUCUCCACUGUUGUCUAUCUCAUCAACAGAUUGUCCUCUCAUUCCUUGAACCAUGUCUCCCAUUUCUUUCAGUUAUUUGGCCAUACACUAAGUUACUCUCAUCUCCAUACCUUCAGUUGUGUGUGCUAUGUUCAUCUUCCUCCAUAUGAGCGUACAAAACUCACAGCCCAAGCUGUGAAAUGUGCUUUUCUAGGAUAUUUUAUGCACUAAAAAUGUUUUCUUUGUUAUGAUCCAAAUUUGCAUCAUAUAAGGGUUUCUCGAAAUGUGAUUUUCUUUGAAAAUCAGUAUUUCUUUUCCGCAUACCACGACGAUUCUUCGCCUUCAUUUUCUGUUUUGCCAAAGUUUACUAACCCUUCUGCAGAUUCUGCACCUUCUAAACCUAUCAUAGUCUAUCAGCGACGCAAGAAUUUAGUACCUCUCGGGCCCCCUCCAGCAACUUCCCUGAAUGUUGAUCCAGUUCCAGCAACUGCACCUGAACCUUUCAGACAUAGUACUCGGGUUCGUAGACCACCAGAUAGGUAUGGUUUCACCUCUCCAUUAUUUUUGACAGCCACUUUGUCUUCUAUUCUUAUUCCUUCAUCAUAUAAACAGGCAAUAGAGCAUGAAUUUUGGUGAAAAUCUAUUGAAUCAGAACUUCUUGCACUUGAAGAAAACCAAACUUGGGAUAUUGUUUCAUGUCCUCCAUCCGUGAAACCCCUUAGUAGUAAGCUAGUGUUUUCUAUCAAGCUGCGUUUUAAUGAAUCCAUAGAUCGUUACAAGGCUCGGUUGGUGGUUCUUGGCAACAAGCAAGAAUAUGGCCUAGACUACGAUGAGACCUUCGCGCCGGUAGCCAAAAUGACCACUGUUCGAACAAUAUUAGCCCUUGCUGCAUCACAAUCAUGUUCUUUACAUUAAAUGGAUGUAAAGAACGCUUUCCUACAUAGUGAUCUCAAGGAGGAAAUUUACAUGAAACUUCCCCACGGUAUGACUACUUCCUCUCCUAAUGAUGUUUGCAAACUAAAAUGUUCGUUGUAUGGGUUGAAGCAAGCACCGCGAGUAUGGUUUGAGAAGUUUCGAUCAACUCUUUUCAGUUUUUCAUUCACUCAAAGUCAGUAUGACUCCUCCUUUUUUUUUUCCAACAGACAUCUAAGGGCAUCAUUGUUCUCCUUAUUUAUGUGGAUGACAUCGUUAUCACUGGUUCUGAUAUGGAGGCAAUUUCUAAACUUCAGAAUUUGUUGCACUCUAUUUUUCACAUGAAAGACCUCGGUCAACUCACCUAUUUUUUGGGGUUAGAGGUGCAUUAUCUGCCUCAAGGUAUCUUCUUGAAUCAACACAAGUAUAUUCAGGAUUUAAUUUAAUUAGCUGGACUUAUGGACAAAAAUUCUGUUGACACCCCAGUGGAACUUAAUGUGAAAUAUCGACAAGACGAAAGGGAACUACUUCAAGAUCCUACUUAUCUAUCUAACUAUCACCCGCCCAGACAUCUCUUAUGCUGUCCACACCGUUAGCAAGUUCAUGCAAGCCCUUCGACAUCUCCACGUAUCCACAGUCCGCCGCAUCAUUAGAUAUAUUCUUGGCACUCUUAACUGCAGUUUAUUCUUCCCUACUGGUUCUUCACUCCAACUACAAGCCUACAAUGACGCAGAUUGGGCUAGCUGCCCGGACACGAGAAAAUCUACUUUGGGAUGGUGCAUGUUUCUUGGUGAUGCCCUUAGCUCUUGGAAAUGCAAAAAGCAAGACUCAGUCUCCAAAUAAUCCACUGAGGCAGAAUACCGCGCCAUGUCUGUAGCCUGCUCCAAGAUCAUUUGGUCGCGUGGUCUCUUAACAGAGCUUGGUUUCUCACAACAUCAACCUACUCCCCUACAUGCUGACAACACAAGUGCCAUCCAAAUUGUAGCCAACCCUGUCUACCAUGAGCGCAUGAAACACAUAGAGGUUGACUGCCACUCUAUUCGAGAGGCCUAUGACCACCAAGUUAUCACCCUCCUGCAUAUCUCCACUACUCUACUGAUUACGAAUAUCUUCACCAAAUCCAUGACAUGUCAGCGACAUAACGUUCUUGUUAGCAAAUUGAUGCUUGUAGAUUUACCAGCAUCAAUUUGAGGGGGGAUGUCAAAGGAAUUAGUAGAUCUUAUGGCAAAUUCUAUGCCUGUACAGCUGUAACAAUUAUCUUUAUGGUUGUAAAUCUUAUAUUUUUUCCUUAUUUAAGAUAUACUAGCUGUAGGCUAUUUUAGAUAGUUAUGUAUAUGGUAGUUUAGCCAUGUUUAUGGCUAAACAUAAGCUCGUAUUCAUAGUAUAUAAAGGGAAUUCUCCUCCAAGAGAAAGCAUAUGAAAGAAACUUAGUUCUAUAUUGUUUGGUAGGCUAGAAAAUGAAAGAAAAUAAAAGAAAAGCUUUGCAAAGAAAACUGUUAGAUCCUUUUAUUAUACCAAACUUACAGUUUAAUGACUAAAAAUUGAUAUUUAUAUUGAGCUACAAACUCUUCACACACACACACGAGAUUGUUGCAACACAUAACCAAUUGCUGUAUAACUAACUUGACACAUCAGCUCAACCAGCUAACUAACUUUGACAGGUCAGCUUAAUGAUUUGAUCUGAUACAACCAGCUACACAGCAACAUCAUGCUCUGCUCCAGCUUCAUCUAAUUCACUAACAACUUUUGCUCAAAAUUCUCUUAGUUUAUCACAGGGAAGUAUAGCUUUGGAAAAGGCCGGAUCAAUAACUAUGGAGAGAUUUAUAAGUGAUAAAAAUUCCCGUAACCCGCUGUCAAGAAAAUUUCACAUAGUUAAAGACGCCAUUUUGUUUCAGCCAAAAAUGUUUGUUUAAUCUGCCAAAAAUGUUUGUUUCGAUUAAAGACUUGAACCGUUUUCAUUUAACCUGAUUGUGAUGCUUUAUGUUAUGUAUGUUCCUCUCAAUCAAGAAAAGUUGAGGUUCAUGAUUUUAUAUUUCUAUCUUGUAACUUGCAAUAAUAACUGGUCUUCUUGUUUUUGUAGCUUGAUAACAUGAAUUUUCCUUCUCAAGUUAAUUUGAUCAAUAAAGUAAUUCUUCAAAGAAAAUAUGCCCAUUCUAUAAUCAUUUUCUUAGCUAAUAUGUUUUUUUUUUGUUUACUCUUCAGAGUGUGUCGAAACUAAUUGAUUGCUCGGCAGAGACUUUGGGUGACAAGUCAAAAUUUCAUGGUAAAUCCUCUGAAAAGGUAUGCAUAAUUCCUGAAUAUUAAAUAACCAAUGGUCAUAGUUUUUGUACACGACUCUUUUUGUGGAGAUCGUUAAAAGUGGUUGAUGAUCCAUUUGUAAUUUCAUAGAGGGAUCAUCAAUUCCUUUUCUUUUCUGUGGCUAGGCAUCACUUUCGUGCCAAAGUAAGGAAAUCUAUUUUAGGUAAUGUAAAAAACAAUGGUAGGAUGUAAUAGCUUAUUAUGCACUGACAAUAACUUUUUGUAUAAUUGUCAGUUUAAGGAAUACAAGAGGAACUCUGUUGACAAAUUCAUCCAAGAUAGAUGCUAAAAUUAUUUAUGCAUGCCAGUUGCCUUAACUAAUUUUUCUUAACACUUGUAUUGAACAGGAAAUGAGUAUGCAAUUUGUGUACGUGCCAUUGUGGAGAAUUUGGAUAUUCUUAUUUAAGUAAGAAGAAGAGUAUUUGCCUCAUCUUUAAACAAUGAAUCUUUGAGAAAUGAGGAGUGGGUGAUUGGAAGUGUCUUCAUGUAAAUGUUCAUUUACUUGUAUUUUGAACUAUUAUGAGAAUCUUUUAUAUGCCAAAUUAGUAAUACAAAUGUUCAGAUGAUUUUUCCUGUUGAUCACGCGUUUGUGUCUGCAGACAACCAUUGUAUAUCACUUUAUUCUGAUGUGCAAUUAUGUAUAGAUUAGAAGAAAAGAAAUAAUAGUCUUAUAUUAUUGUUUGGUUCAUGAUUAUUAAACGAUUAUGGCUUCAAAAAAUCUACAAAUUCCUUCUGUUCAUAUAUGAAUGUGCCAAGUUUGCUAUAUCUUAGAUUGCCUUCUUCCAAGAUAACAAGUUCAUAUGUUUUUUAAUCCUCUUCAAUCACAGUUGAAUUUUAAGUGUUAAGAUUUGUUAUUAAUACCUGGUUCCCUGUUAUUAUGAUUUUUAUUAUGAUUUCAUAAACAGUGUACGGACAUGUGCUCUACUUUUAAAGGGCCUCCACGUGAAAGAAAAUUGCAACAAUUGAAUUCUUCCGGAGGGUAUGGCAUUUAAUUUAUUUUCUCAACUUCUUGUAAGACUAAUAUAUUUCCUUCAGUAGGCAGGGCAUGUUGGGAAGGGCUUUUAUUGAAAGAAUUCUGAUAUUUCUUAGACUUUGUUUUGGAAGGGAGGUGGAGGGAUUUCUCAUCCAUAUAUGGUUACUUGAUUAGCUUUUGACUGUAUUGCCUCAGUCGUGCAAAGGAAGAUCCAAAUACUAAUGAAUGAGAAUUGGUUAGAGACCCAAAAGACAGAAAUGAACUACAGAAGGAAGUUUUUGCUGCUUUAUUUAGUGUUCCUGAGAACUCUGAUGAAGAUGGAGUGGAGGUCCAAAGCAUUAAGAAAGGUGGUGAGUGAACCGCCAGAGGAAUUGGUACCAGAAUACAAAGCUAAUGUGGUGCAUUUGCAGCAAGAUAACCAGACUAGUAUGUGCUCUUGUAUUAACUAUAUUGACUGGAUUUGUGAGCAUGUUCAUUUUUGUGUGUAUAAUCACUUUUGUAUUUAUGCAUAUUAAUGUUAGUAGGAUUCUUGAUUUCCUCCACUUACUGGAGAACUAGUGGAAAGCUUUAUAGUGAAAUAUCUGCAAUAACUAAUGGAAACCAUGAUUUGAAUAUUUUCUCUCACCUGGAGAGCUUUGUAACAGAUGUACUUUGUGGCUAUGGAAUACUAGAGAUUCUGCAAUAACUAAUGGAAACUCUGAUAUGAAUAUUUUCUCUCACCUGCAGAACUUUGUAACAGAUACACUUUGUGGCUCUGGAAUGUCUAAAGAUUUUGUCUGCUUCAGUUAGAUCAAAUAUCUUUUAGUUACCUACAUUAUGGAAAAGAUAGAGUUCUCUGAAUCUGAAAGACUGAAACAUUUUGCAUAUUUCGUGAAAGGAAAAUAUCUGUAGAUACUAGUUCAUGCAUUGAGGUAACAUCAAUGUUAAAGAAAAACAGCAAUAACUUAUUAUAUAGAAUUAGGUUCACUUGCUUUAAAUGCUGGUCUGGUCAACCAUAUGAACCUGUAAGUGUAUCUGCAGAAAUAUAUAUGGGGGGACAAACUAGCUAAAUUUUCCUCUCAUUUCUGGCUUUGGUCAUUUUUUCCCCUUAUUUUUCAGCUUUCCUUCUCCUGAAGUAUGUUAACAAUUGCAGAUAAUGACGAAGAGGACAGCUUGCAGGCUCUUCGUGGAGCUGUGAUGGAAUAUAGGGGCACAAUGAAAGAACAUUUUAAAGCUGUAGGUUCUUUUUCUCCUGUCAUUUAUAUUUGCUCACACAUUUUUCAUAUGCUCCAAGCAUGCAAGUUUGUAUGUGUCUUUGCCUUUUAAGUUUUAAAAACCAUAAGGUAAGAAUACAGUUCCUCGUCAGGUUAUUGAUGCAUUCACUCCGGAGGAUCAUGUUCGAGCAGGAAAACUUCUAGAACAGGCAAGGUUUUCCAUCUACAGCCAUCUAUUGACAACAGAUACAUUUUCAUUCAGCAGACACUGUUAGCAUUCAAGAUGCUGGCAGAUUCACUUGAUUCUUAUUAGUUUGUUUAGUGGUAAAGCAUAUAACCUGUUUUUCAAAGCCAAGUUGUGCUAUUGAUUAUGUUAACUUUAUUGUUCACAUAAAGUGAUAUGGAGGAAAUAAUCAUUGUAGGAAAAUUAGGUGAAGAGGUGAUGUCAAAUCUUGAACCUGUUACAAAACUCCAAGUUCUUUACUUGAAGAAGCUACCAAAUUUGAACAGGGUCCACUGGAAGGCCUUGCCAUUCCCUGAUGCCUGCAGAAUUUUUGUAUUUAAAUGCCCAGAGCUUAAGAAGCUGCCACCGGAUCUUGAAAGGGCAGGCCAAGGUAAAAUUCUUAUCAAGGGAAAGGAAGAUUGGUGGAAACAACUUCAAUCGGAGGAUCAAGUAACUCAGAAUGCAUUGCUUCUAUUUUUAAAAUCAACUGACAAGUGAUUGAAGGGGGCAUCAUCAACAUCAUCAACAUGGAUGGAGAGAUUCAGGAGCAGAUCCGCAGGGUUUAUUACGACCUGUGGUGGUUGCUUUUUUGUGACUUGUUCCCUUUCAUUUUUUCACUUCCUGUCAUAUUAUCAUUUCUUUGUCUCUGUUUCUAUUGCUGAUGUUGCUGCAUGCUUGCAGCCCUUGACAAAGUUAGCAAUGCAAUAUAGAUUUUGAAAUUAAAUUUUGUAUGUUCGGGACAGUCACAAAGUACUACUUGUUCUAUAUGGGGGUGAUGUGAAUCAACUUUUCAAUUAUAUAUUCUGUGGUAAUUGUGAAUUCAAUUUCAUUUGUCUCCUGCAAAUUAUGAAGAAAGUGCAGAGUUAGAAUAUCGAAAAGUUCACUGGCAAAUACUUUGUAAAAGCUUCGGAGUGAAACAGGGAAUGCACUUGCAACUAAGGACAAAUUGGUGGCCAGCUAAUGCAUUCAUUUUAUGUACAUUCAUCUUUUUAAUUAUUGAAGAUAAGUGGUUCGUUGCUUUUGUUGUAGAAAAAAUUCAGACGACCUCAAUUGUGAGAUGAAAAUAUUUAAAAUAUCUCUUAAAUUAUUAUAAACUUUAAUUUAUCUUAAUUUUAUUUAAAAGAUAAAAGAAAAAUGUGGUAUAUGGGUAAAAAUUUUUUUAUCUUGUUAAUAAAAUGAAAUAAAUUAAAAUUUACAAUAAUUUAAAGUAUUUUAAAAUUAUUAUUUCAUAAGAGAUUAAUAUGAAAUUAAUCCUUUUUACUUUUUGAAUGUGAAAGGACAAGAAAAGAGAAAGCUAGUGUCACUGCUUUUUAUUUUAUUUGAAAUCGGAGUUAUCCCAUAUACUUUACUACUUUAGCUCUAACAUUACAAUGUUUUUAGGCUACACUUUUAUUUUUCUUUUUCCCCCUUUUUUUAUACAUGCAUGUGGAUUACUUUUCUCUAAGCUCCUUAAUAUUUAAGACAAAUCAUAAAAGCAAUUGAAGCAUAACAAGAUGAUCAAAACAUUUAACCGAAAAAAAAAGAAAUAAAACAUUGAAAAUGGAGAUGUUGAUUAAUUUAGAAGAGAUGCAAGCAAAAAAUAUUCCCAAAAAAAAAAAAAAAAAAAGCAACGUUAGUUCAUCCAUGUCUGUCAAUGCGUUUUUUAUGGUUUUUUUUUUCCAGUUGUUUGUUGUAAUAGAUUAAUUGUAAAUUGAUAUAAACUUGAUGUUGUAAUAUGUUCGCUUUUGUGGAAAUAAAUUUCAAUAUUCAAGAUUAUUCAAGUCUUAUCUAGUAUGUGUUCGGUUGUGUUGUCGAUAAUUUUACAUUCUAAUAAGUUUUCACCUAAAAUAUUAGCAUGAGUAGUAGUCCUUAAACCUUUGGUCAAAAUUAUUGUUAUUGUUUCUUUUAGAGGAAAUUUUUUUAUUAAAGCCUCGUUAACACUAUUCCUUAUUAAGAUUAUAAGUUAGUGUCGGUGCAGGAUUUGCAGCGACAAAUCUUGUCUAGCCACGUGUCAAAAUACAAAUAAAUCAAGGGAAAGCACAUGACAUGGAUUAGGAUCCAAUAAAAUUUAAAUCCCAAGGAAAAGGACAACUGUAUCCUAAAGUUUCAAUAAGAGAUACUGGGAUAUCUUUUGACUAAUGUUAUUUUUUGGCUUUAUUAAUAAAAAGAUCCAAUAGUUUAUAACAAAUAAAAAUAUAGUAUUAAGCUAAAUGUGAUAAUUUACACAUUUUACAUAAUUUCAAUAAAAAUUUUUUUAAUGUUUUACAAUCUAUCAGACAUAUUUUAUUAAAUUAAUAAGAAUUUUCUUAUAAAUAGCAACAUAAUAUUAAAAUAAAUUUAUAAAAAUUUAAAUGUAAAAUAAUUUUAGUAUAAUUAAUACGCGGGAUAUAUUUUGUAAAUUAUAAAAUUACUUAACCCAAUGAUUUUUAAAAAUCUUUAAAAUAAAUAAAAAUAAAUUAUUCACAUUUUGAUGUAAAUAUUUAAAACAUUUUUAUACAUUAGUCCACAAUUAUUUAUGUUAUAUUUGUAUUUAUUAGAAAUUUUGAAAGUCAAAUGUUUUUUACCUCUAUGUUAUUAGAAUUAUUGCACACAGAGAAAGAGCCAUAUAUGCUUUAUAACUUUAAAAUCGAUUUGUUUUAUAGCUGGGAAUAGAGAUGAUCAUUAUUAUAAGGAUUUUUUAAAAAAAGAUAAAGAAUAUUAAUGAUUAGCGAAAUCUCUAUGGAAAUUGAAUUUAGUAAGAAAAAAUUGAGCUGAUUUUAGUGGUAUAGUAAUAUUUUAUAUAGAGAAAAGUAAAAGCUGCACCCAAGGUUAAGGGAAAUGGUCAAAAUUCUUUUUUAAUCAUAAUACCCUUUUUCCUAGAUAAUUUAAAAAUUUUACUCUAAUAGUUUAUAAUAAAUAAAAACAUAUAAUCCUAAAAUAAAUAAAAUGAUAUAUAUUUUAAAAUAAUCUCAAUAUUUAAAAUAUAUUUUAACAUUUUAUAAUCUAUUAGAUAUAUUUUAUUAUAUUAAAGUAAAUUUUAUAAUAAAUACAAAACAUACUAUUAAAAUAGAUAUAAAAAUUUUAAAGUAUUUUGAAUAUUAUAUAAAAUAACUUUAAUAUUGUUAAUGCAUGAGAUGCAUUUUAUUAAUUAAAAAUUCUAUGUAACCCAAAGAUUUAUUUAUAAUAAAUUAAUAAUCAUAUUUUUGAAAUUAUUUUAAAUAUUAAAAAAUAUUUUAAUAUUACUAACUAUUAGAUAGACUAAACUAUUUAUUUUAUUUUCUAUUUAUUAUAAAAUUUCAAAGUUAAUCUUUUUAACUACUAUUCAAAAGAUGUUAUGAUAAAAACAGAAUUUUUGUGUUUUUAUUGAAAAUUUGGAGUUUACAUCUAUUUUUUCAAAUAUUCAGGGUGUAACUGUUUUUUCCCUUUUAUAUAUACGAACGGUGGUGAGAAAGUUUGAUUUAACGUUAUUUAUUUAAAUAAAAUCUCAGUUAAAAAUGUACAGAGAAGAAAUUUCGGUUGGUAUUUUAGUCUUGGUAAUCUCUAUAUUAUAUGCAUAUAAGAUACAUCAUUCUCACAUGAAUAGUAUAUGUGUGAGAUCCAUAUAUUAUUCAUGUGAGGGAGAUGUAUCUUAAUAAGAUAGAGGGAUCCGUUAGUCUUUUACCAAUCAUCACGAUUAGGCCUUGGCCUUGAAACAUUAAUUGUUUCACUUUUAGCGCUAGUGGCGUUGAAAGUUGUCAAGAAAAAGCAAGACCAUAUUCCACAAAAGCAAAAGUAACGUAGGCUCUUUUAUUAAAGGCAAAGUAUAAAGUAGUCAAGAAUCGAAUAUCCUGUCGUCUACUCUUUUUUAAAUUCUUCUUUUAUUAUCGUUUAGAAUAGUUUUUGGUAAUUACAAUCAUUAUUCAGAGUUAUUGUUAUCUUCCGGGGCAGUCUCUGUUCAUCGAAGUCGUUACCUUUUUUUUAAUGGAUCAGUUCCAGUGGUAAGCAGUAAUUUUCUUAGAACUCGGAUCUUUAAUUCGAGUUUCUGUGUGAAUUAAUAAUAAAAAAUUUUCAUUACACGCAAUUUAAGCUACGAAUUACUUUUUGCAAAGUUGAAUAUGGAAUUGGAGAAAUUAAGUAAUUUAGAAUGUUGGUAAAAAUUGACGAACAUAUCUCCAAUUACAGUAAAACCUCUCUACAGUCAUAACAUUAUAACAAAAUUAAUUUUAUUACUAUGUUGAGGUAAUAUAGGUUUAGUUACAAAAUUAUUGUUUUAAUAUGGUUAGUGUCAAGUGAUAUAAAGGUUAAGUAUGCAGUACAUUAAUAAUUAAAUAAUGAAGUGUCAAAUCUAAUGUAUAUAUAUUAAUGAUAUAGAUAGACAUAGUUUUAAAAAACUAAUUAAUGUAUAUUUAUGUAGUGUUAUGAAUAUGGAAAGUCAAGCCUACACUUUACAUUAUCCUUAAUUUUUUCUCUCAGUUAAAUUCUACAAAUAUUGUACAAUGGUUGGGCAAGAACUCUAAAUUAAGAAUAAAUUAUUGUCACAAAUAAUUUUAGAAAAUAUUUUAUUUCGUCUUAAACCUUUAAUAUAAAUAAACAUAUAUAUAUAUAUAUAUAUAUAUAUAUAUAUAUAUAUGUGUGUGUGUGUGUGUGUGUGUGUGUGUGUGUGUGUGUGUGUGUGUGUGUGUGUGCAUAUUUUGCAACGUAUAGAUAAUUGUUAGUAUAUGGAGACAAGUCUUUUAAGGUAGGACCUAGGAAAAUUUAUAACUUACUACACUGUGGAGUUUUUAUUCCUUUUUAUAAUUGGCUCAUAUUGAUACAUUCUUACACAAAAUAUUACCAUUGACAUAUUUUACUACAAUUAGUUUAGAACAUUUGUUAGGAAAAAAAAGAAAAGAAAAGAAAACAUCCCUUGGAUGUAGCUCUCCUGACUAUUUAAAUCUUUUAAGGAAAAAAAGAAAAAAGAAAAACUGGCACAUUCAAAUCUUGAAGCAAUUACAUUAAAAUCUCUCCAUAAUGAUAGGAAUAAUCUCCAUUUAGUAAUAAAAAAUUUUGUUCGCAAUUUAGGCAGAGUUAUAAAUAAGAAUAAAAUCCUCAUUGUAAUAAGUUAUAUUUAUUAUGGAUCCCAUCCUAAGGAAUUCGUCUCUAUAUAGUAAUAAUUAUUUGCAUAUUAUAAAUAUAUAUGUUGCAUUAGAUUAAAUGAACUUGUCUCCACAUACUACUUAGACAACGAGAGAAAAUUAUUAAAGAGAACACAAAUAUUUAGAUAUUUUUAAGAUUACUUUGCAUAUUUAUAACAAUAAUACAUUGAUAUAUGUAUUAGUUUUUUGAUAUAUUAGAUUUAACAUGCUCUAUUAAUAAAUUAUUAAUACGAUGCAUAUUCAUCUCUAUAUCCUUGCAAUAAAAGUAACUAAGUUAUAACAAUAAUUAUUAAUAAAUUAUUAAUACGUUGCGUACUUCAUCUCUAUAUCCUUACAAUAAAAAUAACUAAGUUAUAAUGAUAAUUUUUGUAACUACAUACUUAUUAGGUUUUAACUACUUCAUAAUAAUAAAUUAGUUUCGUCCUAAUAUUAUAAUUAUGUAGAGUUGUAGUGUAUAGACACACCCAAUUUAAAUAGUAUAUCAAAUAAAAUUGUCCCCACGAAAAAGAAAAAAGGGGUAAAGGAUUCUCAUUUCUUCAAACAUUAGGAUCACGUUUGUACAAGUGCGAUGCCUUUCUUUUGAAGGCAACGUCAGUGGGUACCCAAUAGGACGUGUGUAAAUCUUUCCAAAAUUUCUCUGGUAUAACGGACAGAGAUCAUUACUUUUCUCUUCCAUAUACCACAGCAGCUUCAGUUAAUCAGACUCAAUCAAUUUUCUUGGUUUCUUCGCUUAUCAAAAUUCCAAAAUAUGGGUAGCAUAUUUCAAAUCACAUGCGAUGGUGCUUUUUUCAAUCGUUGCUUGGAUUGCUUUCUUGGAAAAGUAGCAAACACAAGUAAGCUCCAAGAUAACCUUGUUGCCUUGGAGACUGAAUUGGGAAAACUAAUCGCAGCAAAGAACGAUGUGAUGAUGAGGGUUGUCAAUGCUGAACGGCAACACCUGAGAACGCUGGACCAAGUGCAAGUGUGGCUUUCGAGGGUGGAAGCUGUUGAAACUGAAGCUGAUGAAUUGAAAAGACACGGCUCUCAAGAAAUUGACAAAUUAUGUGUUGGAGGCUACUGUUCCAAGAACUGCGCGUCAAGCUACAAGUUCGGGAAACAAGUGGCUAAAAAGCUACGGGAUGUGCAGACUUUAAUCGACGAAGGAGUUUUUGCGGCGGUGGCUACCGAGGUGGUGCCUGAGAGAGCUCCAGAACCUGUAGCAGAUGAAAGACCCACUGAGCCAACAAUAGUAGGCUUGCAAUCACAACUUGAACAAGUUUGGAGAUGUCUUGUAGAAGAAUCAGUGGGAAUCAUUGGCCUAUAUGGUAUGGGCGGUGUUGGUAAAACUACACUAUUGACCCAUAUCAACAAUAAAUUUCUUGAGAGUCCAACCAGUUUUGAUUGUGUGAUUUGGGCCGUAGUUUCAAAGGACUUGCGACUCGAAAAAAUUCAAGAAGAUAUUGGGAAAAAGAUCGGUUUGGUUGAUGAUUCAUGGAAGAGUAAAAGUGUAGAGGAGAAAGCUCUCGACAUCUUCCGGAGUUUAAGAGAGAAGAGAAUUGUAUUGCUGUUAGAUGAUAUAUGGGAGCGGGUUGAUUUAACAAAAGUGGGCAUUCCACUUUCCGGACCAAAAAAUACUACAUCAAAAGUCGUAUUCACAACCCGUUUCGUCGAUGUUUGUGGUAGCAUGGAAGCUGACAAGAAGUUCCAGGUGGCAUGCUUAUCAGAAGAGCAUGCUUGGGAACUGUUUCGAAAAAAAGUUGGGGAAGAAACUCUUGAGAGUGAUCAUGAUAUCGUUGAGCUAGCCCAAACUGUGGCCAAAGAGUGUGGUGGUUUGCCACUCGCACUUAUUACUAUUGGUCGAGCUAUGGCCUUCAAAAAGACAGCCGAGGAGUGGAGUCAUGCAAUUGAUGUGCUAAGAACAUCAGCUUCUGAGUUUGCAGGUUUGGGAGAAAAGGUUUAUCGUCUUUUAAAGUUUAGCUAUGAUAGUUUGCAGAAUGAGACGAUUAGAUCUUGUUUCUUAUAUUGUUGUUUAUAUCCCGAGGAUUAUAGCAUUCUUAAAUGGGACUUGAUUGAUUGUUGGAUUGGUGAGGGAUUCUUAGAGGAAUCUGACAGGUUCAGUGCAGAAAACCAAGGAUACUACAUUGUGGGCACUCUUGUUCAUGCAUGUUUAUUGGAAGAGUUAGAAGAUGAUAAAGUAAAAAUGCAUGACGUUGUUCGUGAUAUGGCUCGAUGGAUAGCUUGUGAAAUUGAGAAGGAGAAGAGAAAAUUUUUGGUUUGUGCAGGUGCUGGAGUAGGAGCGGUGUCAGAUGUUGAAGGAUGGGAAAAUGUGGGAAGAUUGUCAUUGAUGCAAAACCAAAUUGAAAUUCUGUCAGAGGUUCCCACAUGCCCUCAUCUCCUCACUUUAUUUCUUGACUUUAAUUAUAAAUUGGAGAUGAUCACCGAUGGCUUCUUCCAAUGUAUGCCUUCUCUCAAAGUUUUGAAGAUGUCAAACUGUGGGCAUGUCAAAGUUUUGAAAUUACCUUUUGGGAUGUCAAAGCUGGGUUCACUACAACUUCUUGAUAUUUCACAUACCGGCAUAAGAGAGUUACCAGAAGAGUUAAAGUUGUUGGUAAAUCUGAAAUGUUUGAAUUUGAGGUGGACACAUAUGUUAAAUAAAAUUCCACGGCAGCUAAUAUCAAAUUCUUCAUGGUUACGUGUGUUGAGAAUGUUCGCUAUUGGCUUUGAAAAUUCUAAAGAACCAUCAGAAGACAGCGUUUUAAUUGGUGGGGGUGAAGUUUUAGUACAUGAAUUGCUCGGUUUGAAAUAUUUAGAGGUAUUGGAGUUGACCUUGCGAAGUUAUGAUGCUCUCCAAUUUUUUUUGAGCUCAAAUAAGUUAAAAAGUUGUAUUCGAUCUCUUUUCCUCAAUAAGCUGGGAGAUACAAAGUCGAUUCAUGCUACGGCUUUCGCAGAUCUAAAGCAUCUCAAUGAACUAUGCAUUCGUUCGGCAGUGGAGUUGGAAGAAUUGAAGGUUGAUUAUACAGAGAUUGCGCCAAAAAGGUCGGAACCUUUUGUUUUCCGCAGCCUUCACCGUGUUACUAUGGAGCGGUGCCAUAAAUUGAAAGAUUUGACAUUCCUCGUUUUUGCUCCAAGCCUCAAGUCUCUUUCGCUAUACGGUUGCAAUGCUAUAGAAGAAAUAAUCAGCGUUGGAAAAUUUGCUGAGACUCCUGAGGUGAUGGGACAUAUAAGCCCUUUUGGAAAUCUCCAAACGCUUUAUUUAACUGAUUUGCCAGAGUUGAAAAGCAUCUACUGGAAGCCAUUGCCUUUCACUCAUCUCAAAGAAAUGACGGUACAUGGGUGUAAUCAGCUUAAAAAGCUUCCAUUCGAUUCCAACAGUGCAACAGAGCGUAAAUUUGUUAUUCGUGGAUACACACUCUGGUGGAACCGUCUUCAAUGGGAGGAUGAAGCCACUCAAAUUGCUUUUCGUUCCUGUUUCCAAUCUCAUGAAAUAUAAAUUCCUGAGCGGUGGUUGCAAAAUUUGAUUUCUAGUGAGUGCUUUUUUCUUAAACUCUUACAUAUAUUCUCGUCGUUUGCUUCGUGCAACGGACUAGGUUUUUAUUUCAGAUUCGUUUUUUGUCUCCUGCAAAUCACAAUUAAAUGUUGAAUUAUAUGGAGUCAAUGCUUUAUAAAAUUUUCAAGGCACUGCCAUUUCCUUUUUCUUUUUCUUUUUUUUUUUGGGUCGAAUUGAUGCUCUGGCUUUUUACUUUUUGUUGUCACAUUUUGCUCUGUUUUUUCAAGUUGAUGCUUGAAUAGUUGAAUUCAAUUGAUGCUCACAUAAAUUUGUUUAGUUGCCGCAAAAGGAUAUAAUUAGACUGAAGUACACACUUCUAGAAUGAAUACAAAAUGUUAAGUAUACUAGCCCUCUUUACAGAAAAUCAAAUGAAAAUCAAUUUUUUGGGGCUUUGAUUUUCUAUGGUCUAUUAUAUACUCUUUUUAAUAUCUUCUGUUCUAACUAUAACCAAAUCCUUUGUUCAAGGAUUUUUAUUUGGGGUAUUGAUAACUGUCCACCAAAAGAGUGAACACUUGGAUGCUGCUCAAGGAUCUCUAAUCAAUAGCUGGAAGCAACUGAGAAGGCGGUCGCUACUGUUUACAAAGCGAUGCAGUAUUUGCCAUUCAUCUUAAUAAUUAUGAAGCUUUGGUAAAAUUUUCAAACAAAGUUGAACACAUGUUGUUUUGAGAUUUGGUUCAUGAUUUUGGAUGAAUAUCGUUGUUCCGUUUGAGUUGGAUGUGAAUUCAAAAUCUAUAUAUUCUUUGGUUUUCAAUUCUGAACUCAAUUUCUUUUUCUCAAGCAUGUUAUGCAGAAAUGAUUUUUUACUAAAUCAUUUUUGAUGAAUUGUUUAAAUUAAACAAUUGGAAUAAGAAUUGAAAAGGUUUAUCAUAAGCAUGCUAAUAUGAUAAGUUGUUUUAUGAACGAUUAAUUAAUUAAUCAAUUAAUAUUAAAUUAUCUAUUAGUCAAUUAGAUAUGCGUUACAUGUCAUGUUUAAAAAUUAUUUAUUUAUAUUUCAAACAAAUUUGACUGGAUGUUGUGUAGGUAAUACUACAUAAUUUCAAAACAAAAAAAGUAAUAAAAACACGUUAAAUUUUGUUUUUAUGAAGAAAAAUUUAAAAUUUUAUUAAAUAGGUGAAAAUAAUAAAUGGAUUCGUGUAUGGUUUGAGAUUCUUGACAUAAUUAUGAAAUAAGCCGGAUUCGACUUAGUUCAAUUUUGACGCGAUAAGAAGACGACACCACACAAACACACGAUAAGAACCGUUACCUGAGAAGAUUGCCAUCAGGAAUUUUGAAAUUGAUUUCACUACAAUACCUUAAUCUUUCAGAUACUACCAUCACUGAGCUGCCAGAAGAGCUAAAAGCCUUGGUAAAUCUUAAGUGUUUGAACUGUACACAAAUUAUCUCUCUACAAUUCAAAAACAACUAAUUUGUUACUUUUUCAAUGCUACAUGUUCUGCGAAUAUUGAGUUGUGGUUAUCUUGUUGAAAUAUCAGACAAUAGAGUUCUAUUUGGUGGUAGUGAAUUGUUGGUUGGGGAGUUGCCUAGUUUAAAACGUUUAAAUGUAUUAAGCAUCACCUUACAAGGUUUUUCUGCUGUCCAAAAACUUAUGAGCUCUCAAAAGUUUCAAAGCUGUACAAAAUGUUUGGAGCUUAUAGACUGUGAUGAUUCAAAGUCUUUUGCCUUGGCAGAGUUGAAGCAUCUCGAAAAACUAGUUUUUUGAAUUGUGGAAGAGUUUAAGUUCUGCUUUGUUGAAGUUGGAAAAGCUCAAGAAUGUUUUCGUUUGAACAGUUUUCACCGAGUUAAUAUAAAGGCUUGUCAUAAAUUGAGGGACGUGACAUGGCUUGUAUUUGCUCCAAAUCUUACAGUUAUUCAAAUAGAAAAAUGUAUGCAGAUGGAAGUAAUAGUCAGUGCAAGGAAAUUGGGUGAAGUUCCAGAGAUGAUGGCAGAUCUAAACCCUUUUGCAAAUAUCUUUGCCAGCGAGUUCUACCAAAAUUAAAAAGCGUCUAUUGGAAUGAGUCACCCUUUCCACAUGUCAGGGAAAUUAUUGUAUCUGAAUGCCCAAUUCUCAAGAAGCUUUCACUCGGUUUUAACAAUGCAAAGGAAUCUAAAAUUGUCAUUAGGGGAGAGGAACACUGGUGGAGUGAGCUGCAAAGGGAGGAUGAAGCGACCGUUAAUGCUUUUCUUCCUUGUUUCGGUUCCAUUUGAUAGGCAUCAACAUGGAUUUAUAUUUUGCGGUGGACAACUUGUGGUAAGUGCUUUUCCAUUUAUUACAUGUUUAUAUCUAACUUUUGUUUUCCUUUAUGGUUAAAUUUUACUGUAUAUAUGUUGUUAUACGGUGACAUUCUCGCAUCAAUUAUUAGCUUUUUAAUUCUCUUCUGGCAUUAAUUGCCCUUCUGAUCAUGUAGGAUAUGCCGAUGUCAAAGAGUAGUAAAUUGGGAUACAAAUGUAAGAAUUAGCCAGAUGACAUGUUGUUUUGAAGCUCUCUCGAAGGACUAGUUAUGUCAUUCAAAGCAUCCAAUUUCGCUACUUUUUUUUUCAUUUGUUGCUUUUUAUAUUUCUAGAUAGCUUGAUAUUCGGCCAAGACAUCGAUAGGAGGGCACAUUGUGCAUGCACACUAGUGGAUGAUUUGGGCAUGCCGAAUCCAAUUAGCGUGGAUGACCCUUUAUAAGCAUCAGGCUUCUCUCAUACCAGAGCAAUGUAGAAUAUGUUUAUAAACUGUGGAUUACCCUUUAUAAGUUUAGACUUCUUCUAUACUCGAGCGAUGUGGAAUACCUGUAUAAGCAUUAAGCUUCUCUCAUACACUUUAUGUUAAAAAUAAUAAUAAUAAUAAUAAAAUAAAUCCAUUUUAAAAUAGGCUCUUUUUUUCUUUUUUUAUAUAAACAAAAUGCAUUCUUCAAAUCAAUAGUGGGUGGAAGAAGUGAGUAGAGAAGGACUAGGCCCCUUCAUUCCGCCUAAAACCUCACCGAAACCUCUCUUGUGAACUUCUCAGAUUCUCUCUCAAUAUUUCUUAUGAUCUCGUUUUUGAUAGAAUCACUUCUAUUGCAUGCUGCAUUUUGUGCGUCGUUUUUGGGUAAUAUCUUAUCUGGAAUGCUGUUAUGAUCAAUAGAACAAGUAAUCAAUUUUUGGUUUGACGGAAGUCGAUUUAUUUAUUUACUAUUGUUUUUUAUUUGAAAUUUUGACAGUUGUGUUUCAUUCAUUUCUUUCCUUCUUUUUUUAUUUUAUAUUUAUUAUGUAUAAUUGUGUUUCAUUUGAUAUUGAUCAUACUGUAGAUAACUAUGUGAUUGUAGCUGGGGAUUUUAAGUUUUGUGAAUUCAAGAAACUGUCAAAAUGCUAGUGAAAUUGGGACCUUUAUUCAUAAGCUUGUGGUUUUCAAAAGUAGCCGGGUUCAACUGAUGAAGUUCCUUUUUGGGAUUCUUUUUUUUCUAGGCUGCAAUUCGGAUAUGUACCUGAUAGACAAUCUUUUGUGAGUUUAGCAUAUCUUCUCCGAUUUUGUCUUUUAUUCCCCAACUUUACAGCUACACACCAUGAAUGCUGGGUGAUUGUACAGAAAAUUUGUGUUAGAACAAAAGCAUUGUGAAGGAGUUUCUGUGCUAUAAGUUAUUGGCUUCAGCUUUAUUGGCAUUAAUUGGGUAGAUUAUGUGUUACAGUGAUUCAAUUUGUGAUCCACACUUUAAUUUUCUCUUUUCCCCAAUUAUUUAUGUCAAAUUCAAAUCCAGAAGCAUGCGCUGAUUUUUUUUUUUUUUUGUGAUAAUCUGUGAAGUUUAUUUGGAAAGGACGUAUCUGGGUUUAAUGGAUUAAAUUAUGACAUUGAGGGAAAGGCACUAAAGGUUUUGCUUGACACAUUUGGUCUGUGUUUACUCUGCAAUAAAUAGCUUCGCUUAUCAGAAAUCCCUAUUUGGCUGGUGAAUUUCUCUGUGACAGACAGGCAAACACCUAAACCGCUUCUAUCCAUUUUUCUGCUGGUGAGGUAAGGGGUAAAAAGUCUUCAAAAUCAUCAAAUAGUAACAUCUCUGAGAAUUGGUUUUAGAAAAAUGGAAAAUCUAGACCUACUAGGACAAAAUGGCGUCCGGUAUCAGGAGGUACCGUUUCAAGUUUUCUUGGUAAAGAAUAUAUUAAACCUGCGCAACCAGCUAAUGGCACUUUUCUGGCAUCAAAGCCAUUGAAGUUGGAUCUAAAGGAGUUUUCCCAUGCCUGCAUUGUGCAGAGAAGAAACUAAACAAAAACAAUCAAAGAAUGACCAUUUGCAGAAGGAUACGGAAGAUUUUCUAUUUAAAUUGUUAGGAGAAGGGUCCCAGCUGAACAGGGAUGUGAUUCAGGAGGUUCUCGGUAAUGUCUUAAAUAUACUGAUGCCAAUUUAAUACAUAUUGUCCUUUUCAAUGUUCUUUCUUUCUUUCUUUUUUUUUUCCUUCUUCUUCUUUUUCUUUUCGUGUGCAUGUGAUCACUGAUUUGGUAUUAUGCUUAAGUUGCAGAUAGCUGUGGAUUUGAUAUGCAAAAGGUAAGGACUAUAUCUUCCUGAUGUAGGCCUCUGCUUUUUCCCCUUCUAUGUAAUUUAGUAAUUCACAUCUUCCUUUGUGAUUGUUAUAUCAUAUCGAAGUCAAGUCUUAAAUACUGCUGUCAUAUGUGAAGGUUCAACUUGCAUUUUGAUUAAGAUCCAUUUGCUGCUGCUUCCAAAAGUGAGAAUGAGAUACUUUGGUUAAUUUCAGUGGUUGAACCCAAUAGAGAACUUUAUUUAGAUCUUCAUGGUUCAAAGGCCUGAAAAAACUUGCCCGUAAUUGUAAAAUGACAUUCUGUGCUUUUUAUGCAAUAGGGAACAGGGAAGUAGAGCUUUGGAAAAGCCUGGAUUGAUAACUAUGGAGAGACUUAUUAUUUAAGUGAUGAAAAAUUCCCAUCGCCCGCAGUCAAGAAAAUUUCAGAUAGUUAAAGACUCCAUUUUGCUUCAGCCAAAAAUGUUUGUUUCAAUUAAAGACUUGAACCAUUUUCAUUGAACCUGAUUGUGAUCCUUUACGUUAUGCAUGUUCCUCUCAAUCAAGAAAAGUUGAGGUCAUGAUUCUAUAUUUCUAUAUUGUAACUUGAAAUAAUAAUUGGUCUACUUGUUUCUGUAUCUUGAUAAUAUGAAUUUUCCUUCUCAAGUUAAUUUGUUCAAUAAAGUAAUUCUUCAAAGAAAAUAUGCCCAUUCUAUAAUCAUUUUCUUAGCUCAGAUGUUUUUUCUUCACUCUUCAGAGCAUGUCAAAACUAAUUGAUCGCUUGGCAGAUACUUUGGGUAAGAAGACAAAAUUUCUUGGUAAAUCCUCGGAAAAGGUAUGCAUAAUUCCCGAGUAUUAAAUAACCAAUAGUCAUAAUUUUUGUACAUGACUCUUUUUUCUCUUUUUUGUGGAGAUCAUUAAAAUUGGUUGAUGAUCCAUUUUGUAACAUCAUAGAGGGAUCAUCAAUUCCUUCUCUUUUCUGUGGCUAGGCAACACUUUCAGGCCAAAGUAAGAAAAUCUAUUUUAGGUAAUGUGAAAACCAACGGUAGGAUGUAAUAGUUUAUUAUGCACUGACAAUAACUUUUUGUAUGGUUGGCAGUUUAAUGAAUACAAGAGGAACUUUGUUGACAAAUUCAUCCAAGAUAGAUGCUAAAAUUAUUUAUGCAUGCCAGUUGCCUUAACUAAUUUUUCUUAACACUUGUAUUGAACAGGAAAAUGAAUAAGCAAUCUGUAUAUUGUGCCAUUGUGGAGUAUUUGGAUAUUCUGAUUUAAAUAACAAGGAGAAUACUUGCCUCAUCUUUAAAUGAGGAGUGGGGGAUUGGAAGUGUCUUCAUGUAAAUGUUCAUUUAUUUGUAUUUUGAACUAUUAUGAGAAUCUUAUAUGCCAAAUCAGUAAUACAAAUCUUCAGAUGAUUUUUGCUGUUGAUCAUGGGUUUGUGUCUGCACACAACCAUUGUAUAUCACUUUAUUCUGAUGUGCAGGUAUGUGUAGCUUAGAAGAAAUGGAAUAAUAAUCAUCUAUUAUUGCUUGGUUCAUGAUUAUUAAACGAUUAUGGCUUUAAAAAGUCUACAAAUUCCUUCUGUUCAUAUAUGAAUGUGCCAAGUUUGCUAUAUCUUAGAUUAUCUUCUUCCAAGAUAACAAGUUCAUAUUCUUUUUAAUCUUUUUCCCUCACAGUUGACUUUUAGGUGUUAAGAUUUGUUAUUAGUCCCCUGUUAUUAUGAUUUCAUAAACAGUGUACGGAUAUGUGCUCUAACUUUGGAGGACCUCCACAUGAAAGAAAAUUGCAACAAUUGAAUUCUUCCGGAGGGUAUGGUCUUUAAUUUAUUUUCUCAACUUCUCGUAAGAUUAAUAUAUUUCAUUCAGUAGGCACAGCAUGGGGGGAAGGGUUUUUAUUGAAAGAAUUCUGAUAUUUCUUAGACUUUGUUUUGGAAGGGGGGUGGAGGGAUUUCUCAUCCAUGUAUGGUUACUUGAUUAGCUUUUGACUGUAUUUCCUCAGUCAUGUAAAGGAAGAUCCAAAUACCAACGAAGGAAUAUUGCCUAGACACCCGAAAGACAGAAAUGAGCUACAGAAGCAAGUUUUACUACUUUAUUUAGUGCUCCUGAGAAAUCUGAUGGAGACCGAAUGGAGGUCCAAAGCAUUGGAAAAGGUAGUGAGUGAACCGCCGGAGGAGUUGGCACCAGAAUGCAAGGCUAAUGUGGUGCACUUGCAGCAAGAUAACCAAACCGGUAUGUGCUCUUAUAUUAACUAGACUGACUGGAUUUGUGAGUGUGUGCAUUUUUUUGUGUAUACUCUUGUAUUUAUGCAUAUUAAUGUGUGUAGGAAUUUCUGCCACUUACUGGAGAACUAGUGGAAAGCUUUAUAUCGAUAUAUCUGCAAUAACUAAUUGGAAACUAUGAUAUUAAUAUUUUCUCUCACCUGAGGAACUGUGUAACAGAUAUACUUUGUGGCUCUGGAGUACUAGAAAUUCUGCAAUAACUAAUGGAAACUAUGAUAUGAAUAUUUUAUCUCAACUGGAGAACUUUGUAACUUGUAGCUCUGGAAUGUCUAAGGAAUUUUGUCUGCUUCAGUUAGAUCAAAUAUCUUUUAGUUGCAUACAUUAUAGAAAAAGAUAAAGUUCUCUGAAUCUGAAAGACUGAAACAUUUUGUAUAUUUUGUGAAAGGGAAAUAUCUGUAGAUACUAGUUCAUGCAUUGAGGUAACAUCAAUGUUAAAGAAAAACAGCAAUAAGUUAUUAUGUGGAACUAGGUUCACUUGCUUUAAAUGCUGGUCUGGUCAACCAUAUGAACCUGUAAGUUCUGCAGAAAUAUAUAUACGGGGAGAAACUAGCUAAAUUUUCCGUUCAUUGAUGGCUUUGGUCAUUUUUUUCCCCUUAUUUUUCAGCUGUCCUUCUCCUGAAGUAUGUUAACAACUGCAGAUAAUGAUGAAGAGGACAGCUUGCAGGCUCUUCUUAGAGCCAUGAUGGAAUAUAGGGGCACAAUGAAGGAACAUUGCAAAGCUGUAGGUUCUUUUUCUCCUGUCAUUUAUGUUUUCUCACACAUUUUUUAUAUGCUCCAAGCAUGCAAUUUUGUAUGUGUCAACUGCUUUCUAAGUUUUAAAAACCAUAAUGUAAGAAUACAGUUUCUUGUCAGGCUAUUGAUGCAUUUGCUCAGGGGGAUCAUGUUCGAGCAGGAAAACUUCUAGAACAGACAAGGUUUUCCAUCUACAGCCAUCUAUUGACAACAGAUAUAUUUUCAUUCAGCAAACACUGUUAGCAUUCAAGAUACUGGCAGAUUCACUUGAUUCUUAUUAGUAAUGUUUAGUAGCAAAGGAUAUAACCUGUAUUUCAAAGCCAAGUUGUGCUAUUGAUUAUGUUAGCUUUAUUGUUCACAUAAAGUGAUAUGGAGGAAAUAAUGUGAAGUGAUAUGGAGGAAAUAAUCAAUGUAGGAAAAUUAGGUGAAGAAAUGAUGUCAAAUCUUGAACCUCUUACAAAACUCCAAGCUCUUUACUUGAAUAAGCUACUAAAUUUGAACAGGGUCCACUGGAAGGCCUUGCCAUUCUCUGAUGCAUGCAGAAUUUUUGCAUUUAAAUGCCCAGAGCUUAAGAAGCUGCCACUGGAUCUUGAAAGGGCAGGCCAAGGUAAAAUUCUUAUCAAGGGAAAGGAAGAUUGGUGGAAACAACUUCAAUGGGAGGAUCAAGUAACUCAGAAUGCAUUGCUUCCAUUUUUAAAACAACCAGCAAGUGAUUGAAGGGGGCAUCAUCAACGUCAUCAACAUGGAUGGAGAGAUUCAGGAGCAGAUCAGCAGGAUUUAGUACGACCUGUGGUGGUUUCUUUUUUGUGACUUUUUUCCCUUUCAUUUUUUCACUUCCUGUCAUAUUAUCAUUUCUUUGUCUCUGUUUCUAUUGCUGGUGUUGCUGCAUGCUUGCUGUCCUUGACAAAGUUAGCUAGUUUUUUUUUUUUUAAUUAAAUUUUGUAUGUUCGGUCGGGACAGUCACAAAGUACUACUUGUUCUAUAUGGGGGUGAUGUGAAUCAACUUUUCAAUUAUAUAUUCUGUGGUAAUUGCGAAUUCAAUUUCAUUUGUCUCCAGCAAAUUAUGAAGAAAGUGCAGAGUUACAAUAUGGAGAAGUUCACUGGCAAAUACUUUGUAAAAGCUUCGGAGUGAAACAGGAAAUGCACUUGCAGCUAAGGACAAAUUGGUGGCCAGCUAAUGCCUUCAUUUUAUGUACAUUCAUCUUUUUAAUUAUUGAAGAUAAGUGGUUCGUUGCUUUUGUUAAGAUUAUAAGUUAGCGUCGGUGCAGGAUUUGCAGCAACAAAUCUUGACUAGCCACGUGUCAAAAGCACAAAUAAAUCAAGGGAAAGCACAUGACAUGGAUUAGGAUCUAAUAAAAUUUAAAUCCCAAGGAAAAUGACAACUGCAUUAUGAAGUUUCAAUAAGGGAUACUGACUAAUGAUAUUUUUUGGCUUUAUUAAUAAAAAAAGAAUAUUUUAUAACAAAUUAAAACAUAAUAUUAAGCUAAAUGUGAUAAUUAUAUACAUUUUAAAUAAUUUCAAUAAAAAAACAUUUUAAUGUUUUACGAUCUAUCAUACAUAUUUUAUUAAAUUAAUAUGAAUUUUUUUUUAUAAAUAGCAACAUAAUAUUACAACAAAUUUAUAAGGAUUUAAAUGUAAAAUAAUUUUAGUAUAAAUAAUACGUGGGAUAUAUUUUGUAAAUUAUAAAAUUAUUUAACACAAAGUUUUUUAAAAAAUAUUUAAAAUAAAUAAAAAUAAAUUAUUCACAUCUUGAUUUAAAUAUUUAAAAUAUUUUUAUAUAUUAGUCUACAAUUAUUUAUGUUAUAUUUUUAUUUAUUAGAAAUUUUGAAAGUCAAAUGUUUUCACCUCUAAGAGAAAGACACAUAUGCUUUAUAGCUUUAAAAUCGGUCUGUUUUAUAUCUGGAAACAAAUAUAUCAUUAUUGGUAAGGAUUAAAAAAAGGGAUAAAGAAUAUUAAUGAUUAAUGAAAUCUCUAUGGAAAUUGAAUUUAGUAGGAAAAAAUUGAGCUAAAUGAUUUAGACAUUUAGUGGUAUAGUAAUAUUUUAUAUAUAGAAAUGUAAAAGCUGCACCCGAGGUUAAGGGAAAUGUUCAAAACUCUUUUUUACUCAUAAUACCCUUUGUCCUAACUAACUUACAAAUUCGACUCUAAUAUUUUAUAAUAAAUAAAAAUGUAAUCCUAAAAUAAAUAAAAUAAGAUAUAUUUUAAAAUAAUCUCAAUAUUUAAAAUAUACUUUAAUAUUUUAUAGUCUAUCAGACAUAUUUAAUUAUAUUAAAGUAAAUUUUGUAAUAAAUACAAACAUACUAUUAAAAUAGAUAUAUAAAAAAUUUAAAGUAUUUUGGAUAUUAUAUAAAAGAACUUUAAUAUUGUUAAUACGUGAGAUAUAUUUUAUUAAUUAAAAAUUCUAUUUAACCCAAAGAUUUAUUUAAGAUAAAUUAACAAUCAUAUUUGUGAAAUUAUUUCAAAUAUUAAAAAAUAUUUUAAUAUUACUAACUAUUAGAUAGACUAAACUAUUUAUAUUAUUUUCUAUUUAUUAUAAAAUUUCAAAAUUAAUCUUUUUAACUACUAUUCAAAAGAUAUUAUGAUAAAAAUAAUUUUUUUGUGUUUUUAUUAAAAAUUUGGAAUUUGCAUAACUCUUUUUUUAAAUAUUGGGGUAUAGCUGUCUUUUCCCUUUUAUAUAUACAAACCACAGUGGUGAAAAAGCUUGAUUUAAUGUUAUUUAUUUAAACAACACCGAUAUUCACACCACAUUGAGCACCAUAGUUUUUUUUUUUUUUUUGAAAAGAAAGUACACCUUUCAUUGAAUUAAGAGAAAAGAAACAAAACAUCCUCUGGAAAUUCAUCCAGCCAAAUACAAGGGUCUGACUUUUUGAAAGCCAACUUUGCCAAAUCAUGCGCUAAAAAGUUACACAUCCUAAGGACGUGCUGAGCUUUAAAAUUCUGAAAGAUUUUCUUAGCUUCUAUAAUAUCAAAAAUCACCCAAAAGGUGUCUGUCAAAGUGCUUCUCUUGUUAUUGAUUAGCUCUAUCACCCCUUUAGAAUCAGACUCUAAGAUAACUGAAGUUGCCCCUGCCUUGGCAGCUGCCUGCAUUCCCCACAAAACAGCUUUUGCCUCACUCAACUCCACAUCUCCUGAGCUCUUAAAAGUGCUAACAGCUGCAGCAACUGUUUCUCCCUUAUGGUUUUUAACUACUGCUCCCAGCCCAGCAAGAUAAUUCACCCUAUCCAUAGCAUCAUCAACAUUUACCUUAAGCCAUCCUUCUUCGGGUGGACUCCAUUGGCUUUGCUGAACAUUGUUUUGUUCUGCUAAGAAAUCCUCUUCUGACAUUGAGCACCAUAGUUAAGUACAAAACGGUGCGUUUUGUUCACGCAUGUUAGUAAACACCCACGCAACUUACACACAUACGCGCGGCUCACAACACGCGCUCUCCUCGCCCUAAAUCUCACCUGAUUGAAGCCACAAAUUUGGCCACGUUCUCCCACAGCUCUCUCCGUUCUGACCGUUUACUCUUCCUCUAGCCCCAUCGAUUACAUCUCUCAUAGCACCUCAUUCAACCGACGUAAUUGCCAGAAAACAACCUACCUGGUAAUAAAAGUCGAUUCUCUUACAAUUUUGGCCCAAAAAAAAAAAUUGCACAACUGAAAAAUCAAAAUGCCACUCUUUAAAACCAAAAAUCAAUUUUGGGCCCCCUUCAUCACCGCCUUCACUCUAGAUUUUUUCAAUCCACUUUGUCGUCAAAACCGUGGUGUUCUUAAACCAUUAUUAUAUUCACCAUCCCCUUAAUCACAUCCAACCAUCCCCAUUAUUCGUUUGUCAAACACGCUGUUCUCUUCCCAAAUUAAUUAAUUAAUUAAUGACAGACAGGAACAAAAGUACUUUAAAUCUCUGCCAAAUCGUAUUGUUAUUACUUCUUCCGAGUCGAGGCCACGUCGUUCUCGAUGGAAACCAUUGCUUUUUAUUACCACUCUUGAGGAGUUCGAAGCAUUCUCGACGGAGACCCGCGCAAGCUGUGGAAAGAGAGAGAGUCAACGGUGAAAAGAGAGCAUGGUGAGAUGUGUGAGCGACGGGGGGAGAGAGAGAGAGAAAGAAAGCCGACGGAGAGAGCACAUAGAGCUGAGAUGCGUGAGUUGGGUGAAGAUUUGGUGAGCGUUGUGUCAGUUGCCCGUGUGUUGUGUGAGCUCUGUGCCAUGUGAUAUGCGUGCUACUUUGAGAAUUUAUAGAUAGCACAAAACUCAAUCUAUAUCCAAUUCAUACCUAGAUAGAUGCGGAUUUGACUCAAUUUAUAUCCAAUUCGUCAUUUGCGAACUAAAAAUUUUUAAUUCUCUCAAAUUCACAAACUAACUAAAUAAAUAAAAAUUUAAUAUAAAAAUAACUGUACUACCGAUCAAAUUUAAAAUUAAAUAAUAUUUAAAUAAAUUAAUUGUUUAAAUAAAGUUAGAAAAUACAUUCAAAAUUUUAAAAUAUAACACAGUAAAAAGAAAAAAUCUCAUUUGUUUAGACCUAUGUAUGAAAAUUAAUUGUUUAGGAAUCUAUAUUUAUUUAUUUUUAUAUUAUUAUCGGAUAAGAUAUAAUAUGGUGUUAAUGUAACUAUAUUUUAACUUAUUUAUUUAUAAGACCAAUGCUAUAUGUACAAGUUUAAUUUUUUAAUUAAAUAAAUAUUUUUUUUUGCGGAAUUGUGGAUUUUUGCGGAUUUACAAAAGUAAAUCUAUAUCCAAUCCACCGACUAUGGAUUUUCAAAUUUUCAAAAUUUCAAAUUUUCAAAUUUUCAAAAUUUCAAAUUUUCAAAUUUUCAAUCCAAUCCAAUCCACCAAUUCACAAAUUCGGAUUUUUACGGAUUAGAUUUCUACAGAUUAAACGAAUUGAGCAGACCAUAUUUGAUUUUGAACAUUGCUAAUUUGUAUGUUAAGUAUAACAUAAUCAAUUAUUUGGAUAAUCCCUUGUGUUUUAUCUCUAAUUAGAGCAUCAAUCUUCACAAUAUCUACAAAGCUACAAUGGCUACAAAACAAACCUGCUUGCAAAUUGUCAAGGAUACUUAUCCUUUCUCUUGACAAGUCAUUUGGAAAAAUACUGUCCCUUGGCGGCUCCAUGACUUCUCUGCUCCUCCUUUUGGUCUUAAUGUACGGUUGCAUAAUGAUAGUUUAGGCCCUUUAGGGACUACUUUCCCUGGGGUUGUUAAGUCUUAGCUUGUGCUAGGCUCGUUUUUCUUACCAAAAAAAAAGGGAAUACUUCUCCUAUAAGAAAUAAUCUCUAUAUAUAGGGUGGUUGGAUUCACUUGUUUACAUAACAGAUCAAUUAGUUCUCUGUAAAUAGAGAGUUUCUAGUAUAAGAGAAACGGUAGAUCUAUUGAGAGAUUAUGUGUUAUUAAAAUUUUAGUUGCGAAGAAAAGUACUAGAGUGAUUGUAUUAAUUUUUUACAUAGUAGAUUUUUCUAUCGUCAUCUUUAUGGCUGUGAUUUUUCUUCCAUAUAGAAGUUUCUCACGUAAAUUUUUAUGUUGUGUGAUUAGUUUUAUUCUCUAUCUAUUUUUUGUUUAAUAUUUUAUUUGUAAGAUGCUGGAUGGGAUUAAAAUUUCUUAACAAAUAACGGAUUAAAAAUCAUGAAGAAAAAGCUCAAGAGAUCUUCAAGAUUUGAAGUGUGCAAAAGUUCAUAUUACUGCUAGAUGAUAUAUGGGAGCGGGUUGAUUUAGUAAAAAUGGGUGUCCCUCUUCCUAGAUCAGAAAACAGCACAUCCAAAGUGAUAUUUACAAACCCGUUCUGAGGAAGUUUGCGGCUUAAUGGAAGUUCGUAGGAGUUUUAAAGUGGCGUGCUUAUCAAAUAAAAAUGCUUGGGAAUUGUUUCUAUACAAAGUUGGGGAAGUGAAAGAAAACAGAGAUGUACUGUUUGGUUGAAUAGAAAAUUACAGAGAAAAUUCUCAAUACUUGUAUUUGAUAAGAUUCAAUUCUUAAGAGCUUUUACAAAUCAGUACAAGUAUUUAUAUUAUUCCUUACACGUGAGAAUUGCUAGUAACUCACUAACUAACUAACUUUCUUUGAGCUGGAUCACUAACACUUGACUAAUCACACUGAGCUGUUAUUCUUCACUAACAACCUUCUGCUGACGUGGCUUCACCAAGCUACUUGAAUAAUGAGCAGCCUUGACAGCCCCCCUCAAACUCAAGGGACAAGACAUGACGUUGAGUUUGGCCCUAAGAUAGUUAAAAUGGAUGAAUGAGAGUGGCUUGGUCAUGAUGUCAGCUACCUGCUCCUCACUUGGUAUAUAUUGAAUGUUUAGUUCUCCAGCAAGAACUUUGUUUCUAACAUAAUGAAUAUCAAUCUCAAUAUGCUUUGUUCUUGAGUGGAAAACUGGAUUGUGAGCUAACUCUGUUGCACUGAGAUUGUCACACCAAAUAACAGGUUUCUCUAUGCAUUGUAAUUUCAACUCAGAAAACAGUGAUUGCAGCCAGCUUAUCUCGGCACUUGCUGAGGCUAGGGACCUAUACUCACUCUCUGCACUGGACCUAGCAAUAACAGGCUGCUUCUUAGACGACCAAGAUAUCAGAUUAUGACCAAGAUAGAUGCAAUAGGCUCCAAUCGAUUUUCUGUCAUCCAGAUCCCCUGCCCAGUCUGCAUCUGUGAAUCCUGUUAGUUUCAGAUCACCAUCCUUAAUAAUUUUGAGUCCAUAGUUCUGUGUAGCCUUUAGAUAUCUGAGCACUCUUUUGCAAGCCAUAAGGUGCUGCAGUGUUGGUGCAGAAACGUAUUGACUCAGCUUGUGAACACUAAAGGCAAUUUCUGGUCUUGUUAAUACCAAAUAUUGCAUCCCACCAACAAUGCUUCUGUAAUGUGUUACAUCUUCAACAUAACAACCAAGAUUACCUUGAGCUUCCUUCUGUAGCUUCAUUCCUGUACUCAUAGGAGUAUCAAUAUCUUUGCAAUUUAUCAUCUCAACUCUUGACAGCAGAUCCCUUAUGUAUUUCCUUUGAGAUAAGAAAAUACAAUCUUUAUCAUACAGUACUUCAAUGCCUAAGAAAUAAGAGAGAACUCCAAGAUCCUUCAAAGCAAACUUUGUACUGAAUUCUGUAAUGAAUUUUUCCAGCUCAAAGCUAUUUGGUCCUGUUAUUAAAAUGUCAUCAACAUAUAUAAGAACUAGAAUCAUAGAUGACUUAUUUAUUUUCAAGAAUAAGGAGGUAUCUGAGCUGGAAUUUGUGAAUCCCCACUGCAACAAACAGCCUUUCAACUUAUCAUACCAAGCUCUUGGAGCUUGUUUAAGUCCAUAAAGAGACUUGUGAAGCUUGCAUACAAAGUCUGGUUUCUCAAAGCUGAUAAAUCCCUCUGGUUGAUCCAUGAACACUUCCUCUGUUAAGUCUCCAUUAAGAAAGGCAUUAUUCACAUCAACUUGCCUUAUCUUCCACUGAUUCAUCACAGCUAAACUCAAGACUACUCUUACAGUUGCUGGUUUUAUGACAGGACUGAAAGUUUCAAAAUAAUUCACUCCUAUAAUUUGUUGAAAUCCCUUUGCAACUAACCUAGCUUUGUAUUUAGCUACACUUCCAUCAGUGUUGUAUUUAACCCUAUACACUCAUUUGUUUCCAACAACUCUUUGAUCAUUUGUUUUUGGCACUAAGGACCAUGUACCACUCUGCAUCAAAGCUGCAUAUUCUUCUUUCAUGGCUGUAAACCAUUUUGGGUUUUGCAUAGCCUCAUAUACAGAAUCAGGUUAUUUGUGAACAAGGGUUGCUGUAUAAAGCUUUGGUUUGAAGAUACCAGUUUUGCUUCUGGUAGUCAUUGGAUGUGUAUUAGGUUGGACUGGAAAAGAUAUAUCAGGUGUAGGUUGAGCUAAUAAGGAUAUGUCAGGUGCAGGUUGUGGUGAAUUUUGAGGCUCUGUAGAUGGUUCAAUAAAUGUGGUAUGUGUUUGUGAAUAGGAAUGUUGAUUGUCAGUAUGAAAUGGAUUAUCUGAAUGUUGUGAACUGCUGCUGGUAGAAAUUGCAGAUAGAGGAUUGCAUGAGCUAUUUCCAUCUGAUACUGGUGUUGUAGAUAAUAUGGUCAGAUGAAACACUGGUUGGGGUGUAAGGGAUUGACUCGAAUAAGAUGAUGAUUCAUUAGAAUGAAAAACUGAGUCUGUAGAAUAAGGAAAUGUUGACUCAUAAAAAACAACAUGUCUGGCUAUGUACAUCUUGCCUGAUGAAUGCAAGCAUUUGUAACCUUUGUGAACUGGACUGUAGCCAAGGAAAAUGCAUUUGCUUGAGUGAUAAUCAAAUUUGUGUUUGUUGUAAUCCCUUAGAUAAGGAUAACAUGUGCAACCGAAACACUUGAGCAUGCUGUAAUCAGGUUUAAGUUUAAAAAUUGUCUCAUAUGGGGUAAGAAGUUUCAGAGCUGUUGAGGGUAAUCUGUUUAUAUGGUAAACAGCUGUAAGAAAAGCAUCCCACCAAAAUUUAAAUGGUAGCUUAGCUUGUGCUAAUAGGGUUAGUCCUAGCUCAACAAUGUGUCUAUGUUUUCUUUCUACCACCCCAUUUUGGUGAUGUGUAUAAGGACAAGAAUGUCUGAAAAUGAUUCCACAUUGGUUUAAGAAUUGAGUAAAUGAUCUGUAUUCUCCCCCCCAAUCAGAUUGCAGGUUUUUAAUGGGGCUGUCAAAUUGGUUUUCAACCUGCAAUUUGAAUAGUUUGAAUACAUCUAAUGCCUCAGAUUUCAACUUAAGAGGAUAAAUCCAAGUGUAUCGGCUAAAAUCAUCAACAAAACUUAUGUAAUAGACAUAGCUAUCUCUAGAAGGUGUAGGUGAGGGUCCCCAUAGGUCUGUAUGUAUAAGCUCAAGGGGUUUUGUUGUUUUGGUUUCUGUGCUGGGAAAAUGCAGCCUAUGGGAUUUGCCCAUUUGACAUGCUUCACAGAUAUGCUCAAGUGUUUGUUUUAUGUUAUUUCUUGAGAGAUUAACUGAAGUAAUUCCUUUUAGCAAAUGCAUUAGAAUUUGAGAAUUAGGAUGGCCAAAACGUUUGUGAAGAAGAAGAAUUUUAUUAUUCAAUGCAUCACAAGAUGAAAUGUAGCUGGAAAAUUUAUUUAUUGAUGCAUUACAAACUGUGACACAACUGGAAUCAUUAUUCUGAGUGUUUUUAAGAACACUUGAAUCAAAAGAACAUGCAGAUAACAUUGACAAAGGUUGAGUGGAUGAAGGUUGACCCAUGUAAGAACAAGGAAGAGACUCAGAUGGUCUUAGAAGUAGCUUAUACAAUCCUUUCUCAGCAAUUCCUGUCAGAAGCACUUGCCUCUUCAGAGAAUCCUUCACAUAGCAAACAUUAUCAACAAAUUCAAUAGAGAUAUUGUUAUCAGCAGUUAAUUUUGAUAUGCUGAGCAGGUUCUUUGUGAUAUCAGGUACUAAUAACAUGUCAUUCAGUAAGAUAUGUGUUGGUUUAUAUGCAGCAUUUGAUCCUUUAUAAGUAAAACAUGGAUUACCAACAUGAGUUAUAGGCAAACCUUGGCCAUUGCCGAUGACAAGUUGAUUAGAUCCUCUGAAUUCCUCUCUGACAUUCAUGUUGGCCAUACUGUUAGUCAAGUGAUGUGUGGCACCAUUGUCAAGGUGCCAUCCUUCAUCAGCAGGCCCUUCAUAGUUGGUAAGAUAGGCUUCAGGAAUUACUGUGUCUGUUGAUGGAUAAGAGGAGAAGGAUAAAGGAUUGUAGCUUGAGUAGGGUGCAGCAUACUGUUCUUCAGUUGAAGGAGCAGCAUAGGUUAGAGAUGGAUCAAAGUUAGCUGUGUAUGCAGCCUUAGAUUCAAAAGAUCUGCCCCUUCCAAAAUGCCUAGGUAAUGGUUGAGGAUUGUCAUCAUAUCUAUGCCAGCAUUCAUCUGCUGCAUGUCCUGUUUUGUGGCAUAUCUGACAUAUGGUUGGUAAUUCAUCAGCAUGCAUGUUAGCUGAAGGAUGAAAGUUUGGCUUCAUAGGUGGCCUAAAAGGUUGCAUCAUCUGGCCCCUGCCAUAACCCCCAACAUUACCAACACCAGGUGAAAAACCUCUGGGAUGUGGAUUGUGAAACAUGCCUCUUCCAACAUUAAAUCCUCUAGUCAUAGGUCGACCAUAAUUUCCAUUUCCAACAACACCUCUUCUAAAAUUUCCUCUCAUAUAAGGAUGAUUCACAUUCAUUGUGCUAUAGUUUGCAUUAAACACAGUUUUGGCACUUUGAUUUUGUUCAAGUCUAGCUUCAUGAGUCAGUAAUAAUGCAUAAGCAUCAUCAUAGCUCAUCUUAUUAGCUGUGAUUAUGGAAGCUAGAUCUAGAUAACCUGAACCUAAGCCAUUCAAAACUCUCAUUAACAGAUCCUUUUCAGUGAUUACAUCACCAGCACAAGCAAGUUUGUUGGCGAGUAAUUUCAUUUUAGCACAAUAUUCCUCAACAUUCAUUGAAUCUUUUCUUAAGAUAUUCAUUUCAUAUCUGAGUUGCAUAAUCUUAGCCUCAGAUUGAACUCCAAACUGUUUUUCAAUAGAUCUCCACACAUCAAAUGAAGUGUCAUAGCUAAGAACAGAACUAAGAAUACCUUCACUUAUAGUUGAGAGCAGCCAGCCAAGGAGUAUUUGAUCUUGUGCUCUCCAGUUGCUGUAGGCUGGAUUUUCAAUGCUCUCACCAGAUCCUUCGAUCAUUGAAUCAACUAGAUACUGUUCUGGAAUAAUUUGCGGCUCUAGAAUGAAUCUUUCAAGGCGAUUUCCUCUGAUUGAAGUUACCACUUGUUUGCGCCAAAGCAAGAAAUUUGAUCGAUCAAGUUUCACAGUUGCAGCAAAAGUAAAUGAUGUUUGUGUAUGUUGAUUUGAGUUUAUGAUUGUUUGAUUUGAGAUUGUAUUGCUUGAGCUGGCCAUUUGUGGCUCUGAUACCAUGAAAGAAAACAGAGAUGUACUAUUUGGUUGAAUAGAAAAUUACAGAGAAAAUUCUCAAUACUUGUAUUUGAUAAGAUUCAAUUCUUAAGAGCUUUUACAAAUCAGUACAAGUAUUUAUAUUAUUCCUUACACGUGAGAAUUACUAGUAACUCACUAACUAACUAACUAACUUUCUUUGAGCUGGAUCACUAACACUUGACUAAUCACGCUGAGCUGUUAUUCUUCACUAACAACCUUCUGCUGACGUGGCUUCACCAAACUGCUUGAAUAAUGAGCAGCCUUGACAGGAAGAAACUUUGAACAAUCAUCCUGAUAUCCUUCAGAAAGCACAAUAGUUGUUAAGGAGUGUGGUGGUUUGCCACUUGCACAUUUUACCAUCGGUCGAUUUAUGGCAUGCAAGAAGACACAGCCGAAGAAUGGAGAUAUGCUAUUCAAGUGUUCAAUUCGUCCGCUUCCCGUUUCCAGGUCUGGAAGAAUGGAUAUAUACUCUUGUAAAAUUCAGUUAUGAUAGUUUACCCAAUGACACAAUUACACCUUGUCUGUUAUAUUGUAGUUUAUAUCCAGAAGAUUGUUGCAUUUCUAAAGAGAAUUUGGUAGAUUGUUAGAUCAGUGAAGGAUUUUUUAAUGAGAGUGAUUGGUUUGGAGAAAAAAUCAAGGAUACUUCAUUUUGGGCAUUCUUCUUCACGUUUUUUUUUGGAAAAGGGAGGAGAUUGUGAAAUGAAAAAUGCAUGCAUGACGUUAUUCGUGAUAUGGCUUUGUGGAUCGCAUGCGACUAUGAGAAGGAGAAGGAGAACUUUUUGGUUUACGCUGGUGUUGGUUUAACUAAGGUACCGGAUAUUAGAGAUUGGGAAAAGGUAAGGAGAUUGUCAUUGAUGAAAAAUAAAAUUGAGAAUCUAUCCGAGGCUCAUACAUGCCCUCAUCUCCUCACUUUCUUUCUUGACGAUAAUGAGUUUCGGAAGAUCCCCGGUGAUUUCUUCCAGUUUAUGCCUUCUCUCACUGUUUUAAACUUGUCAUGUAUUAAACUAAAGUCAGUUCCUUUAGGGACUUCAAGGUUGGUUCCACUACAACAACUCGAUCAUUCAUAUUCAAGCAUAAAAGAGUUGCAAGAAGAGUUAAAUGCCCUGAUUAAAGUUAAAUGCUUGAAUAUAGAUCAUGUAGAGGAGCUAAUUACAGUUCCACAACAACGGAUAUUUAAUUUUUAAGGUUAUAUGUGUUGAGAAUGUUCGAUACUAUUAGUUUAAAUUUUCAAGAAGCAUUAAAUAAAGACAGCAUUUUAUUUGGUGGGGAGGAAGUUUAAGCAGAGGAGUUGCUCGGUUUGGAAUAUUUGGAGGUAUUGAGCUUCACUUGAGAGGUGUUCGUGCUCUCCAAUUUAUUUUGAGCUCACAUAAGCUACGAAGUUGUACUCAAGCGCUGUUCCUCCAAUCCUUCAAUAAUUCGAUAUGGCUUGAUAUUUCACUUUUGGCAGAGUUAAAAGCACCACUGCAGAUUUAAGUAUUUUUGGCUGUAGAAAAUUGGAGGACUUGAAGAUGGAAUAUACAGGGGGAGCGAAAAACAAGCGGCAACCUUGUGUUUUCUAAGGCCUACAUACAGUUCACAUAGAGGUUUGUUCUAAAUUGAAGGACUUAACAUUCCUUGUUUCUGCUCCAAAUCUCAAGAACUUGGAAAUACAAAAUUGCCCUGCUGUGGAAGCAAUCAUCAGUGUGGGAGAAUUUGCGGAAGCUCUAGAGGUGGUGGAAAAUCUAAACCCAUUUGCAAAACUCCAGUAUCUUGGACUAGAAAAUCUGCCAAAUGUGGAGAGCAUCUAUUGCAAGCCUCUGCCCUUUCCAUGUUUGAAAAGAAAUGACUGUGGAUAGUUGCGGUUGUCUUAAAAAGCUUCCACUCUACUCCAACAGUGUAAAAGAGUGUACAAUUGUUAUUUCAUCAUUCGGAGAGUUAAUGGUGCAAUGAGAUUUGGCAGUUAACUCUCGUGGGAAGAGCUUGAAUGGGAAGACGAAGCCACUCGAAUUGCUUUUCAUUCAUGUUUCAAAUCUCUGAUUGGAUUGGAGAUUGCAUUUCGCCUCAGGUUCGUACUUUUCUUGAAUUUUUCUUGUUAACUUCAUUUGUUCAUUUAUCCAUUUUUUUUUAAAGGAAUCAGAAGGGUUAAUAAUUUUGGUUGUGUUAGGUCGACUUCUAAUCACGAGGCAGAAGGAGUUGAGAUGAAGUUUAAUUUUGGUGGAGAAAUUGUUUGAUUUAAAAAAUUUAAAUGAGUUGACCAUCAUUCUUUAGCAUAUUUGUAUGAACAGGAGUGUGUAAAUAUGCAAACUGUCCAGCUGUAUGUGUAUAGCGUAAUAAUUUUGAGGAGUUAAAACAUUGAAGAAUAUUGAUGUUUCCAUUGUCAAACCAAAUAUACUUAAUUACUUGAGGAUAAUGAUUACUGCUAAUACAUUUGCUAAUACAUUUGCAAAGAAAAAAACAUGCCUAUUGAAAAACUCAUCUUAUUAGCAACAGCAUUAUAAGUAGUAUCCAAUCAUAGUUUCAUGCAAGAUUUUGAGAUUUUUCAAAUGCUGAUUCCGGGAAUGGAGAUUAAUAGAUAAUGGAGACAGGUUGACUGCAAUGGCUAAUUGCAAGAGGGAAUUUUAGUCGUAAAAACAGACCAACUAGCAAAGCAAAUUCCAAAUCUUGGAAUGAAGUGGCAAAAAAACGAAACAAACAAAUGGCAAGAGGAAGUGACUAUACAAUAAUAACAUCGACUUGCAAUUCAACAUUUAUACAGUUUUACUCACCAAGAAAAGAGAAAAUUACAAUAGCAAUUUGGCUACUAGAAGAUGUUCAUUCAUGCUUAUGCCUGUCAUAUGGAUUUGAAACAAGGAGUAAAAGCAUUUAGAGUGGCUUCAUCCUUCCACUGCAGCUCAUUCCACCAGUGUUGCUCUCCCCUAAUAACAAGUUUGCGUUCCUUGGCGCUGUUGUAAUCGAGUGGAAGCUUCUUGAGGUUCGGGCAUCCAGAUACAAACAAUUCUAAGAGAUUUGGAAAGUGCACUUAAAUUCUUAUGAAUUGCUUAAGUAUGCAAGCAGCAGAGCAGAAAACAAACAACCUUUUCAUAUAUUAUAAUAACAUGAAUAAUCAGAUAUACACAUCCUUCACAUAUUUAUACUAAACGUGAAAAAUGGUAGCUUGCUCAAAGGGAAAACAGAAAUGAAUAAAACAAAAGAUUACAGCUGCACUAGCCAAUCAUUGGAAACAUUCUAGAAACUCCAGCUUGCAGUAUUCACGUGUAAAUAUUCUCCUGCAUAACAGUUUUGCCAGCUCAUUGAAUACACCUCAACUUCUUCAUCAGCUGGUUGCUGGAUAUGGCUGCUCAGGUGGCAUGCCAGCAUGGCCUUUGGGUCAAUUGUUGACUCAUCUUCAUAAUCUGAAUUCUCAACACCCUCUCUCAAACUUAAGGUCUUGUCGAAGACAUUAAGUUUGCUUCUAAAUUGACUGAACUUGUAAUAAGGCAAUGGCUUGGUUAAUAUGUCUGCAACUUGAUCUCUGCUGGCUACAAAACUGAUUUCCAGCUCUCCUUGAGUGACUUUGUCUCUAAUGAAAUGAAGGUCUAUCUCAAAAUGCUUUGUCUUUGAGUGAUACACUGGAUUUGUGGCUAUUGCUGCUGCACUUGUGCUAUCACUUAAGAUCAUUGGAACUCUUUGCAUCUUGAUUUCCAAUUCACCAAACAGAGAAUUUAUCCAAGUGAUUUCAGUAGUACACAAAGCUAUGGCCCUGUACUCGGACUCAGCUGUCGAUCUUGCUACCAUGCCUUGCUUUAUUGAGCUCCAAGCUACUAAAUUGUCUCCCAAAAACACACAAUAUCCACUUACUGAUCUUCUGUCAUCUGGAUCACUAGCCCAGUCAGCAUCAAUAUAGGCUAUCAAAUCUAGAUGUUCUGACUUCUGGAACUUUAAGCACAUGUUUGCAGUGCUCUUUAGGUACCUCAACACUCGUUUGCAAGCUGUCCAGUGAGAUUGUCUUGGGUCAGACAGGUAUUGGCUAAGCUUGUUCACAGAAUAUGCAAGCUCUGGUCUUGUUAGAACAGCAUAAUGUAGACUUCCUACAACACUCCUAUAAAAUGAAGGAUUGUCAAGUUUGGUGCCUUCACCCUUCUUUAGUUUCUCUGCUGUGCUGAAAGGUGACUCUAUUCCCUUGCAAUUCUCCAUCUCUGUUUUAGCUAAUAGGUCUUGAACAUAUUUAGCUUGAGAGAGCAAAAUGGAGUUCUGAUUUCUUAUAACAUGUAUCCCAAGGAAGUAGCUUAAAUUUCCAAGAUCUUUCCACUUAACUUUCCUAUCACUUCCUCAAUACCCUUGCUGUUAUUUCCAGUCACAAUUAUGUCAUCUACAUACACAAGCACAAUGAUUAUUUCAGCACUGCUUCUUUUGAAGAAUAGAGAAAUAUCACACUUGGAGUUGUUGAAUCCCCAAGAGCACAGAGCAUUCUUUAAUUUGUCAAACCAUGCUCUGGGUGCUUGUCUCAGUCCAUAAAGAGCUUUCUUGAGCUUGCAUAUGUGGUUUGGUCUUCUCCUAUCCUCAAAUCCCUCAGGUUGUGGCAUGUACACUGUCUCUGUCAAAUCUCCAUUCAGAAAUGCAUUAUUUAUGUCAACCUGCCUCAACAGCCAAUCAUUACUUACAGCCAAAGUUAAAAUGAUUCUGAUUGUUGCAGCUUUGACCACAGGGCUGAAAGUCUCAUUAAAGUCAAGUCCUGGUGUCUGCAGAAACCCCUUCAAGACAAGUCUAGCUUUGUAUCUAUUUAUGGUGCCAUCUGGAUUUUCCUUUACUUUGUACACCCAUUUGUUGCCAAUGAGUUUGUAGUUCUGGUCAUGUGGAAUUAAGGUCCAGGUUUGGUUUUUGACAAGAGCAUUAUAUUCAUCCUCCAUUGCUCUUCUCCAUUUAGGAUCUUUCAGUGCCACAGUGGAGUCAGGGGGUAAGGAAGUUUGAGAUUGAGUGGAUAUUUGAUAAACCUUUGGCUUGCAAAUCCCUGCUUUUGACCUUGUGAUCAUGGGAUGUAAGGAGGCUUGAGUGUUUGGUUAUGUUAUGAGAGGCAAGGUGCAAUUUUCUACUGAGGUGUUUGGUGAGAGUUCAACAGGUGAGUGGUUGUCUGAUAUAGAGUUGAAGCUCAAAUUCUAACAAGCUCCAUCUUAACUAAAACUUGGGAGCUGUUCUGAGUUUCCAGCAGUGGCCUGAGAUUAACUAUGAGCUGCAUUUUGCUGUGUUGACUCAGGGGGAACAGUAGUGGAGAAAGAUACAACUUGAAAUUUUUCUAGAACUGUGGGGGAAUCAUUUUGGUCAGUGAGCCUUUGCUUGCAGAAAUUUGAGUCAUUUUGAAAAGGGAAUGAAUGAUCAUUAAAUUGACACUGGCUGAAAUGUAGAUCCUCCCAGAAUGAUGCAUGCAAAUGUAACCUUUGUGACUGAUGCUAAUGCCUAGUAGUGUGCACUUGAAAGUGUGAAAAUCAAACUUAUGCUUGUUGUAGGGUCUUAAGUAUGGAUAGCAUUCACAACCGAAAACUUUAAUUUGGGAAUAAUCUGGUUUGGUGAGAUAUAACAGCUCAAAUGGAGUUUUAUUUUCAAGAAUAGGUGAGGUUAAUCUGUUUAUGAUGUAGGUGGCAUAGCUGAAAGCUUCUUGCCAAUAUCUCAAAGGCAUUUUUGCUUGGGCUAGUAAUGUUAGGCCAGUUUCCACAAUGUGUCUGUGCUUUCUCUCCACCUUUCCAUUUUGUUCAUGUAAAUAAGGGCAUGAGUGUCUUAAGGCUAUUCCUUCUUUCUUGAGAAAGGGUUCGAAAGUUUUAAACUCCCCACCCAUGUCUGUUUGUAAAGCCUUGAUUCUUAAAUUUAGCUGAUUUUCUACUUGGUUUUUAAACACAAUGAAUGUGUCAAGGGCCUGUGAUUUUGUUGUUAAGGGAAACAACCAUGUGUAUCUUGUCUUGUCAUCCACAAAUGAUAUGUAAUAUCUGUGUCCAUGGGUAGAUGGAAUAGGUGCUGGUCCCCAGAGAUCACUAUGUAUUUGUUCUAAGGCUGUGCUGGUCUUGGUUUCAAUGCUUUUAAAGUUUAGUUUUGAUUGCUUUCCAUACUGACAAGCAUUACAGAAUGAGGGAAAUAUAUUUUUAUUUAAGUUGAGCUGAUUACAAGAUAAUAGAGUAUUUUUCAGAACUGACUCAUUUGGAUGCCUCAGCCUAUGGUGCCAGAGAUCUAUUUCAUUUGUUCUAAGAUCCCUACUGCUUGUAUCAGCUCUACUGGACUCGACAACACUGGCACCAACACUGGCACCUAAAGACUCAUUACUACUGAAAUUGAAACAUGCCAUUGACAUUGGAUUGCUAAUGCAACUUAUUGACUUGGGUAUUGGAAAUGAAGAUAACUCAGCAGCAUAAGUAACCUUGUUGCCACUCAAAUGAGUUGGCAUGCAUAGCAGCUCAUAUAGUCCAUCUCUAGCCACUCCUUUCACCAGAAUUCUCCCUUGGCUCUUGUCCUUGAUGAAGCAAACAGAUUUUUGAAACUCAACAUCAAUAUCAUUAUCAUGAAGCAAUUUGGAAACACUAAUGAGAUUUUUGGUAAUAUCAGGUACAAACAAAAUAUGAUUUAAUUUGAUGUGUUUGUGUGGACUGUAAGUGGGCAAUAUAGAAUAACCAAUGUGAGAGAUAUGAAGUUUGUUACCAUUACCAACAGUGAGCUUGUCAUUACCUUGGUACUCUGAGUUCAGGUUCAUGUUUCCAAUAGCAUUGGUCACAUGAUUUGUGGCACCACUGUCAAGGUACCAGGCAUUGCUGUUUUGUCCUUCUGUUGUGGCCAUGUAGGCUCCUCUCCUCCUAUUUAGCUGUGGCACAUAAUUUUUCUUAAACCUAUGCCAGCAUUCAACAGCUGUGUGCCCCAUUUUGAAGCAGAUUUGGCAUGGACCCUUUGAUUCAGAACCUUCACCUUCUGCAGCAGCUUUGCCUUUGCCUUUGUCUUGAAUAUUUUGAUUUCCCUGACCAUGACCACCAUUGCCACCAUUUCCAGUGCCACCACCAGGAUUUCUGAAGACUAUCCCAGGUUGUUGCUGACUGCCAAAUCUUUCACCAUUGCCCCAGUUCCUCCUGCCAUUUCUCAUCUGUGUGAAGUUAGCCUCAAGAAUCCCUGGGCUGAGAUUUUGCUCAGUCCUGGUUUCUUGGCUGAGGAGCAUGCUGUAGACCUCUGACAAUGAAGGAGUUUCUGGCAUAGAGUUAAUGUUAGUGACAACAGAGUCAUAUUCAGAUCAUACUCCAGCUAAGACACACAUAAUAAAGUCCUCAUCACUCAUGUUAUUUCCAGCUGCUCUGAGUGUAUUUAGGAUAGUUUUCAUCAUGGAGUAAUAAUCAUGGAUUGUAAGAGAGCCCUUUUUAGUGGUUUGAAUCUGUGUCCUCAAAUAUAGGAUUCUAGCUCUUGUUCUUGCACCAUACUGAUUGGUAAGAGUUGUCCAAACUUCAUGUGAAGUAGAACAAUCCACCACAGUGCCGAGGACACCCUCACUGAGAGAUGAGAGCAACCAGCUCAAAAGAAUGUGGUCCUGUUUCUUCCAGAUUUGAUAUUCUGGAUUUUGGUGGGUAACGGUAGCUUGGUUAGGUCCAGGACUGGUGAAAUAUCUGGGGGGACAGGUAUAGCUUCCAUUUAUGAAGCCUUCAAGCUCAUUUGCUCGUAUGCUGGAGACCACUUGUGAUCUCCAGAGCAUGAAAUUGUUCUGUGUUAACUUGAUGGGAGUGGUGAACACAUAUGUGUUGCUGGUGAUAUGUUGGGUAGGAGAUGGGUUCAUUAUGGUCACAUUUCUUGUGUUAUUAUCUGGAUUCUGAUUGUCGAUAUUUUCAGGUUGGUUUUGAUUCAAAUCAUUUGGUUGAUCAUCUGGAUUUUCCAGAGUUUGAUUCAUGUUUGUUUGUGAAUUUCUGCUGCUUUCCAUAGCUCAAAAGUUGCUCUGAUACCAACUUAAAUUCUUAUGAAUUGCUUAAGUAUGCAAGCAGAAGAGCAGAAAAAAAAUAACCUUUUCAUAUAUUAUAAUAACAUGAAUAAUCAGAUAUACACAUCCUUCACAUAUUUAUACUAAACGUGAAAAAUGGUAGCUUGCUCAAAGGGAAAACAGAAAUGAAUAAAACAAAAGAUUACAGCUGCACUAGCCAAUCAUUGGAAACAUUCUAGAAACUCCAGCUUGCAGUAUUCACGUGUAAAUAUUCUCCUGCAUAACAGUUUUGCCAGCUCAUUGAAUACACCUCAACUUCUUCAUCAGCUGGCUGCUGGAUAUGGCUGCUCAGGUGGCAUGCCAACAUGGCCUUGGGGUCAAUUGUUGACUCAUCUUCAUAAUCUGAAUUCUCAACAAUGCAUUCAAACAGAUCUUCUUCAAAUUUCUUAGAACUUGCAACCGAAGAUAUUGGAGUUUCGCAAAAGGUUUUAGCCCUGUAACUUCUUCCACUUUCCAAACACUGAUUAUUUCUUCCAUCUCAUAACAACGUUCUACAUGGACCAUCUUCAGAUUUGGGGCAAAAACAAGCCAUGUCAUCUCCCUCAAUUUACUGCAAUAGUCUAUGGUAACACUUUGAAGGCUGUUGAAACCAUAAGUUCUCUUGUUGUUUGAACUUCUGCAUAGUCAACCUUUAGCUCUUCCAAACUUGUACAAUACACAAAAUCUAGUUUGUCAAGAUACUUGAGAUCUGCUAUGGACAAAAUAUUCCAUGACCUUGAAUCCUCACAGCGUCGAAGCUCUAAAGCAUAUUUACAACUCUUGUACUGUUGGCAGCUCAAAAGUCUUCGUAGAGCAUAAAAACUUCUUAACGUGACGCUUAAUACAUUUAAAUGUUCCAAAGUAAUCAACUCCUCUACCAAAAUUUCACUACCACCAAAUAGAACGCUAUCUUCUGGUACUGUAUUAGCAGAGCCACAAUCUAGCAUCCUCAACACCUUUAACCCAGAAAAAUUACAAAGCAGUUGCCGUGGAAUCGUAUGGAGAUAACGCAUGUACUCCAAGUUCAAACACUUUAGAUUUUUCAAGGCUUUUAAUUCAUGUGGUAACUCUUUGAUGAAAGUUUCUGAAAGAUUAAGAUAUUGUAGUGAAACCAAUUUUGAAAUUCCUGAAGGCAAUUGACUCAAGGAGCGAUUCUUUGAUAGGUUUAAAACUUUAAGAGAAGGCAUAAAAUCGAAGAAAUCACUAGGGAUAGUAUCUAACAUAUUAAUGCCGAGGAACAAAGUUAUAAGAUGAGGGCAUAUUGGAGUUAUUGGUAAAAUCACAAUUUUAUUUCUCAUCAACGAUAUCCUUCUCUUAUCUUCCCAUUGUUUAACCUCGGGUGGUUCAGUUAAUUCAAUACCGGCAGAAACCAAAAAGUUUUCAUUCUCCACUUCACAGGCUAUCCACAAGGUCAUAUCACGAAUCACAUCAUGCAAUUUUACAUAAUCUGAUCCUGCUUCUUCCAAUAGGCAUGCAUGAACAAGAACACCAAUAAUGUAGUAUCCUUGGUUAUGUACUCCAUUAAUUCCUUCAUAUUCCUUCAGAAAACCCUCACCAAUCCAACACCCUAUCAAUUCAAUUUUGCUAAUUUGAUAAUCCUCAGGAAAUAAACUACAGUAUAACAGACAAGAUCUAAGGACGUCACUAGACAAACUAUCAUAACUGAAUUUUAAAAGACGAAACACCUCUUUCUCCAUACCUGGAAAUUCAUAAGCUGAUCUCCUUAACAUCUGAAUUGCAUAGCUCCAUUCUUCGGGUGUCUUCUUGCUGCUCAUGGCACGACCGGUGGUAAUAAGUGCAAGUGGCAAACCACUACACUCCUUUGCCACAGUUUUGGCUAACUCCGGAAUAUCGGGAUGACUUUCAAGAGUCUCUUCUCCGACCUUCUUUAGGAACAAUUCCCAAGCAUCUUGAUCUGCCAAACACUCCACCUUGAACUUUUUUUGAGCUUCCAUGAGGCCACAGACGUCCACAAGACGAGUCGUAAAUGUUGAAAGUCAUGGCUGGCGCCGGCCAUCUAGAUGGCCGGUGCCAACCAUUCAACAUUCAACACGGCCCGCCAUUAUUGGUGGUGCCGUGUUGAAUGACUCCAUAAAAAAAAAAAAAAAAAAAAAGAGCCAAAAUUUUGGCUAUAUAAAGAGGGCUUCCCACCCUCAUUUAUAAUCCAAUCUUGAGAGAGCAAUUUAGGGAGUUGAGAGAGAGUUUAAGAGCUUGCAUUUAUAAGCUCUUAUUUUAGUGAUUUGAGAGUUUGGGUGUAUUGGGGUUUUGGGUAGUGAGCUAAAAUACUACAAUACUUGUAACUCCUUUUCACUAGUAAAAUAUUUCCUUCUGUCUUUGCCCAUGGACGUAGGCUAAAAGCCGAACCACGUAAUUUCUGGUGUCCUCUAUUGUGCUUGUUCUUUAUUUUAUUUCCAAUUUCAUUUUAGCUGCGGUCCUGCUUCACCCACCAAUUUCCUAACAGUGGUAUCAGAGCUAUUGGUUGUAUUUUUGGAGUCGGGAACUGUUCACGUAAGGGGUACUAUUCACGUAUACGACACUAUUCACGUAUACUGUACUGUUCACGUAUACGGGUUUGUUCACAUAUACGGUACUGUUCACGUAUACGAUACUAUUCACGUAUACGGUACUAUUCACGUGAAACGGGGAAGCGAUCCAAGAAUUUUCCGGUGCAAAGCAGGGAAUAGUAGUGUGAGAAAAGCAACUGUGGUUUUGUACAUGUCUAGGAAAGUUCUGUCACAAAGGCGAUAAGAGCUUAAGGAGUCUGGGUUUUAAGUGGGACCAUUGUGACCCCUCCAGUCUUUCCUGGGAACUUUCCUGGUGUGCAUUCUCACACAUACUCACAACUAUUCAAGGUGGUAUACUAGCUUGUGUGCAGUAUUUAUCAACAAAAUGGCGGCAAAGUAUGAAAUUGAGAAGUUGAACGGAAAUAAUUUUUCGUUGUGGAAAAUGAAGAUGAAAGCUGUAUUGAGGAAAAAUAAUUGUUUGGCAGCAAUUGGAGAAAGGCCCAUGGAGAUAACUGAUGACAAGUGGAACGAGGUAGACGGUAACGCCAUUUCUGAUCUACACUUGGCACUUGCGGAUGGUGUAUUAUCUAGUGUGGCAGAGAAAAAUACGGCGAAGGAAAUAUGGGAUACUCUCACAAAAUUGUACGAGGCCAAGUCACUACACAACAAAAUCUUCUUGAAGAGAAAACUAUAUACUCUUCGAAUGGCGGAAUCUACAAUGGUGACCGACCACAUCAACACUUUGAAGACUCUAUUUUCACAACUCACAACGUUGGGUCAUAAUAUAGAGGAGAAUGAACGUGCAGAGCUUCUACUUCAAAGUCUACCAGAUUCGUAUGAUCAACUCAUCAUCAACCUGAUGAACAACAAUCCAGUGGAAAGUCUAGUUUUCGACAAUGUUGCAGCCUCCGUAUUAAAUGAGGAGAGCAGACGGAAAAAUAAGGAAAACAGACAAGCAAGUUCGCAGCAAGCAGAGGCGCUAUCGGUGACGAGAGGGAGAUCAACGGAACGUGGCCCCAGUGGGAGUCAAAGUUAUGGUAGAUCAAAAUCCAGAAGUAAGAAAAAUGUUAAAUGCUACAACUGUGGCAAGAAAGGGCACGUCAAGAAAGAGUGUUGGAGUAACCAGAAGAGAAGAGAGGGUAAAGAACCUGAGUCAUCAAAUGCUCAGGGGUGUGUAGCAAGUACCUCGGAUGAUGGCGAAAUUCUCUACAGUGAGGCAACAACUGUUUCAGAAGGCAGAAAACGACUUUCUGAUGUCUGGCUUAUAGACUCAGGAGCUACCUGGCACAUGACCUCUAGGAGAGAAUGGUUCUACACAUAUGAACCUAUCUCAGGAGGAUCUGUAUAUAUGGGUAACGAUCAUGCCUUGGAGAUCGCUGGUAUUGGUACUAUCAAAAUAAAAAUGUUUGAUGGUACAAUUCGCACAAUUGGGGAGGUACGACAUGUCAACGGCCUAAAGAAAAAUCUAUUGUCUUUAGGACAAAUGGAUAGUCAUGGGUACAAAACUCAUGUGGAGAAUGGAAUUAUGAAGAUCGUUAAAGGCGCGCUUGUAUUAAUGAAGGCAGAAAAGAUCAGUGCUAAUCUAUUCAUGCUUAAAGGAGAAACACUACAGGAGGCUGAUGCGUGUGUCGCGUCAAAUGGAGAAGAAUCAACGAUGAUGUGGCAUCUCAAACUCGGCCACAUGUCAGAACAAGGCUUGAAGAUUCUCUCUGAGCGAAAAUUGCUUCCGGGGCUCAAAUCAGUAAGUUUACCAUUUUGCGAGCAUUGUGUUAUAAGUAAGCAGUAUAGAUUAAAAUUCAGUAGAUCUAUUGCUAGAAGUAAAUGCAUUCUAGACUUGAUUCAUUCUGAUGUUUGGGAAUCACCGGAUAUAUCCAUGGGAGGUGCAAAGUACAUGGUGACUUUCAUUGAUGAUUAUUCCAGAAGAUGUUGGGUGUAUCCAAUUAAGAAAAAGUCAGAUGUAUUUCCUGUGUUUAAAGAAUACAAAGCGCGGGUGGAACUUGAAUCUGGUAAAAAGAUCAAGUGCUUAAGGACAGAUAAUGGUGGAGAAUAUACAUACGACGAGUUUCUUGCUUUCUGUAAGCAAGAAGGUAUUCAGAGGCAAUUCACGGUGGCAUACACUCCUCAACAAAACGGAGUAGCAGAGCGGAUGAACAGAACUCUUACAGAAAGAAUAAGAGCUAUGUUGAGGACUGCUGGUUUACCCAAUUCAUUCUGGGCAGAAGCAGCCAAAACCGCCUGUUAUAUAGUAAAUCGGUCGCCAUCUACAGCUAUUGGGUUGAAGACAGCGAUGGAGAUGUGGACUGGAAAGCCAGCUGAUUAUUCCUACCUACAUGCAUUUGGAUGUCCUGUGUACGUGAUGUACAAUGCCCAAGAAAGAACAAAGCUGGAUGCAAAAUCUAGAAGAUGUAUCUUCUUGGGGUAUGCUGAUGGAGUAAAGGGGUAUCGUCUGUGGGACCCCACUGCCCAUAAGAUCGUCAUCAGCAGAGAUGUUAUCUUUGUAGAAGAUCAACUACAAAGAAAAGAUGGAGAUGAUGGCACUGUAAAAGAAAAGUCAGAGACUGUACCAGUAUAUGUCGAAAAUAAUCUAGAAGAUUCAGAUUCUUCUGAAGCAGCACCAGAGCACGAGGAACAAGAACCAGUCGAGUCUGAGGCUCCAGAAGUUCGUCGGUCAACUCGUGAGAGACGACCACCGGCGUGGCACUCGGAGUAUGUCACAGAGAUCAACGUUGCAUACUGUCUUCUAACAGAGGAUGGAGAGCCUUCAACUUUCCAUGAAGCUUUAAACAACUUAGAUGUUGCUUUGUGGAUGACAGCAAUGCAGGAAGAAAUUGAAGCUCUACACAAGAACAAGACAUGGGAACUUGUACCACUACCACACGGAAGAAAAGCCAUUGGAAACAAAUGGGUCUACAAGAUCAAACGUGAUGGCAAUGACCAAGUGGACCGGUAUCGUGCAAGAUUGGUGGUGAAAGGAUAUGCUCAGAAAGAAGGUAUUGACUUCAACGAGAUAUUUUCUCCGGUGGUUCGACUCACAACAGUCAGAAUAGUCUUGGAGAUGUGUGCUACAUUUGAUCUACAUCUUGAGCAGUUAGAUGUUAAAACUGCAUUUCUUCAUGGAGAACUUGAAGAAGAAAUAUAUAUGCUCCAACCAGAAGGUUUUGCAGAAACAGGAAAGGAGAACUUGGUUUGCAGGUUGAACAAAUCUCUAUACGGUCUCAAACAGGCGCCGAGGUGUUGGUAUAAGAGAUUUGAUUCCUUCAUCAUGAGCCUUGGAUACAACAGACUCAGUUCAGACCAUUGUGCAUAUUACAAGAGGUUUGAAGAUAAUGAUUUCAUCAUUUUACUGUUGUACGUGGAUGACAUGUUGGUAGCAGGCCCCAACAAAGAUCAAGUCCAAGAAUUGAAGGCACAAUUGGCUAAGGAGUUUGAAAUGAAGGACUUGGGACCAGCAAACAAGAUUCUAGGGAUGCAAAUUCACCGAGACAAAAAUAACAGGAAGAUUUGGCUUUCACAGAAGAAUUACUUGAAGAAAAUCUUGCGGCGCUUCAACAUGUAAGAUUGUAAGUCAAUUUCUACCCCACUUCCUGUUAAUUUCAAAUUAUCCUCAAGUAUGUGUCCUAGCAAUGAAGUGGAGAGGAAGGAGAUGUCUCGAGUACCGUAUGCAUCAGCAGUGGGAAGUUUAAUGUUCGCUAUGAUAUGUACUAGACCAGACAUUGCACAAGCAGUGGGAGCAGUCAGUCGAUACAUGGCGAAUCCUGGUGGAGAGCAUUGGAUAGCUGUAAAGAGGAUUCUGAGAUACAUCAGAGGAACCUCAGAUGUUGCAUUAUGUUACGGAGGAUCAGAGUUUACUAUCAGGGGCUAUGUGGAUUCAGAUUUUGCAGGAGAUCUUGAUAAAAGAAAAUCCACUACUGGUUAUGUGUUUACACUUGCAGGAGCAGCUGUAAGCUGGGUUUCGAAACUGCAGAUCGUUGUGGCUUUANNNNNNNNNNNNNNNNNNNNNNNNNNNNNNNNNNNNNNNNNNNNNNNNNNNNNNNNNNNNNNNNNNNNNNNNNNNNNNNNNNNNNNNNNNNNNNNNNNNNAUAUUCUUGAUUAAUCCAUUUUCUGAAAUUUUUUAUUUUGUAUGGUCAAUUAUACCUUCAUACUAAAAAUUUCUGAUGUUAUGGGGUUGUUGGAUGUGUUUUGGAUAUUUGCAGCUAAGUUUGAGUUUAUAUCUCAACUUAAAAUUUGUAGUUUUCACUUGAAAAAAUUCAGUUAAAAAUUGAUUGGUAGAAUUGUGAAGAAGUUUAAAUUUUUAGUUCAACCCGAUUGCAUAUUUAAGAACAUCUCAAAUGAAUUGCUUACUGCUAUCAUCAUCAUAAUUGUCAGAGAUGGUUAAUUGAUAGACUAUGUGCCUGGGUCGAGCACUGGAAGCCUGCAAUGCAGACUGAUUGAUUUAUCAGUUUAACGUGUGCCAGGAAUGAAGAACUGGAAUAUCACCGUCAAGCAAGCACCCUGUGGAGCAAUACCAAAGAAUGCACAAUCCGGCUUUGCAAGGUGACACUGGAGGCUUUUUGAAAAGUGCUUCACGCUCACUUGCACAGAUUGAGCAUCCCCUCUGGAUAUUGCCCUCUCUGAUCGAGUCUGAGCACUCAAAUUUUGGUCCUCAGAGGGAGCUACAGUUUUCUCUCCAAUAACCAACAAUUUUCUAAACUCAGCACCUAGUGUGAUCAGAGUUGUUGAUAUUUAUAAAUGGAGAUCCCCAUAUUUGCAAGUGGAGACAUUUAACAAUUCACCAACAUGCUUCAUCCGGUGUACAAAAUUCUGCAGCUGAUUCAAAUCCGGAACCUGAACCAGAGUCGGAGGUAUAUCUUGAGCCAUAUCUAAAGUAGUUUGAAGUUCAAGACCUUGAGCCCUUGACAAUGGUUUUGAAAUUGGAACAUCUUGGAUUACUGCAGACUUGUACCCCUUGGUUUCAAAGGUAAGGAAAGGCAUUGCUUGAGUACAAUUUGGAGGCAGCUUCUUCACCAAUUUUAUUUGGAGGCGAUUGGCAGCGGAUCCAGCAGCACCAAUUUCAGAGCAAAUACUGACACUACUUCGAACAGCACACUGAAGAAGUGAUAUGUCUACGGCAAAGGCAAUGCAGUCCUCAUUUUGGCUUGAGAUGCAGUAAUCAUCGAAGAGAGUUUCCUUGUGAAACUGGGCAACACAUUGAAUCCCUUCGCCACUGAGAAGGUUGUGGAGGAAGUAAGCUUUCUCUCUAGUGAGGCAGAGGUGGCAUACCUUCCCCAUUUUGUCGAGGGCAGGUAGGAAUCUUUUUUCUAAGAGAUUUACUUCAUUCUCUGUGAGAAAUGCUUUGAACUUCAUCCCUCUGUCUCUAUCCUCACUUAUCAGGAAAUAAGUUGAAAGCACUACGAAGAGAGAGAGAGAGAGAGAGAGAGAAUUAAGAUAUAUAGACAAGAAAAAUAUUAGACGUUGAUCUUACAAACUAAUACUUCAAGCAGUAUCCUGGAAAGCUAAAAACUGCAAGAUGGCUUGAAAUUUGAAAAGAGCACGUGCUUUUCCUCCUUAACUUGAGAAAAUGUUUAAUAUAGUGCACCUUAUGGAAGCAUUUAAGCAAUUAGAACUUUGCACAAAAACAUCAAGAAGACUAAACAAGUCAGAUGCAGUGUAUUUGUCCAAGCACAAAUUGCAUUUUGUCCUCAACUUUAAUAUUUAUUGAUGAGAAUCAAUACAGGUCCCUCAUUUGUUAUAGAAAGCUUUCUUUCUUGUAGUCUCACCAGUUAAUUCACAGGUCUAUAAUCAUCUUGCAAAGUUAAGGGCAUUUCUUUUGAUCUAAAGUCUUUGCAUCACCACCUCAUCACACGCCAAGCCAAUAUUCCAUUUACCUCUACAACAAAAAGUUUUAAUUAAACAAUCCUAAUGCACGCAGCCAAAUAAAAUGCAGUAAGAAUAUUCAACUUAAAAAUCUGAAAGCCAACUUGGUGAAUUGCCUCCUUAGGUGAAGUUCCAUGCUUUACUAUAGUUGACAGAACUCAGCAAAAGCUUCCAUACAACAGAUUUUGAAAAUGAUGAUGCCAACAGAUACUCAUUCAAUCCAUUGAAACUCCAAAGGUUCAUUGUUCAUAGAAGUUUACAAAGUUUUGGUCAUCAAAUAGCUCAGACCUAAUCCCAAACAAAAAAAGAGUGAAAAUUAGAUCACGAGCAGCUAAUUGUAAAUUCUAACUUAACUCUUCAUCUCCUUUGUAAACAAGAAACAAAAUGGAGACACGCAAAAUGAAUAUGGAGAAAAUUUGAACUCAAAUGAAAUGAGGGCACGAAAGCAAACAAAUGGCAUGCACAAAAAAACCAAGCCUCAAUCAAAAACUAAUUAACCAUUAAGAAAAAAAUUGGUCAGACAAUGAACUCCAAAUUCAGGAGUCAAGCAAGAAGCUUUCAUUAUUUCAGAAGCUCCUGUACAAAUUAAUAAGUUAUGCUCUUUGGAAGCAAAACCAAAUUCCAAGAGAAACAGAACCCAAAAAAUUUGCAAUUAUUCGCAAAGGAAGUGAAGCACAGGAUUCUAUCACACAUAGGAAUUUUAUAACAAGAGAUCGAUAUAUCGAAUUAGAAAACUCAAUUCGAAUUUGUGUGAAAAAUCAAAAUUAGAAGAUUUCACAUUUCGAGAGGAACAAGCAACAGAUGAGUUUAAUUUCAGCCAUAACAUGCUAAAAAUGCUACACUUAACGGUUCCUUGUCAGCUAUUGAUGCGUUCGCUCANNNNNNNNNNNNNNNNNNNNNNNNNNNNNNNNNNNNNNNNNNNNNNNNNNNNNNNNNNNNNNNNNNNNNNNNNNNNNNNNNNNNNNNNNNNNNNNNNNNNAAGGGUCAUGUUCAAGCAGGAAAACUUCUAGAACAGGUAAGGAUUCCAUCUACAGACAUCCAUUGACAGCAGAUAUAUUUCAUUAAGCAGACACUGUUAGCAUUCAAGAUGCUGGCAGAUUCACUUGAUUCUUAUUAGUUUGUUUAGUGGCAAGGCAUAUAACCUGUAUUUCAAAGCCAAGUUGUGCUAUUGAUUAUGUUAACUUUAUUGUUAACAUUAAGUGAUUUGGAGGACAUAAUCAAUGUAGGAAAAUUAGGUGAAGAGAUGAUGUCAAAUCUUGAACCUCUUACAAAGCUCCAAGUUCUUUACUUGAAGAAGCUGCCAAAUUUGAAGAGCGUCUACUGGAAGGCAUUUCCAUUCCCAGAUGUAUGCAGAAUUUUUGUAUUAAUGCCCAGUUCUUAAGAAGCUGCCACUGGAUUUUCAUGGGGCGGGCCAAGGUAAAAUUCUUAUCAAGGGAAAGGAAGAUUGGUGGAAAGAACUUCAAUGGGAGGAUCAAGCAACUCAGAAUGCAUUGCUUCCAUUUUUCAAAUCAACUGACAAGUGAUUGAAGGGGGCAUCAUCAACAGAGAUGGAGAGAUUCUGGAGCAGAUCAGCAGGGUUUGUAUAUGAUCUUUGGUGGUUGCUUUCUUUUGUGAUUUUUUUUUUCUCAUUUUUUUACCUUCCUGUCAUUUUAUCAUUUCUUUGUCUCUUUUUCUAUUGCUGAUGUUAGUGUAUGCUUACUGUUGCUUGACAAAGUUUGCUUGCUUCUUGUUUAUUAAAUUUUUUAUGGUCACAAAAUAUUACUUGUUCUAUUUGAGAGUGAUGUGAAUCAAUUUUCAAUUAUAUAUUUUUUGGUCAAUGUGAAUUCAAUUUCAUUUGUCUCCUGCAAUUAUUAAAAAAAUGCAGUCUCAUAAUAUGGAAAAGUCGACCGGCAAAAAUUUUGUGAAAGCUUCGGAGUGAAACAGGGAAUUCACUUACUACUAAGGACAAUUGGUGGCGAGCUAUUCCAUUCAUUUUAUGUCCCUACAUCUAUUUAAUUAUUAAAGAUAAGUGGUCCAUUUGUAAAUUUCAGAUUGUGUCUCUCUGAAAAUAACAAUAUUUAAAAUGUCUCUUAAAUUAUUAUAAAUUUUAAUUCACUCUCGAUUUAAAAUGGAACAUGCUGAUGAAAAUUUUUUUCUUCUCAAUAUUCAAUAAAAUUGAAAUAAAUUGUGUUUGCAGUAUUUUGAAAUAUUUUAAAGAUUAUUAUUUUAUAAGAGAGUAAUAUGAAAUGAAAUUUACUCUUCAUGCGUGAAAUGUUGAAAAGGACAAAGGAAAGUGUCACUGCUUUUAUUUUAUUUCAAAGUGGAGUCAUCUCACAUACUUUACCUCUAUCAUUACAAUUUUUCACGUUACAUUUUGAUUUAUUUAUUUCUUUUAACACAUGCAUGUGGGUUACUUUUCCGUAAGCUCCUUAAUAUAUGUUUAACACAAAUCAUGGAAGAGAUGGGAGUAUAUCAAGAUGAUCAAAGCAUGAGACAAAAAUAUUUAAGAAGUAAAACACUGAAAAUAGAGGAGAGAUGCAAGCAAAAGAUAUUCCAAAGAAAAGCAAUCUAUCCCCUUUCGAGGGCAAACUUAAUCAGGUUUAAGAAAAGUACAUGUUUUGGAUUGGUAGUUGCAGCCUUGCAGGAUAAUUGUUUUUGCCAUUAUAUUAGUUGGAGGAGUUGAACCCAGCGAAGAAUGUUAUGGAAGAGCAAAUUAAUGAUAUUUCUGAUAGAGUCUAUUUGAUUAUGUAGCCUGAAUGGAUGUCUUGUUGAAAGAUAUCUCAGUGCAUUAGUUCAUCCUUGUCUGUCAAUGUGUUUUUAAUGGUUUUUCCAAUUGUUUAUUAUUAUAGAUUGAUUGUAAAUUUAUAUGAAAAUUUGAUAUGAAUUUAAUGUUGAAAUGUUUUCUCUUUAGUGGAAUGAAUUUAAAUUGAUUGAUUGUAAAUUGAUAUGAAUUUAAUGUUGCAAUGUUUUCUCUUUAGUGAAAUGAACUUAAAAGUGUAAAAGAUUAUUGCACACAUAGAAAUAAACAUAUAUGCUUUAUAGUAUAACUUUAGCAAUCGAUUCUUUUACGGCUGGAAACAGAGAUGAUGAUUAUCAUAGGGGUGAAGAAAAGGACAAAAAAUAUUAAUAAAUGAUCUUAAUGUUCCACAAAAGCAAAUCGUAAUAUUCCACAAGAAAAAGCAAGAUCUUAAUGUUCCACAAAAGCGUUAUUUAUUUUUUUUGGUGAGCCACGUGGAGCUCAAUUAUCAUUGUCUUUACUUUAAAAACGUUAUUUUAUUUUAUUUUCUUACAAAUUAAUGCUAACAAGAAAAAGCAAGAUAUAAUAUUCCACAAAAGCAAAUCGUAAUAUUCCACAGAGGAAUAAGAUCCACAAAAGCAAACAACUAGCUGGAUUCUUUUAUUAAACUACAAAUUAAAGUGGAAUCGUUUACUAAACAACAAAUUAAAGUUCAAAUAUUUAAAUAGUAGUGCGUUAGACGAUUAGGCUCUUUUAUUAAAGUCAAGUAUAAAGUAGUCCAGAAUCGAACAUCUCUAUUGUCUAGUCUUUUUUUUUUUUAAUUCUUCUUUUAUUAUUUUUCAGAAUAUGUUUUGGUGAUUACUAUUGGGUUAUUAUUCAGAGUUAUUGUUAUCUUCCGGGGCAGUUUCUGUUCAUCGAAAUCGUUAAUUAAAAUUUUAAAACUCUUAUCGGAAGAAUGUUUUUCCGUUAUUUUUUUAUAUUCUAAUUUCAAUUGUAAGAAGUAGUCAUUUUAGAAUUUGGGUCUUGAAUCGAAUUUCAAUGCAUGAAUUAAUAUUUUAAAAAAAUUUACUACAUGCAGUUUAGGUUACAAACUAUUUUUUGCAAAGUUGACUAUGAAAUUGGAGAAAUUAAGUAAUUUAUAAUGUUUGCAAAGAAAGAGACCAACAUACUUCCAAUUACACUAUAUCUCAAUUAUCAUAAUGUUAAGAUUAAACUAACUUAAAAUAAAAUUUAUUUAAAAAGUUUAUCAAACGCAGUCUAAUUUUAUUAACUUGAAGAGAUAAUAGUUAUAGAAAUUAUUAUUCUAACUUAAUUAGUAAAAGUGGUAUAAAGGUUAAGUGUGCACUAAAUCUAUUUAAAUUUUUUUCCAGUAUAACUAACAGAGGUCAUUACUAGAAUUAUAUUACUAGUCUAUUAGAUAGAAAAAAUUAUUUAUAUUGUUUUAUAUUUAUUAAAAAAAUUUAAAGUCAAUCUUUUUAAUUACUAUUUAAAGGAUAUUAUAAUUAAAAAAAUUUUAAUGUCUUCAUUAAAAAUUUAAAAUUUUAUAUGACCGUUAUCUAAAUAUUUAAAGUGUAACUGUCAUUUUCUCAUAUAUAUAUAUAAUUUCAUCAACCCCUUAUACUUUAUGUUAUUUAUAUUUUAUUCAUGAAUAUUAUAAAUUUUUUGAAAUAUAAAAUUUCGUUUAACCCUUUAUACUCAAUUUUAUUUUAUUAAAACCCUAGAGUAUGAAUUCGUCCCUAUAAUAUUAAAUUCUCAAAAUAACUUCCAUUUAAUUAAAAAAUAUAAUUAUUAUUAAAUGAAUUAUAAUUAUUAUUAUUAUGUUAUUAUAAUCAUAAAAAGCGAGAUCAUAUUCCACAAAAGCAUAAGUGACAAAACAACCAACUGGAUUCUUUUAUUAAUCAACAAAUUGUAUAGUCUUUUUCAAAUUGUUAUAAAUUGGUGGCCCCUACAAUCCUCAAUAAUUGUACCGAAAUUCACAAGUUGGUGGGCCCUACAAUUCUGUUCCGAUAAUUUAACUGUGCAAGUGCUCAUUCACAAUCUUCCAGGUCAUGCUCUUAACAAUUGUUUUUUCUUUUCUGCACGCCCUUUCAUGCUCUUAAUAAUUGAAGAGCAUACUUUUCAAAUGUGAAGCCGCAUCUAAUGUCGCUAAUUUAAUUUGGGAUUAAAUUACGGGACUAUUAUAUUGCAGUGUGCACUAAUUUUUAUGUUUAUCUAAACUCUUCAAAUUUAAAACAUAUUAUGGCAUAAAUAAGAAUGUAACAAUAACAAAAGAGUAAGAAAGUGUAGAGAAAAUCUUGCAGAAAUAUAAAUAAUAUUUAUUUUUAAAAUAAUAUUAAUAUUUAAAAUAAUUUUUAAUAUUUUAUGGUCCAUUAGAUAUAUUUUAUUAUAUUAAAAUAAAUUUUAUAAUAAAUAAAAACAUACUAUUAAAAUGAAUAUAUAUAGAAAAUUUAGAGUAUUUUAAGUAUUAUAUAAAAUAAUUUUAAUAAAAUAUGUGAGAUAUUCAUAUUUUAUUAAUUUAAGAUACCAUUUAACCUAAAGAUUUAUUUAUGAUAAAUUAAUAAUUAUAUUUUUGAAAUUACUUCAAAUAUUAAAAAAAUUAAUAUUACUAAUAUAUUAGAUAGAUUAAAUUAUAUAUAUUAUUUUUACUUAUUAAAAAAAUUUUAAAAUUAUUUUUAAUUACUAUUCAAAAAACGUAUUCAAAAAACAUAAUGAUAAAAAAAUCUUAACAUCUUUAUUAAAAAAUUAAAAACUUAUAUGAUAAAUUCUCUAAAUAUUUACGGUAUAUGUGAACCACGGUGGAUAAGCUUUAUUUAAUAUUAUUGAUUUAAAUAAUAUGUCAAUUAAAAAUGUACAGAGAAGAAAUUUCGGUGGGUAUUUUAGUCUUUUAAGCAAUUAUCAUGAUCAGAUCAGCCUUUAGCCUUCAAACGUCGGUCAGAAAAGUUUUAAAAUUAAUGCUAAAUUGUUUUUCACUUUUAACGUUGGUGGCCUUGAAAUUGCUUGUAUUUUAUUAAAAAUUAAUGCUAACAAGAAAAAGCUAGGUCAUAUUCCACAAAAUCAAAAGUGACAAAACAACCAGCUGGUUUCUUUUACUAAACUACAAAUUAAAAUAAAUUUUUUCGAUAAAUUACAAAUUAAAGUGGAUUCUUUUGAAUACAAAUGGGACAGACGAUUAGGCUCUUUUUAUUAGAGGCAAGUAAAAACUAGUCAAGAAUCGAACAGUCUUUUUCCAAUUCUUGUUUUAUUAUUUUUCAAAACUAGUUUUUGGUAAUUACAACCGGGUCAUUAAUCAUUAUUCAGAGUUACUGUUAUCUUCGGGGGCAGUGGGUAAAAGAUAAUUACUAACUGUUUUUCCUUCAAAAGUUAGCGGCUCAUGUUUGCAAGUGUGAAUGUGCGAUGCUCUUUUCUUAAAGGCCAUUACAGUGGGGCCCGAAUCAGACGUGCCUAAAUCUUUUUAAAAUUUUUGCCGUAUAACGAACAGAGGUCAUUACUAAAAUUUCUCUUCCACAGCCUACAGCAGCUUCAGUUUAUCAAACUCCAUCAAUUUUCUUUCUUAACAAAAUUCCAAAGAUGUGUAGCAUUUUUCAGAUCACAUGCGAUGGUGCUCUUUUCAAUCGUUGCUUGGAUUGCUUUCUUGGAAAAGCAGCAUACAUACGUAACCUCCAAGAUAAUCUUGAUGCCUUGGACACUGAACUGGGAAGACUAAUCGCUAAAAAGAACGAUGUGAUGAGGAGGGUUGUCGACGCUGAACGACAACAAAUGAGAAGGCUGGACGGAGUGCAAGUGUGGGUUUCGAGGGUGGAUGCUGUUAAAACUGGAGCCGAUGAACUUAUCACAGACGGCUCUGAAGAAAUUGGCAAAUUAUGUGUUGGAGGCUACUGUUCCAAGAACUGCAGGUCAAGCUACAAGUUCGGAAAACAAGUGGCUAAAAAGCUACAAGAUGUGAAGACUUUAAUCGCCGAGGGAGUUUUUGAGGCGGUGGCUACUGAGGUGGUGCCCGAGAGAGCUCCGGAACCUGUAGCAGAUAAAAGACCCAUUGAGCCAACAAUAGUAGGCUUGCAAUCACAGCUUGAACAAGUUUGGAGAUGUCUUGUAGAAGAAUCAGUGGGAAUCAUUGGCCUAUAUGGUAUGGGCGGUGUUGGUAAAACCACACUAUUGACCCGUAUCAACAAUAAAUUUCUUGAGAGUCAAAACAACUUUGAUUGUGUGAUUUGGGUCGUAGUUUCAAAAGACCUGCGGCUUGAAAAAAUUCAAGACGAUAUUGGGAAGAAGAUAGGUCUGUCUGAUGAUUCAUGGAAGAAUAAAAGUUUUGAAGAGAAAGCUGUGGACAUCCUGCGGAGAUUAGGAGAGAAGAGAUUUGUAUUGUUGUUAGAUGAUUUAUGGGAGCGGGUUGAUUUAACAAAAGUGGGCGUUCCACUUCCCAGCGCACAAAAUACUACCUCAAAAGUCGUAUUCACAACCCGUUCCAUUGGUGUUUGUGGCAGCAUGAGAGCUAGGCCGGUUAAAGUGGCAUGCCUAUCAGAAAAGCAAGCUUGGGAACUGUUCCGCGAAAAUGUUGGGGAAGAAACUCUUGAGAGUGAUCAUGAGAUCGUUGAGCUAGCCCAAACUGUGGCCAAAGAGUGUGGUGGUUUGCCACUCGCACUUAUUACUAUUGGUCGAGCUAUGGCCUUCAAAAAGACAGCCGAGGAGUGGAGUCAUGCAAUUGAUGUGCUAAGAACAUCAGCUUCUGAGUUUGCAGGUUUGGGAGAGAAGGUGUAUCGUCUUUUAAAGUUUAGCUAUGAUAGUUUGCAGAAUGAGACCAUUAGAUCUUGUUUCUUAUAUUGUUGUUUAUAUCCCGAGGAUUAUGGCAUUCUUAAAUGGGACUUGAUUGAUUGUUGGAUUGGUGAGGGAUUCUUGGAGGAAUCUGACAGGUUUAGUGCAGAAAACCAAGGAUACUACAUUGUGGGCACUCUUGUUCAUGCGUGUUUGCUAGAAGAGAUGGAAGAUGAUAAAGUAAAAAUGCAUGACGUUGUUCGUGAUAUGGCUCUAUGGAUAGCUUGUGAAAUUGAGAAGGAGAAGAGAAACUUUUUGGUUUGUGCAGGUGCUGGAUUAAAAGAGGCACCGGAUGUUAAAGGAUGGGAAAAUGUGAGAAGAUUGUCAUUGAUGCAAAACCAAAUUAAAACUCUGUCAGAGGUUCCCACAUGCCCUCAUCUCCAUACUUUAUUUCUUGCCUCUAAUAUGGAGUUGGAGAUGAUCGCGGAUGGCUUCUUCCAAUUUAUGCCUUCUCUCAAAGUUUUGAAGAUGUCACGCUGCUGGAAUUUUCAAUUACCUGUUGGGAUGUCAGAUUUGGGUUCAUCACUAGAACUUCUUGAUAUUUCACAUACCACCAUAAGAGAGUUACCCGAAGAGUUAAAGUUGCUGGUAAAUCUGAAAUGUUUGAAUUUGAGGUGGACAGGUGCGUUAAUUAGAAUUCCACGGGGACUAAUAUCAAAAUUUUCAAGGUUACGUGUGUUGAGAAUGUUGGGUACUGGCGGGUUCAUUUUUUAUGAAGCACCAGAAGACAGCGUUUUAUUUGGUGGGGGUGAAGUUUUGAUACAGGAAUUGCUCGGUUUGAAAUAUUUAGAGGUAUUGGAGUUGACCUUGGGAAGUUAUCAUGCUCUCCAAAUUCUUUUGAGCUCAAAUAAGUUAAAAAGUUGUAUUCGAUCUCUUUACCUCUAUUUGACCGGAGAUAAAAAGUCGAUUAUUGAUGCUACGGCUUUCACAGACCUAAACCACCUCAAUGAAUUAUGGAUUGAUAAUGGAAUUGAGUUGGAAGAAUUGAAGAUUGAUUAUACGGAGAUAGUACGAAAAAGGCGGGAACCUUUUGUUUUCCACAGCCUUCACCUUGUUACGAUAUAUAGUUGCCAUAAAUUGAAAGAUUCGACAUUCCUCGCUUUUGCUCCAAACCUCAAGUCUCUUUCGCUAUUCAAAUGCCGUGCUAUGGAAGAAAUAAUCAGCGUCGGAAAAAUUGCUGAGAAUCCUGAGAUGAUGGGACAUANNNNNNNNNNNNNNNNNNNNNNNNNNNNNNNNNNNNNNNNNNNNNNNNNNNNNNNNNNNNNNNNNNNNNNNNNNNNNNNNNNNNNNNNNNNNNNNNNNNNNNNNNNNNNNNNNNNNNNNNNNNNNNNNNNNNNNNNNNNNNNNNNNNNNNNNNNNNNNNNNNNNNNNNNNNNNNNNNNNNNNNNNNNNNNNNNNNNNNNNNNNNNNNNNNNNNNNNNNNNNNNNNNNNNNNNNNNNNNNNNNNNNNNNNNNNNNNNNNNNNNNNNNNNNNNNNNNNNNNNNNNNNNNNNNNNNNNNNNNNNNNNNNNNNNNNNNNNNNNNNNNNNNNNNNNNNNNNNNNNNNNNNNNNNNNNCACUGUUUUUAUUUCAGUCUCUCUCUCUCUCUUUGUCUCUGCUAAUCACAAUUAAAUGUGAAUUAAUGGAAUUAAUGCUUCAUAAAUUUGCCGGCACUGCCAUUACUUUUUUUUUUUUAAUACAAAUUGAUACUUUAUUUAUAUCUUCUUAGCGAUUUAAUUUCCUGUCAAUUGACGAACGAGAAGAACAUAUGACUUGAACCAAUGCUCGCAUAAACUUGCUGUAAAAAGAUAUAAUCUCACUGAAAUGCACACGCCUAGAAUGAAUAGAAUUAAAACAGGGAAAAUAUUAAGUAUAUUAGCCCUCUUUACCGAAAAUCAAAUGACAAUAAAUUUUUUGAAGUUUUGAUUUUCUAUGGUCAAUUCCACCUUUUGCAAUUUCUUCUGUUCUAACAAAAACCAAUUUCUUUGUUCAAGUAUUUUCGUUUGGGUAUUAAUAAUUCUCCACCGAAAGAGUGAACUCUUGCUCAAGGGAUCUCUAAUCAAUAGCCGGAAGGGCGCCGAGACCUGAUCGGACCUAGGCCCAAGUUUGGUCUUAAAGCCUGGGCUUGAGCCUGGCAAUUAAAUUAAAACAGUAAUUGAUUUCUUGAAUGAAUUGUCGUGUAAUUGAUUUAUGGGGGAUGACACAUCAACAUACUUGAAAAUACACUAAUCUCAGCAUCAUCCGUUAAUAACUUUUAGAUUUAUGGGCAAUCAAUAGUUAAAUUAGUUGUCAUUAAUACUAAAUAAUUUUUACUUUUUUUGUCUCUUCUAGAGGAUCUUCUAGAAAAAUGCAUCCACAAUUAAAUUUAAUACUUUACAUAAUAAAGAAAGCAUAAAUGUUAAAUUUAAGAAACUGCAUUGUAUUUCAGCUGAAGUUGACUUUAAUAUUUAGGGUAGAAAAAAAUUAAAUCCUUAAUGUGUUUAAUUUAUAUCACUUGUGUCAUUAAAAUUUUCUAGUCACCCUAACCAAUUACAUCUCAACCCACUUUUUUUUGGAUGAUUUUAUUUUUAUACUAUUAUUUUCAACAUUUUUUUUUCCUUUUAACACCAACAUUAGUGUAUGUUACGUAACAUAAUCCAUAUUUGGAUAAUUUGAAAUUUGUUUGUGUUUUAUCUCAAAAUAGAGCUUCAAUCAAUUUGUACCUCAUAAAUUCACAAUAUCUGGCAGGGCUAAUAAGACCAAACUCUGGCAUAUUAUCAAAUGUGCUUAUCCUUUUGCUUGACAUGUCAUUUUAAAAUUGUCAUUCAAUGCCAAAAAAAUCACAUCAACUGAUGGCCGACUACUUUAAUUUGAAAGCAUGCAUGCGAUCGCCACCAAUAAUUAUAACUUAAUUGUUAUAUUGAAAUUUUUUUCUUUAUAAUUUUUAAGUUUAAUACUGCUACAUGUGCGGCACAUAAGUUGGAAAAUAUAACAUAAAAUUUGAAAAAUGUGUAGUUUUCGUUCCUUUUUUUUCUUAAAAAUGGGGAAAAAGAAUGUAAUUUUGUUUAAAUUACUGUUGUGAUAACAAUUAUUAUUUUAUUGAUUAAUUGGCAGAGAAUCGUUAUGGUUUCGCAUGGUUGUUAAAACAUUGGAAAAUCCACUACAUCAUCCGAUAAUAACUUUCAGAUUUAUGGUUAAUCAAUAGUUGAGAUUUGUUAUCAUUAAUGUUAAAUAUUUUUUUAAUAUUUUUUCUCUCUCCUAGAGGAUCAUCCACAGUUAAAAUUUAAUAUUAUAAAUAGUAAACAAAGUAUAAACGUUAAAUCGAAGAAACUGCAUUGCAUUUCAGCUGAAGCUAACUUUAAUAUUUAACAGAGAAAAGUAAUUAAGUCCUUAAUGUGCUUUAUUUACCCAUAUAUAUGGCUAAUUUUUUAAGAUAAAGGGGAAGGAUGAUGCUCAAAAAUAUAAAUUAUAGAAUUAAUUGAGCUCUCAAGUAAGUUUAAAGUUCAUUAUUUUUAAUUACAUGUUUAUAAUUUAUUUUUAUUUCGUAUUAAUCUAUAGAUCUAAAUCCACUUUGGAUUCAUAUACAUAUAUAGACAUAAUGUGUAUGUUAAUCUAUAGGUCUAAAUUCACUUUAGGUCUAUAUAGGUAUUUUGACAAAUGUACUCCAAUCAUAUUGGCAAGUUCUAACUACUAUAUUGGUAUGUCAAUAUUAUCUCUAAUUGCCCUAUACAUUCAGAAAUAAUCUAGAUAUACAAAUUAACAUAAAAUAAAAAUAAUUGGUAGAAAAUAUAAAUUAUAAACAUGUAAUUGAAAACGAUAAACUUUAAAUUUACUUAAGAGAGUAAUUAAUUUCAUAGUUAAAAUCUUUAAAUUUUACCCCUCAUCUUAACUUAAGAAAAUUAAUCACUUAUUUUAUUUAACAAAGAAGAGAUUUUUUUCCCCUAUAUUUCCCAAUUAUUUCUCUCCCUCUCGCUCCCGUAAGUUAUACAACUUGAAGUGAAAUAUGAGUGGUCUGAUUCUAGCUUAAAUAAUUUAUUGUGACAUGCUAUCUAAGGACAAUACAUUACCUAGCUCUACAUAUUUUAUUUAACCUCCGGCUCACCCUGUGCAAACUUGCCUUCCCCUACAAGACAAGAUUAAUCAAUCUAUCAAGUCUCAAAUUCAAUUUGGAAUAUGACCAUCGUACGUUCUUGUUCUUCCCUCUUUACGAGUGCAUUCCCCCCAACCUCAAGCUCCCUCUCUCGUCUUCAAUGUCACUGCCUAUAUCCUUGUGUUGUUCUAGUUUGAAAUAGUGGCUUCCACAAUUUCAGGGCCCCCAAAAAUCCAGAAACAUAGUAUUCAUCACGAUGACAAAUUUUUUGGCAGGCAGGUGCUUCCUGACUUUCACACGGUAAUUCUCAAAUUCUGAUUUCACCAUAUUUUAAUUACUGAUUAGCAUAUAUUCAAGUGCUCUCCAUUAUAAUAGAAGCCGCCGCCUCACUCGUGAUUCCAAACUUUAUCUUUUUUCCUUUUUUAAAUUAAUGCAAGUAGCCGCUGUCCUUUUUAUUAAUUAAUUAAUUAAUUCGGCCGCCCACAUUUCUUUUCCUAAUGUCUUCUACUGUCGAUUUUCUUUUAUUUUCUUUUUAUUCUUAAAAUAUGCUUAUAAUAAUAAAAUAUAAAAAUUAAAAUUAACAUAUCAAAAUAUAAUUUAACAGAAAAUUAAGAUAAAAAUAAAAAAAAUAAAUUAUGAGCAUAUCAAUCAAUAAAUGAAAAAUAAUAAUUUUUAUUUUUAUUAAAUAUAUAUUUUUCAGUAUUAAUCAAUUAUUUGAAUAAAUAAAAUCAUUUAAAAAUAAAUAAAUAAAUUAUUCUUAAAAAAAAAGAAACUUUUUAUAACACUCACUAUGCUGGUUGUAGGGUAGACGCUUUGGGAACUGAAGCCGGUAACUUCUACAAGUAGUCUGAAGUUGACUGGCAACAACUAUAUUGACAUUUAGACAUAAUGUACUCCAACCGUAUUGGUAUGUUUAAAUGUUCUUACUAUUGUAUUGGUGUGUCAAUAUUAUCUCUAACUGCCCUAUAGAUAAAAAAAUAAUCUAAAUUUAUAAUUUAACAUAAAAUAAAAUAAUUGGUAGAAAAAUAAUUAUGGUUCAUUUACUUAUCAGUAAUCAGAAUAGACUAAAAUCGAAAUGAGUUGUAUUACCGUUGAUGUGUUUAUGUUGUCCUGGAAUCGGAAUGAAUUAUUUUAAGUUACUAAAAUAUCCUUGGUUUGUUAUUCUAAUUAUUAUUUAAUAUUUAUUAUAAUAUUUGUCAUAUCAUUAAAAAGAAAUAAUAAUGAUGAUAAUAUUAUCAUUAUUGUUUGUUACAUUAUUAUUAUUCAAAAAAAUUAUUGUUAAUAAUAAUAAUUUUUUUAUUUCAAUAAUAAUAAUGAUAAAAUUAAUAAUAAAAAACAUGACAACAACAAUAAUUAUUUAUUAUGCCAAAAAAUAACAAUAAUAAUAAGAAUAAUAAUCAUCAUCAUUUUUUUGCCAAAGAAAUCAUCAAACCAGACAAGAAAUCAUCAAAAAUUGCUAUUUCAAUUUAGGAAGAAGUUCUUUCGGUGUGCUAGCGAUGGGAGAUGUUGUGGCUGCGAUUCGGGGAGCUAAUAGUUUAUUGCACUAAUAACGGCAGGUGCUGCUGCUUGAUGCGAGGUCCAUGGCCAGUUGUCAGCAGUUCGACUUUGGCAUGGGCGCUGCUGGUUCGAUUUUAGGUGUUGUCUAAUUUCAUUUUCAGGAUUUUAAUUUUAUUUUUUUCUUUUAUAUUUUCAUUAAUUAAUCAGGGCAAAGUUUGAUUUUAGAAUUUGGAAUGAAGGUAAUUUUGUUAAUCAUGGAAAUGAGAUUUUGAUUGUCGAGAAUGAACUUACACAAGCAACUGCAAAUUAAGUGAAAACAAAACGCUUUUUCUCUUUGUGUGAUUAAAACAUGAAAUAUACCAUAAAUAAAUAGGUAAAAAUUAAAUCAACACAAUCCAAAACAGUAAACCAAUUAUAAGAGGCACAAAUUUUUAUGUGAAAUACCGAAAACGGAAAAAACCACAACAUGUUAGUAUGAUAUAAUCUUCUACUAUAUUAAUGGGAUUAUAACACAAAUUCUUCCCUAUAUUACACUAGAGAUUAACAACAUCAAGAAUCUCAAUAAUCUUAACUUACAAUACAACCUAAUAUAUGUCUCUCUAAUAAAUAGAUAUCUAAAAUAACAAUCUCUAAUAAGUAAGUAUCUCAAAUAACAGUCUCUAAUAAGUAGGUAUCUCAAAUAAUAGUUAAUAAGAGGAUAAAACAAAAAUUAAGAUUAGUAGGAUGUGUAUAAGGCGAUGCUAUCAACUUAUCUUCUAAAUUUGAGAAAAAUAGUUAAAUUCACUUUUUUGAUUGUCCGACCAAAGAUGGAAACCUUGCCCCAAAACCAAAGGAGUCACCAUUGUGUUUCUCUCUCUCUCUCUCUCUCUCGUUCUUUUCUUCUACUUUUCUUAAUGUUAGCCGCCACUUGCUUUUAUUCUUUAUAGCAUUUAAAAAGUUACUUUUAAUGGUAAAUUUCAUCUAAGUCCAAAACUUAGUGAUAAUUGCACACUAAACAAUCCUUUUUGGACUAUAGACUUUUGGACCUCCAAAUGAGACGAAUACAACAAAUCUCCCCUUUUAGAUCAUGUAGGAGGCACCACAAGCCCACUCUCUGCAUAUAGCUUUUUAACUUCUCCUUGAAUAAUGACUUUGUCAUCAUACAUAACUCAUUCUCCGUUGUGUAAAUCUUCUCAAGCUAUAACCGUUCUUUCUCAAACACGUCUCGUAUCUAAUAAUACUUCACAUCAAUUUGCUUAGAUUUCGAAUGAUAUAUCAAAUUCUUUGAACGACACUCUGAUUUUCGCAGUACAUAAUAUAGUUGUCUCAUUUUAUACCUAGCUCUUGUAGGAAAUUCUUCGUCCACAGUAUUUUUUUGCAACCUUCAAUAAUUGUAAUAUCAUUUGCUUUAGUAGUAGAAAAGACAACUUAUUACUAAAGUUUAGAUUACGAUGAGACUGCUCCUCCUGCAAAAGUGAGCAAACAUUCUAGUAGGAAUUUUUCGGAAUCAACAUCUCCUACCAUAUCUAUACACUUGUAACACAGGUUUGUCACCACCAAAAUAUAAACAUGCUCUGGAAAUGCCUCUAAGAUAUCUGAGAAUUUUUCACUAUUGUCCAGUGCUCUUUACCGGGAUUGAAGAGAAACCACUAACUACACUAGUUGUAUAAGUAAUAUCUGGUCUUGUACAAAUUAUGGCGCACACCAAACUGCCAACUGCUGAAGCAUAAGGAACUCCUCUCAUGGAGAAAUGGGUUUUGCUCUUGAGAUUUUUGGGAACAUGAAGAAUAAAUAUGUAAUUUCUUGGACUGCCAUUGUUUCGAGGUAUAUAAACAGAGGACAAGUCUAUAUAGGUCGACAGUGGUUUGCUCAGAUGCCAGAACGAGAUUAUGUCUUAUGGACUGCCAUGAUUGAUGGGUACCUUCGAGUGAAUAGGUUCAAAGAGGCUUUGACGCUUUUUCAGGAGAUGCAAACUUCAAAUAUAAUGGGAGACGAGUUUACCAUUGUUAGCAUUCUUACAGCUCGUGCGAAUCUGGAAGCACUAGAUCUGGGAGAAUGGAUAAAGACUUAUGUUGAGUGUUAGAAAAUGCAUAUUUAUAAAGGAGAAAACCAUCAUUUUACAUUUCAAGUCUUACUAACAACCCUUACUUUUAUGUAUUUAACCUUCUUGUGAUUUAAUUACAUGUGUUUUAUUUUAAUUAAGUAUUUUAUGUAUUUUAGGGACAUUAUAGUCAUUUCACAAUAAAGGAGAGAUCAGACGGCAAAACAGACAUCACUUUUGAACUCAGGACGGUCAAAAACCUUAGGAGGAGCAUAAAAGGAAAAAUGGCACUAUUCACAUGUACGGUACUAUUCACGUGUACGGUACUGUCCACGUUACUGUUCACGAUACUGUUCACAUAGACAGAUCGAUGACGUGGCAUUGACUGAUGAGGUGUCACGAUCCUGUUGGGCUAAAAUUCUUAUGUACUGUUGAUGGUGACGUGGCAGCAUAUCAAUGGACGAAAAAUCUCGCAUACAGUACAUGCAUCACACAGGAUUAUUGUCAACCAAAUCGCGUUACUGUUCAUCCGGGUCAAACCGUGUUACUGUUCAUCCACGUAGUCAAACCGCGUACUGUUGACUGAUGACGUGGCGCAAUCCUGAGCGUCCAAACUGUUUUUAAUCCGAUGGCCAUGAUUUACUCCAUGUAUCUAUAAAAAGGGGGCCUCCCCCCCUAAUUUGACAACUCUGAAUCUAUUUUGGGAUCCAUUUUCUAUAAUUCCCUCUCCAUCUUGUAUUUUCUACGUAUUUUAAUAAAUUUCCAUUUUACCCUUAGUUCAAUUAUGAGUGGCUAAUUUCCUUUCAAGCUUGGGUUGAAGGUGAAGUCUCAACAUGUGUCAUGGGCUUUAUUUGGUAAAUUUAUUUUCUUUUCCCCUCUAGUUUUUGUGGAUGAUUUGACUUUUCGUCGACAAAUAAUAUUGAUCUUGUCUAGAUACCACCUUGGUUACACCGGCUCUCUAGUACAAGGUUAUUAUUAUUUGGCACGAUAAGCCCUUAGCACCAUAUUGAUUAGAGCGUGGUUCAUGAGGUGUGGAUUCCCCCCUCAUGAUUUAAUUGGCAUUAAUAAGGAUUAUAUAGCCCAUGAUGCAUGUUGAUACGGAUCUGGAUACCCAAGUGCUUCAUUUCAAUAGAUCUAUCUUCAAUUUCUUCUCGCCAUUUUAAUUUAAGUUUUAGAAUAUUCCAAAUCAUUUCCACCACAAAUCCAAUCCCCGAUUCACAAAAUUAAUUCUAUACACAAUUAAAAUCCACAUCCUCGUGGGAUCGACACUCGUCACCAUUAGUCUAUACUACAAUAGAUUCGUGCGCUUGCGAGUACAUUAAAAUUUACACAACAACUUAUAUUGACAAAAACAAAGUCAAGAAUGAUGUAUUUGCGGGGAAUGCUUUGAUAGACAUGUACUGUAAAUGCCGAGAUGUUGAGAAAGCUCAAAAGGUAUUCAGGAAGAUGCUUUGAAAGGACAAAUUCUCAUGGACGACCAUGAUUGUUGGCCUUGCCAUCAGUGGCAAUGGUGAUAAAGCUCUUGAUAUGUUUUCCCAAAUGCUUAGGGCUUCGAUCAAACCGGAUGAGGUAGCUUAUGUUGGUGUUCUGUCUGCCUGUACUAACAAUGGUAACGAAACUUUUGUGAUAAAUAGUUGCAACUUAAGGUGAGAAUUGGAGGAAAGGAAAUAGACUGAAGUUGUUCAAUCAUCGGUCGUCUCUAUUUGGUUUUCUCCGAUAUCUCAUCUUCAGUUUUGACUCAGAUUCUAUCUUACCACUUAGGGGUGGGCAAAAUCGGGUUCGGGUCAACCCGAUCGGGUUUCGGGUUGUUCGGGUUAGACAAGGAACAAUCCGAACAUAACCCGAAUUAAUGACCCGACCCGAACUUAGUUCGGGUCGGGUCAUUAAUUCGGGUUAUGUUCGGGUUGGAUUUAAAAUGGGUAGGAUUGAGUUCGGGUCAAUUUGGGUUAGUUCGGGUCAAUUCGGGUCAGUUCGGGUCAAUUCGGGUCAAUUCGGGUCGGUUGAAAUCGGGUCAGUUCGGGUCAAUUCAGGUCAGUUCGGGUCGGUUGAAAUCAGGUCAAUUCAAGUCAGUACGUUUUUUUUUUUUAAGAACCCGAUCGGGUAUUCGGGUCGGGUCGGGUUUGACCCGAACCGAUCACAACCCGAUCGGGUUUGUAAAUUUCAAACCGAUCGGGUUUCGAUCCCGACCCGAUCCGACCCGAACCCGAAAUUUAUCGGGUCGGGUCGGGUCGGGUAAAAUGCCCACCCCUAUUAAUACCACUAGUAAUUACAUAGACUUGCUGCCAAAGGUAAGAAUGAGAAUAAAUUAAAUAGAUUAUGUCGAAAACGAAAUAAAUUUACCAUUGUUCUGUUCAUUCUAUUUGUUUCCUACAGAAUAUUUCUCCAGCCUAAAAUUUUUUGAAUUAGUAAGUUUUUAUCUUAUGCAAGAAUUGUGCUGAGAGUAAUUCCAUUUCUCAGUCUCUUUAUGUUUCAAUGAAGACGUAAAACUUGUGUUCUAGUGCACCAAUGUUUAUGCUUCUUACAAUUUGACUUUAAUUUAGUUUGUAAAACUUUUGUCAAAAAGUACUAAAAAGUAGUGCACCAAACACAAACUUUAUUACAGAGAGGACUUCAGUUAAAUUUUAAGAAAACACUCAAAAGAACGAGUUAUAAAUUAUUAUCGAAAUAUUUCACAUAAAUAAAAGCCAUCCCAUGCUGCAAAGAUCUUGCUAUAAUCACCAAAAACUAUCGGGAGCUUUUAGGGUUUCCAUAAAAAUGUCAUUUCGUUCCAAAAGUCAAUGGUGGGUAGAAAGUGGUGCAAAUGAGACUCAUUGUUAAUGGUAUAAGUUUUUGCUUAAUUAUGUCUUCCCCAAAAUGAUGAUUUAAUUUCCAUUCUCAAUUAAUUUUCAAGUUUCAACACUUUUCUAUGUAGCAUGACAUUGGAAAGAUCUUGUACAGUUGUACUACUAAAAGCUAGCACCACACGUUAGUUAUUGUUAAGUUCUUUUUCAACGUGAAAUAAAGGAAGUAGUCCUUCGUUAAAACCAUUAUAGCCAAAUUUCACGUAAUUGGACAUUUACAGACUUUUAUUUCAAGUUGGAUUUUGGUCCAACAUUUCAAAGUUGGCCCAAUUAUUUUUGUCUGGUCAAGUCCUUCGCAGCUAAGCCCCUCAAUGAAUGAGGGUGAGAUUGCUAAAAAUUACGACAGGUGAUAUUUUAUUAUUAUUAUUUGUUUGAGGGAAAAAAUAGGAAAAGCAAUAGAGCGCCACGUGUCAACCAAUGGAAUGAUUCCUGCACAAUCUAAGGUACCCCACACAAUCCGAGGUACCCCAUAUAAUAUGAGGUACCCCACACAAAUAGGGGUACCCCGCGUAAUAGGAGGUACCCCAUGUAACUCGAGGUACUCGGCAAAGCGGAUGCAAGAGAAUCCUCCGAAAAUAUCCGCCAUGAGAAACGUCUCCGCCUCCUAAAAGAUAUUAUUCAAUUUUGUCAGAAUUAUGAAUAAAAAACGACGCCCUAAAAGGAGGGACAGUCGCCUGCGACCUCUGCCAAAAGUGAAGGACACUGUCCCAAGGACAGUGGUCCCCAACGCCUACCCGACAGCUACUGCAAAGGUACCCUGGACCACUCUCCAGCGCGCGCCACGUUUCCAAAAGAUGAGAUACGCCGCGAACGUGCAGAUAACUGCCCAAAAAUUAUAAAGAGGUAAAAGGACGUUAGUAAAAAAGGGUAUGCCAUGUGGCAGCUGAGGUACUCCAUAUAUAAAGGCGCCUAGGUUUCAUUCUCCAUCAUGUUCUCACUCACCAUUAACACUCGCACUCCAAAAAAUAGGUUUUCUUCAACCUUAAACCCUAAUUUACAGAGGGUUAGUCAGCUCUCUUUACCAUAAAAGCUUGAGUUUGCUAACUUGAGCGUCGAAGUGUGAACGCCGGGGUACCCCGGCUUCACCUCUAACCUCUAUUUCACUGUUUUGCAGGCGUGAAGCUCAUUUGGAAGGACACAUCUCUUAGUUCUAAACCUUUCACCAUUGUUACCACUCUCUCUCCCUUUCUCACCUCCCCUGGAUUUCAGAUACACCACACCGCACACAAUAAACUAGUGAGGUACCCCGUCUCCCAUAAAAAUACAAAUUCAUUGUUCUAGAUAGAUUUGGCUUUUUUUACCCCAAAAUCUGUUGAAAACACUAUUUUUAAUUUUGGGGGAUAAAUCCUCACCAAAGUGAGGAGAUUUUAUCAAAAUCAAAAUAAAAAUAUAACAAGAACUGAAAGUCGGGCAGCCUAAAAGCUAGAUGAACUAAAAGUCAGGCGCCUAAAAACAACCUUAUGCAAAAGAGAAGCAACAUGAGACCGAUCAAGUAAAAGAAUCCACCGCAACACCUAAAUUGGCCAAAUUAUCUGUUGGUAUUACAAGUUUCUUGUUAUAAAAGUGUAGAAUGAAGUAGGUGACAGUAGUUUUAAGUUACAGCUGCAUGCCUAAUCGCAAUAUCAAAUAAUGAUUAAAUAUCAAAUAAUGCUUAAAGUAGUUGCCUAGGCCCGCCACAAUUUAUAUUAACUCUUAAAUUUAUAAAUAAUUAAAUUUUUAAAAGUUUGGAUUUAUAUUAAAAAAUCUUCAUAUAAAUAAAUAAUAUAUGCACUUUUACAACACAGUCUUUAAAUUUAAAUUUUUCUAGAAAAAUCUUCUGUAUAUCUUUUCUAUUAAAAAAUUUCCAUAUAAAUAAAUAAUAUACCUAAUUUAAUUGGACCCAGCACAUCGCAUAUGCAUAGAACACAUUCCACAAAGCCAUGCUAUUCGGAAAUUGACGAAUGAAAAGUGAGGAGGCAGCAGUCAAUGCUAUUUGGGCUUGGCCCAAAAUUGAUUUAUCAGGUUGACGUUUGCCAGGAAUGAAGAACUGGAAUAUCACCGUCAAGCAAGCAACCUGUGGAGCAAUACCAUAGAAUGCACAAUCCAGCUUUGCAAGGUGACACUGGAGGCUUUUUGAAAAGUGCUUCACGCUCACUUGCACAGAUUGAGCAUCCCCUCUGGAUAUUGCCCUCUCUGAUCGAGUCUGAGCACUCAAAUUUCGGUCCUCAGAUGGAGCUACAGCUUUCUCUCCAAUAACCAACAAUUUUCUAAACUCAGCACCUAGUGUGAUCAGAGUUGUUGAUAUUUGUAAAUGGAGAUCCCUGUAUUUGCAAAUGGAGACAUUUACCAAAUCACCAACAUGCUUCAUCCAGUCUACGAAAUUCUGCAGCUGAUUCAAAUCCGGAACCUGAACCAGAGUCGGAGGUAAAUCUUGAGCCAUGUCUAAAGCAGUCUGAAGUUCAAGUACUUGAGCCCUUGACAAAGGUUUUGAAAUUGGAACAUCUUGGAUUACUGCAGACUUGUACCCCUUGGUUUCAAAGGUAAGGAAAGGCAUUGCUUGAGUACAAUUUGGAGGCAGCUUCUUCACCAAUUUUAUUUGGAGGCAAUUGGCAGCGGAUCCAGCUGCACCAAUUUCAGAGCAAAUACUGACACUACUUCAAACAGCACGCUGAAGAAGAGAUAUGUCUAUGGCAAAGGCAAUGCAGUCCUCAAUUUGACUUGAGAUGCGGUAAUCACCAAAGAGAGUUUCCUUAUGAAACUGGGCAACACAUUGAAUCCCUUCACCACUGAGAAGGUUGGGGAGGAAGUAAGCUUUCUCUCUCGUAAGGAAGAGGUGGCAUACCUUCCCCAUUUUGUCUAGGACAGGUAGGAAUCUUUUUUCUAAGAGAUUUACUCCAUUCUCUGUGAGAAAUGCUUUGAACUUCAUCCCUCUGUCUCUAGCCUCACUUAUCAGUAAAAUAGUUGAAAGCGCUACAAGGAGAGAAAAGAAGAGUAUUAAGAUAUAUAUAGACAAGAAAAACAUUAGAUGUCGAUCUUACAAGCUAAUACUUCAAACAGUAUCCUAGAAAGCUAAAAACUGCAAAAUGGCUUGAAAUUUGAAAAGAACACAUGCUUUUCCUCCUUAACUUGAGAAAAUGUUUAAUAUAGUGCACCUUACAGAAACAUUUAAACAAUUAGAACUUUGCACAAAAACAUUCAAGAAGACUAAACAAAUCAGAUGCAGUGUAUUUCUCCAAGCACAAAUGGCAUUGCAUUUUUUCCUCAACUGUAAUAUUUAUUGAUGAAAAUCAGUACAGGUCCCUCAUUUGUUAUGGAAAGCUUUCUUGUAGUCUGACCGGUUAAUUCACGGGUCUAUAAUCAUCUUGCAAAGUUACAGGCAUUUCUUUCGAUUUAAAGUCUUUGCAUCACCACCUCAUCACACACCAAGCCAAUAUUCCGUCUACCUCUACAACAAAAAGUUUUAAGUAAACGAUCCUAAUGCAUGCAGCCAAAUAAAAUGCAGUAAGAAUAUUCAACUUAAAACUCUGAAAGCCAUCUUGGUGAAUUGCCUCCUUAGGGGAAGUUCCAUGCUUUACUAUACUUGACAGGACUGAGCAAAAGCUUACAUACAACAGAUUUUGAAAAUGAUGAUGCCAAUAGAUACUCAUACAAUCCAUUGAAACUCCUAAGGUCCAUUGUUCACAGAGGUUUACAGAGUUUUGGUCAUCAAAUAGCUCAGACCUUAAUCCCAAACAAAAAACGAGUGAAAAUUAGAUCACCAGCAGCUAAUUGUAAAUUCUAACUUAACUCUUCAUCUCCUUUGUAAACAGGAGACAAAAUGGAGACACGCAAAAUGAAUAAGGAGAACAUUUGAACUCAAAUGAAAUGAGGGCACGAAAGCAAACAAAUGGCAUGCGCAAACAAACCAAGCCUCAAUCAAAAACUAAUUAACCAUUAAAAAAAAAAAAGUGGUCAGAGAAUGAACUCCAAAUUCGGGAGUGAAGCAAGAAGCUUUCAUUAUUUCAGAAGCUCCUGUACAAAUUAAUAAGUUAUGCUCUUUGGAAACAAACCUAAAUUCCAAGAGAAAGAGAACUCAAAAAAUUUGCAAUUAUACGCAAAGGAAGUGAAGCACAGCAUUCUAUCACACGUACAAAUUGUAUAACAAGAGAUCGACACAUCGAAUCAGAAGAACUCAAUUCAAAUUUGUCUCAAAAAUCAAAAUUAGAAGAUUUCACAUUUCGAGAGGAACAAGCGACAGGUCAGAUGCAAAAUUUUCAGCCACAACAUGCCACAAUUAACAGUUUAUUUCCAUGGAUUUAGAGAGCUGACUGACCUUUUGGCUUUUGGAAUUGAGAAGAUCGCGGGCCAAAAUGGAAGAGGGAAAGCGAAAGUGCGGGUUUUAAUAGGGUAUUGGAUUAGCAAAUUUAAUUAGUUUGCGAGGGUAAAAUAGGAAAGAGAUAUCACUAUUAACUUUUUUUUUUAUAAGAAAAAAGAAUAAUAAAGAAUAUUUUAUUGUCAUUUGCAGCCUGCAAAUGACAAUAAAUCAAAUACGUCAUACAGAAGCUUAAAGCUGAAUCUAAAAAAUCUAGAGCUCUCAACUACAAAAAUUACACUUGAUGAUCCUCUACAAGAUGAAGCUUGUUCAAUAUCUUAUCCAAAGUUUAUAAAGUAACCUUGUAACGAUCUUGAGAUUGCCUGCCUUCCUCGACGACCUGCACGAUGCGUUUGUACAAAUCAUCAUACCUGUGCACCGGAUUUUUAAUAUCAACGCCACUGCAGCUGUGAUCAAGAACAUAAGAGCGUUUAACAUCUUUUCUCCAUCGAGAAAGAAUGUAGUGAGAUGGGAUCUCCUGCAUGCCACUCUGGUUUAGAACACAAAGAAUGUGUCUGGAUAAAUAUCCUCUGAAAUUGAACAACCCACAAACACAAAGCACCUCCAAGUCGGAGGCAUUGUACAAAACAUCGAAAGCCCUUGAAUCUUUCUCGUUGCUACCAACCUCAAAUUCUUCCUUCACUAUGUAUGUUAUAGGUCCAUCAGCACUGACAUGUUUUGUGCUAUAGCAAGAGUACAUAGCCUCCACCUCCGUCUGAAACUUCCUUCACAUUUCAUUUGUGUACAGUUUUGAGAGUUGAAAUUCAUAGUCACAUCUUGGUUUCUGGAUACAACUUGAAUUUCUUGAAUCCAUAUCUGCCAAGGCUUCCGGUUGAUAAUUCGCCUGCAGUGCUUGAUCAUACUUGUGUAAGAAUUCUUUCAAAGGAGUACGCUUAUCAAGAUAUCCUUCAAAGUAUGAAGUAGAAACCUCAUUCUGCAGGAAUGAAAACACUCCUGAUAAAAAUGCUUCCUUCAAAUAAACAGGAGCCCACCUUUUACGAUCUUCAUAUAAAGUUUGAAUCCAUCCGUGAUCCUUUAUUCCAUGACGUUGAAUCAUGUCUUCCCAAGCUGCUUCAAAUUCCUCAGGCCUGAGAGAGUGAUAAAUUGCUCUAUGUAAUGCACCUCUAAUAGCUUCAUAUUCAAACAAUCCUUGGAGUUUCUCUGGAAUUUUUUGCAAGAUGCAUGACAAUGAAAAGCAAUGAUAAGCUCUUGGGAAAACAUCGCCAACAGCAAUUUGCAAGAUUCUACAUUGGUCAGUGAUGAUUGUUUGUGGAGAGCGUCCUAACAUACAUGUAAGCCACACCCUAAACAACCAUGUAUAUGAUUCUAUGGUCUCCCUGGCAAGUAAACCACAACCCAACAACACUGAUUGUCCAUGAUGAUUCACCCCAAUGAAUGAAACCAGUGGUACAUCAUAUCUUUCAGUCAAGCACGUAGUAUCAAUUAAGACUACAUCACCAAAGUACCUAUAUGCAACUCUUGACCUGGUAUCAGUCCAGAACAGGUUUCUCAAGCAUCCCUUUUCAUUUAGAUCCACUACAUUAAAAAAGUUUGGAUCUGUCAACUGCAAACGACAAAAGAAACUCUGGACAGCUUGUGCAUCUCCUGGUUUAAGCUUCAAUUGAUUUGAGCUAUUAACAUUAUUUCCAAAUACUCCAUUAACAUCUACAUUACCAUUUCCCUCGGUAUCGAUGAUAAGAGUUCGAAACAGUCUAAUUUUUUGAACGUCUUCAGCACUAUCUAAUUGCAAUGUUCUUUUGGUUCCAAUACCUAUGUGCUUAUGUGACUUGUAAAACUUUCCGCUUCUUGGGCUUAACAAGUGGUUAUGCUCAAGCUCGACUUCAAUGAUUCUCCACCUUUUGGUUUCCAUCAACCUAAACUUUAUCAUUGCUGGACAGCCAGUUCUUGUUUCUGGUCUUGGGCGGUUUGCCUCGCUUUUCUUCUUGAAGCCUGCACUACUACAGCUCAGCUUUCCUCUAUACUUUUCUCUACUCUUUCGGUACCAUGUAUUGCUAACUCUAACACCAAAACCCUGUUCCUUGGCAUAGCAAUUGUAAAAGUAAUAAACAUCAUCAUACGUCUCAAACUCCAUUCCAACAGCAGGAGCCAAUGGAUUUUGGAUUAUCCCAGUUUGUCCAACAUAUUCAGUCAUUGCACAAUCUCCUACGACCUCAAAAUCAUCAGCAUCAUCAUCACCUACUGGUUCAGUAUUCAGAGAAACUUCAUCCAUCUACAAUAGAUGUUUAAUGAAGUGAACUUUAAGGAGAAAAAGCAAAAUCAGUUCAAGGAAUGAUAAUAUAACCAUACAGUUACUUUCACAAAGCUGCGUAUUUCAUCAAUACCUUAACAACAUACAACUGCCUGAGAACGUAUAGACAUGUCAUAGACGCUUGAAUUAAGUAUUGGUACAAAUUCAUGUGGGACACAAUUUCAGUCACUAAACCCAAUGCCUUUUUUUUUCACAUCAUACCAAGGAACGGAUUAAACCCAAUACCUUCUUUUACGCCAUACCAAAGAACAGAUUAAAUCAUCAAUGAAAAAUUAAUCACAUAAUAAUUUAACUAGACAAAUAAAGAGCUCGAAACAGCACAAAACUUGAAUAUGAUUAUGAUAAUUGUUGAGUCAUUGUAUCUACAGCUUUCCUUCAACAAGAAGAUUAUGAACAUAAACUACACACAAAAAAUUUAUUUUAAACUGACAUAAAUUUAUUCAGUUACAUUGAAACCCAAAAAAGGAAGCAGGAGCUGGAGAAAAACAACAGCAGAGAAACUUAUUUCCAGAAGGUUUACGAAAUAAGGAAUUUAUUAAGACACAAAAUUUGAGGUCAACAAUAAGAAUUUGGUUCUCAUUCUCUUUUUCUUCAUUUUUCACUUAUUGAUGGAGUUACCAUACAAUCCUAAAUGAUAAAACCCCAUCUCCAUCUUUUUGAAAUAGAGUUAAAGCAAAGCUUUUUAAGAUGUUUUUCCCUAAAAGACUCAAUAGUACAAUGUUUUUCAAUAUUAAAUACACAACUCAAUCUUCCCCUAAUUUACUCUAAUAAUCUCUUAACUAAGGAAGAUUAAGCUCCACUUGUAAGCUAAAACAAGUUUCUUAAAUCAAGCCCCAAUGCUCUAUGCUAUUCAACAAGGCCUCAUAAAUGAUAAAACUACCUCUACAAAGAUACCCAUUUUAAUUUCGCAAACUAAAAUCGAACUCCUGAAACGUAACGAGCAUUAAAACAAACAAGUCCGAACAAGAACUGAAAAAUGAUACGUAAACCCGUUUCGACAAACAGUUUCCAAUCAAUGAGCAAAAAAGUUAAUGGAAAACAUGAAAUUCAAACGAAACAUACCUUAGGUUGAUAAAUUAGUAGCGCAAAAGAAAUUUUAGCGAGAUAUGGGAUCAGGGAUUUUGCCACGGUGAUGUUAAUUGCGACAUUCGGGUGACUCAGCAGCCUUCGAGGCUGAAACUUUGAUUGACCAAAAGCUUCCCGUUCGUUGAUUCUCUAAUUGCAGAAACGAAACUGGCAGUGUACAGAAGACGUACGCUGAUUUGAUAAUUCUGUGAAAAUCAUUGUUUUUUUUCAGAUUUUUAAUGUGUUCGAUAAAAUAUCAAAAUCUCAAAAACUUUUGUCUUUCAUUUUGGGGGGGAAAAACCCAUUGAGAUCCUUAUGUUUUUUCUUAUAUAAUCUGGCUUAAUAAUUUGCAAAGUCUAUUACUUAGCACCCAUGCAUGCUGCGUUCCAAUUUACAAAAUUGUACGUGAGUGCAUCCAGCUAAAAUUUGUAAAAAGAAAAUAGCAAUAACAUGUUAAAAAUGUGAUUAUUAUGAAGAAAUUUUAAUUUAGUUAAAUAGGUGACGAUGGAUAGGUAUAAAAUCUGAGAUCUUUUAUAAGGUUAAUAAAUAUGUUGAGUUUGGAUUAGUUCAAUUUUGAAAUAAUAAUAUUCAAAAUAUCUCUUAAAUCAUUAUAAACCUCAAAUCUAUUUUAAUUUUAUUUAAAAGAUAAAAGAAAAAUAGGUUAUGUUGGUGAUUUUUUAUUAUCUUUUUAAUAAAAAUGAAAUAAAUUGAUGUUUAUAAUUAUUUAAAGUAUUUUAAAGACUGCCAUUUUAUGAGAGAAAAAUAUUUCACUUUUUUUUAGUGUGAAAGGCCGAAAAAGGACAAAGCAAGUUUCCCUAGUUUUUAUUUAUUUGAAAUUGGUCAUCUCAUAUACUUCACCCUUCAACACUAUAAUUUUUUUGGUUAUAAUUUUAUUAUUUUUUCUCUUUUACACAUGCAUGUGAAUUACUUUUCUUUAAGCUCCUGAAUAUUUAAGAUAAAUCAUGGAAGAGAUGAGAGUAUAACAAGAUGACCAAAAUAUGUAACAAAAAAAUUUUAUAAGUGAAAAAUAUGUUAGAGACUUACAGUGGAAGUAAAACUCUGAGGUGAUGUUUGAUUUGAAGAAAAUGGAGGAAAUGAAAAGACUGGAAUGUAGAGGAAAAGAGAGAAAAGGAGAGGAGAGGAGAGUGAAAUUUUUUUCUAAUGUUUGGUUUGUCACAUAAUUAUACAAAGAAAGGAAAUCUCUAAUUUUUUAUUUAGACAAUUUUAACCUUAAUAAGUAUUAAGUUUUCAAUAUUUAUCAUGUGUAUAAUUAAAAAAAAAAGAAGUAAAUGGUAGAAAGCGGUUUCUGAUUCCGGCCACAUCGCCCGCAAUGGAAGGUACUUAUCAGAACAUCAAGAGCCAGCCAUCAUUCCCUAGCCAUCACUGCUGUCGGAACACUGCCGGAAAGCUGCCGAUUGAACCGCGAAAAGUCGUGGAAAUCGCUGCCUCAAAUCGGUGAGUUUCGCCCUUUUCUGGUCACGCCGUCGCCAUGGCUUUGUCCAUCAAGCCUGCCACUUCCAUUUUCAACCAUCCAUAGCCACUAUUAAUUGCCAAAUCACCGCCGAUCAGCGGGAUCUGUGGAAGUUAAAAAGUUUCUAAAUUUUUUUAACUGGAUUUGAACAACAUACGACCAUUUUUUUAUCUCGAUAACGACGUAGUAAUGUUGAUCGUUGGUCGGCAAGUCGUAUGGUAGUGGCAGUGAGUAACACGCGCCAAUCACAUCGGCGGCGGCGGCGGCACUAUCCGGCGACUGUUAAAAUAAUAUUUUAUAUUUUCAGAUUAAAUAAAUUUAUUUUAUUAAAAUUUUUAAAUCAUUAUUUAAAUUUAAUUAAUUUAAAAUUAUCUAUAAUGUUGAAUUGAUAAAAUAAAUUUAUAAAUAAUAAUUAUGUGAUUACAUUAAAUAAGUUAAAAAGUUGAAGGGUUAGUUUUGGAAGAUUUAGUUUCCAACACAAAGGGAAUUUGAAUUCUUCACUUCUUAGUGUGGAAUUCAAAUUCUAUAUUGUAAUAGAUAUUAAAUUUCAAUAAAAAUUAAAUUCUUAUAAGUUAUGUCAAACCAAACAACGAAAAUAAAAAAGAAAUUUAAAUUAUUUUUCUUUCCUCCACCCUCUCCUUCCAACUAAAUACAUCCUGAAAAUAGAGAUAUUGAUUAAUUUAGAAGAGAUUCAAGCAAAAAAUAUUCCAAAAAAAAAAGCAAUAUGUCCCUUUGGAGGGCAAACUUGUCAGUUUCAAAAAAGUACAUGCUUUGUAUUGAUAGUUGUAGGAUAUUUGUUUUGUCACUAUGUAUUAGUUGGAGAAGUCCAGCCUUGUGGAGAAUGUUAUGAAAGAGCAAAGGAUAUUCCUGAUAGCUGAUAGAGCUCUAUCUGAUUAUGUAUCCAGUGAAUGGAUGUGUUGUUGGAAGAUAUCUGAGUGCAUUAGUUCAUAUGUGUCUGUCAAUGUGCUUUUAAUGAUUUUUCCACCUGUUUGUUGUAAAAGAUUAUUGUAAAUUGAAAUGAACUUGAUGUUUUAAUAUUUUCUUCCGUAAAUUGAAAUGAACUUGAAUUAAAUCUCGUUGAAUUUAAUAUUAUCUCCUUAGUGGAAUUUCACCUAGUAUGUAUUCAGUUGUGUUGUCUAUAAUUUUGCAUUCGAGUAAGUUUCACCUAAAACAUUAGCAUGAGUAGUGGCCCUUGAACCUUUGGUCAAAAUUAUUGUUAUUAUUUCUGACUAGAUGUAAAUUUUGUAUUAAAUCUCGUUAACACAAUUCUUAAUUAAAAGUAUAGGUUAGUGUUGGUGCAAGAUUUGCCACACCAAAUUCUGCCUAGCUGUCAAAAGUGCAAAAUAAAUGAAGAGAAAGCACAAAUACACGACUUGAAUAAGGAUACAACGAAACUUAAAUUCAAGAGAAAAUGAUAGCUAUAUCCCAAGAUUUGAAAAAGUAGUCAUGUAGGUUUUUAAGAUUUCAAUAAGCGACUGAGAUUCAAAUAAUAUCCUUUAAUUCUAUUAAUAAAAAACAAAGACUCAAAUAUUUUAUGAUAAAUAAAAAUAUAAUAUUAAAAUAUAUGUGAUAAUAUACACAUUUUAAAUACUUUCAAUCCAAAAAAAUAGUUAUGUUUUACAAUCUAUUAGACAUAUUUUAUUAAAUUAAUAUAAAUUUUCUAUAAAAUAAGAAUAUAAUAUUAAAACAAAUUCACAGAAAUUUAAAGAAUUUUGAAUGUAAAAUAAUUUUAAUAUAUUAAUACGUGAGUUUUUUUAUUAAUAUAAAAAUUAUUUAACUUUAAGAUUUUUUAAAAUCUUUACAAUAAGUAUAACUAUAUUAUUUACAUUUAAAAAUAUUUAAAUAUUAUUAACCUACAAUUAUAUUUGCAUUUGUUAGAAAUUUUUAAAGUCAAAUAUUUUGCACUUCUAUAUUAUUAGAAUUAUUGCACACAAAGAAAGAAACAUAUACGUUUAGAAAUUGUUUUCUUUUAAAAUAGAGAUGAUGAUUAGUAUAAGGAUCAAAAAAAGGAUAAAGAAUAUUAAUGAUUAACGAAAACUCUAUACAAAUUGAUUUUAGUAGGAAAAGAGUGAGAUGAAUGAUUUCUUUUACAGUUAGAAAAAUAGAUGAUGAUUAUUAUAACGAAGAAGAAAAGAUAAAGAAUAUUAAUUAUUAAUGGAAUCUCUAUGCAAAUUGAUUUCAGUAGGAAAAAAAAUGAGUUAAAUGAUUUAGAGUGCGUUUGGAAUUGAGAUUGGACAGCCAUAGAUUUUAAGUUACAACACUGAAGUGUUUGGUAAAUACUAGCUGCUGCAGAUUGAAAGUUAUGUUGAUAUGAUUUUUCACAUGUAUCAUAGAAAAUAUAUUACAUCUUUAAUAAUUUUUUUAAAAUUUGUAUUUGCUAUAUAUUGUUUUUUUUAUAUAGUUAUAACUUUUUUUUUUUCCACAGCAGCUGUAGCUUAAAAGCUACAGCACCUCAAUCUCAAACAAGUCCUUAGACAUUCAUAGUGUGUUUAUUUUUUGGAUUGGUGAAUCAAAAUUAUUGACAACGCUAACUUCAUCUUCACCGUUCGCAAUCCAACAGCAGCAAUUGUCGCCAAUAAUGAUAUCGCCGAUGAUGAUGACAAUAAUAAUAAUAAUAAUAAUAAUAAUAAUAAUAAUAAUAAUAAUAAUAAUUAUUAUUAUUAUUAUUAAUAAUUAAUAUAUUAAUAUAUUAAUGUUAAUAUUAUUAUUAUUAAGAUUAACAAUAAUUAUUAGUAAUACAAUUUUUUGAAUAAAAAUAAUCACAAUAAUUAAAAUACAAAUUAACAAUUAUGACAAUAGUUAAUUAAUGUCUUUUUAGUAAUUUGUAAUAAUCUAACUCAUUUUAAUUCUGAUUAUUACAGUUUAAGUAAAUAAAUUAUUAUGAUUCCUAUUCUCCUUUUCUAUUUUAACUCACUUCGAUUCCAGUCUAUUCUGAUUUUUGUUUAAUAAACGCACCAUUAGUGCUAAAGUAAUAUUUCAUACAUAGAAAAGUAAAAACUACACCUAAGGUUAAGGGAAAGGACUUCAAAACUCUCUUUUGAUCAUAAUACAUUUUGUACUAAUUAACUUAAAGAUUUUGAAUCUAAUAUUUUAUAAUAAAUAAAAAUAUAUUCCUAAAAUAAAUAUAAUAUCAAUAUUUAAAAUAUGUUUUAAUAUUUUACACAUUUUAUUAUAUUAAAGUAGAUUUUAUAAUAAAUACAAACGUCCUAUUAAAAUGAAUAUAUAAAAAAUUUAGAAAAUUUAGAAUAUUAUAUAAAAUAAUUUUAAUAUAAUGCGUGAGAUAUAUUUUAUUAAUUUAAAAUGUUAUUUUACCUAAAAAAUAUGAUAAAUUAAUAAUUACAUAUUUGAAGUUAUUUCAAAUAUUAAAAAAAUUUAAUAUUAUUAGUCUUUUAGAUAGAUUAAAUUAUUUUUUUUAUAAGAGAUAGAUUAAAUUAUUUUAAAAUGCCUUAAUUAUUUUUACUUUUAACGUUACCGGCCUUUCUUUUAUUUUAUUGCAAAUUAAUGCUAACAAGAAAAAGCUAGAUCAUAUUCCACAAAAGCAAAAGUGACAAACACAACCAGCUGGAAUCUUUUAUAAAACUACAAAUUAAAAUGGAUUUUUUUUUUGAUAAAUUACACAUGAAAGUGGAUUCUUUUGAAUAUAAGUGGAGUAGGCUCUUUUAUUUUAUUUUUGAAUAUUGUAUAACGGGACUGUAGACUCUUUUAUUAAACUACAAAUUGUAUAGUCUUUUUAAAAUUGUUAUAAAUUAAUGGCCCCCACAAUCCUCAACAAUUGUACCGAUAUUCACAAGUUGGUGGCCCCUACAAUUCUGUUCCGAUAAUUUAACUGUGCAAGUGCUCAUUCACAAUCUUCCAGGUCAUGCUCUCAAUAAUUGUUUUUUUUUCCUGCAUUCCCUUUGGGAAAUUUACGAAAAUAAUCAUUAAUAUUUUAUUAUUUUUACAAUUAACCGUCUUAAUUUUUUUCUAUCAACAUUAGCCAAAUACAAGUCUUUCUUCCCAAAUUACCCUUCUUUACAGAACAAAACCAACAUUGUUUCUCCCAUAUCGCCAAACCAAAAGCAGCUUUUUAUUCUUAAAUCAUCAGCCAACGGCGACCGCAAAAGACAACGGUAAAAGUGAUAUCCGAUCAUAAUCUAUCCGGAUCCAACACAAAUCUACAUCACUCAGUGGUAUGAAUUAUUUUUUGAACUUACUGAACUCAGUCGGGUGAAUCUGAGUCUGGCGACAGGCUGCCUGUCGCAGUAAAACUUGGUGCGACAGGCAACCUGUCGUACCAAACCUUGGUGCGACGGGCACCCUUGGAGAUUUAUUAAAAAUGUAUUAUUUUAAUAGGACUCAAAUAAUUUUUUUUUAUAAUUUCAGGCUUAAUGGAUUCAGUUGUACUUGAAUUGUGUUACGAUGGUUGGUGGGAGACAUUAGAGAAUGGCUGUAUGGAGUACGUGAAUGGUAAAAAUCGAGCUUUUUUGGUUGGAAAAAAUUACUUGUUUGAUCAGUUAUUGGCAAGAGUAUACGAGGUAUUAAAAAUAAACCCUAAUGACUAUAGUAUCACAAUGAAGACAACUUUGAGGUCUAGUAACACAUUAUAUCGUAUAUGUGCAAUGCCCAUGGAUAUAUGUGAUGAUGAAAUGGUGAGGGUUGUGUUGCAUAUGGCAUCUGACGUAGCUAAUUUUGGAUGCAUUCCUAUAUUCGUGACCACAUCACCUCGACUUCCGAGCGAAGGUAUUGAGCCACAUGUCGAUAUAGAAACUUCGUUUAGAGCAAAUAUGUCUGGCCCCGAUAAUGAUGAAGAGGUGUUGCCAAGGACAAUAUCGCUGCAGCAAUAUUACUCUCCAAUCCACGACAAUUAUGAUAACAUUGAUGAUAAUAGCGUUACGUUACAGGAUGUUGGAGCAACGGUAUUUCCAAUAACAACGUCGUUGGAGCAACGAUAUUCUCCGUAUCACAACAAUGAUUUUCGGGACAAUGAUGAUUUUCAUAAUGAGACAGAGGAGGAUAAUGUUUGUGCAGAACCUUCUAAUAAUACGAGGCGGGGCACUCGUUUCAAUAAUGAUGGUGAUGAUGGAGGAGUCGGUCAUUCGAAUGUUCCGUCGUUUCAGCAUGAGGAUGAGUGUGAAGACAAUACUCCUGUGAAUAACAGAGGCAAUAGACCUAUUCCUUCUAUGGUUCGAUCGAGAAGGAGAAUUGACCCCCUUACAAGUCUUGCUCCAACUUUACCUUCGAACAUGGUUGCUCCAAGCUUUGUUAGCAGUUGUGACUCAGAUGAUAUCAGCGUGGGUAAGCUAUUUGUUGAGAAGAAUGAGCUUAUAUUACAACUACGCAAGGUGGCCUUUAGAGAUAAGUUUGAUUUCAAGAUUGCACGGUCUACUACGACACGUUUCGAGGCUCACUGUUGUUCAGAAUCAUGUAAAUGGCAUAUUCGAGCAACUAGAAGUUCGAACGAGCAAAAUGUUCCUUGGGUGGUGAAGAGAAUUGAUAAUGUACACACUUGUCAUAAUGAGGUAUUGAUUGAUGGACGUCAUCAAGUAAGGAGCCGGGUUGUCGGUCAUAUUAUCGCAGAAAAAUAUAUUCAAGAUAAGAGGAUUUAUACUCCCAAUGACAUAAGAGCAGAUAUGCAACAGGAAUACGGUGUUCAGUUAACAUACCAGCAGGCAUAUAGGGCGAGAGAAGUUGGUCUUGAAAUAGUUCACGGCAACCCUGCAGAGUCAUACAACUUGCUCCCUAAAUACUCUCACGUACUAACUACAACGAAUGAGGGUACAGUCACUCACCUCGAGCAGGAUGGAGAUGGUAAUUUCUUGUACUAUUUUGUAGCACUCGGAUAUUCCAUCAAGGGGUUUAUGCAGUACAUUCGGCCUGUCAUUGCUGUAGAUGGUACUCAUCUAAAGAGAUUAUAUCGUGGAAGCAUGUUCGUGGCAACAUGUCUUGAUGGUAACAAUCAAUUGUAUCCGUUAGCCAUUGGGAUCAUGGAUUCAGAAAAUAAUGAUGCUUGGGAAUGGUUUAUGAUGAAGUUACACGGAGUGAUUGGUGAUAGACCUGAGUUGGUAAUUAUCUCUGAUCGAUGCACUGCCAUAAGGAGAGCCGUUCUUAAAGUAUUUCACAAUGCAACUCAUGGCGUUUGUUUUUACCACGUCAAAGGUAACAUUAAGUCACAAUUUAGAAUGUCCAAAGCUCUUUGGGAUGAAUUUGAGCAUGCCUUUAUUAAUGCAGCAAAAGCAUAUGGCCACGAGGAAUUUAAGAGACAACUUGAAGGGUUGUGGAUGAUCCACUCGGGUGCGGCUGAUUACUUAGAAAAUAAUGUCGGCACGUGUAAUUGGGCAAGGUCUCAGUUUCAAGGUAGGAGGUACAACAUUCUUACCACCAACAUCGCGGAGAGUGUUAAUGCUUUCAUGAGGGAACCUCGAAAAUUUCCUGUUACUCAUCUUGUUGAUCACUUCAGGAAAACAUUGCAGCAAUUGUUUUAUGAUAGAAAAAUUGUGGCUGAAUCAAUGACUACUCGGCUAACAACAUGGGCGGAUGAAAUAGUCACUGAGAGGAGAACUAUAGCUGAAAGAAUGAUAGUUCGGCCGGUGUCUCCGCAUCGCUUUCAAGUUAUAGGCGGUGGGCUUAAGGAAGGGUUGGUUGACUUGCAAAAGAGAACUUGCUCCUGCAGAGUGUUUCAGCUUGAUCAGCAUGUGUGUGCUCAUGCAAUUGCGGCGUGUCUAACACACCGGGUGGAUUUUAUUAACCUUUGCUCGGACUUUUACACUACAGAAUCGUUGGCGAUGGCUUAUGCACAACCAGUGGAGCCAGUUGGUGAUGUGGCUGAUUGGGAAGUUCCAGAUGAAAUUCAGGAGAUGCAGGUAUACCCACCAGUUGAGGCACCACUACCUGGCCGUCGUAAAGAGCUCAGAAUACCCUCGACUGGCGAGGACGUUGACCGGCGGACUGUAAGAUGCGGCCGGUGUCAUGAACUAGGCCAUAAUCGUAAGCGAUGUAAGAAUCCUAUUGCGUCGACUCGAAGUUAGUUGUAUUUUGUGUGUUAUUCGUUGGUUAAAACUAUUAUUGUUUUUGUGUUACAUUGGUUAAAACUGUUAUUGUUUUUUGUAUUUCGUUGGUUAAAACUGUUAUUGUUUUUUGUGUAUUGUACACUUAUAUUCAUAAAACUUUAUUUUAUUUUAAAGUUCAAAAUGUGAGGCAUUAAAAUUAUAUAAACUUAAGUGCGGAAAUUAAAAAAAAUGCAAAUUUCAACAUUGAAAUUACUACAUAGGUCUACAAUAUAAUAUCGUCAUUAAAUAUAUCAACCGCAAUCUUCUUUCUAAAGUACUCGACAUGACUAGCGUUAAACUCCAAUCUAAGCCCGAACAUUAAAUACAUCGUAACCAUCAAUACAAAAACACUGCAAUCGCUAGUUCCGGGCUCUUGUUGUGGUGCGCUCUUAACUGCGAUAACUUUCCACGGGUCUUCACUCCGCAACUCAGGUCGGAUAUUGUAGAAGCCAACAUAUUCCAACCAUCGAGGGAAUAUAACUUCAAGUGGCUUGAAUUUCAACUUGUACUUUUUGUCGUCGCGAAAUGUGAGUAAUGAGUCAUAAAUCCAGACUUUAUUUUUCCGAAAGUCAACUCGUGCUAGUACCCAAUGCGCGCCGUCCAAGUUAACAGGGAUGAGUAACUGCAUAUAAAAAUUAAAAAAACAUGUUCGUUAUAUAUGAAAUUGAAAUACAACAAAGAAAAAGCAACAACUCGAAUAUUUUCAUUAUAGAGCAUGUGAAAUGUAAUAAAAUACACACCAUAUCGACAUCCGUCAUUAAUUUUGACAUUGUGUGCUGUCGCCCACAAAGAUAACUAUUCAAGCGGUCGUCGAAUACCAUUGAAUCAACUGCACAAUUCCUGUUAUUCCAUAACUGAUUCAAGAACACCUAGUACAUAGAUAACCAAGAAAUGCAUAAAUUAAUAAAACUUAAAGGCAAUAAUUAAACAAAUUAAAUAGUAUUUAUAAGUUUUGUCGGCACGUUACCCAAAAAAAUGUGUCAGUAUGUGUGACACGUUGGAGUAAGGCAUUUGGAUACUGCCGUUGUUUCUCGCUAAUCAAGCGGAGAUACUCGUGAAUAUGCUGUAGAGAAACAAAAAUAUUACGAUUUAAAAAAAAAUUAUACACAAAUCCACAACAGUAUACACCACGAGGAAAAUAUAAAUACCUCAUCGCCUAGCCAUCCCAUCGAAGCUGUCCCCAAAAUUAUUUGAAAGAAUGACCGCAGGUGCUGGACUCUCCGGCGGACUCUGCUAUCACCAGUGAACCAUCGAUCAAACUCAGCAAACAAACUAGAGUCCUCCAAUCCUCUCAGUGGAUUUACAUCCACACUCGUACUCAUGUCAAUCGCAUGCUCCAUCAUUUGGGGUCGAGGUAACCUCCGGACGUUCUGUCCACGCCUGACCGGAGGAAUCAUGUAAGGACUGUUAUAAACAUACGACGGUAUGUACGCGCGGCCGAACUUACUAACGCCCGGAGGCACCUCUGUGAACACCUGCAUGCUCUCCCCACUAACAUCCCCGUAUAAACUAUAAAAUGACGUGGGCGUAGACAAAUUUUCAUUGCCCACGUCAGUAUACACUCCAUAGUCAUCCGGGGCCUGUACAUUCGCCAAAAAGAACAUAUUAAAUAAUUAUCAAAUUAAAAGUUAAACGAACAUAAUUAUUUAAUUUAAAUUAGCUUACCGCAUACGAGCGUGCAGUGGGAGAAUCCUUAUUUGGAUGUUUAGAAAAUGUGUCGAUGAAGCCAACAACGGUUUCUUUAAAAUCUUUUAAUUCUGACUUUAUUUCAUACACAUUACGAUCAAUCUUAUCCAGCCGUCGUCGUACGUAAUCAUUAAACUGCUUUGUCCUCGACUAUUACAAAAGAAAAAAAUAAAACUUUAGAAUAACAAUAAAAAAAUAAUAAUUUAUAAAGGAAAAAUAUCGUAUAUUAUUUAUAACCUCAGAAUCCCGUGCGUCAUCAGAGUUGUCUGUUUGCUGCUGGUGGUCAUCAACAGCCACCUCAUCCUCAAAAGUGUCAAGACGCUGCUCUGGUAUUGGGUUUAGUAUGUCGUCAUGAUCAUCAUGCUCGUCCGAUUGUCUUGUAACCGACGGCAUCGCGUUGAUUGAGGGUUGGUGCUGUAUAAAGUAUCAUUUAAAAUUACUAAAUGAAAAGUCAAAAAUUUCGAUAAAAAAAUUUUUAGUACUUACAGUAUACCGACCUUAUGAAUCCAAUCUGGAAUGCUUGGCAAGUAAUCCUUCACAGAGAGUCAAUAUUUUCUGCUACUCUCUUUUGAAUUUGGCUCAAGAGUUUGUAAAAUGUCCGUCUGCCAUAAAUUCAAUUGAAAAAUUUAAGUAAGUAUACCCAACUUAAAUUUAGUAAAGUUAAAAAAUAAGUAAUACAUAUUACUUACAAGACGAGAUUCGUCGUUGAAGAACGAAUAAACCUCCGCAAAGUUGAUUCUCGAAGACGUCAUGGGCUUCCAUUGCAGAAUGCGGGGAAUCUUACUCUUCGUUUUGACGACCCAUGUUGAUGGCAACCCUCCGAUUGCUUCGUAAAUCCAAGCCUACAACAAACCAAAGUGAAAAAUCAAAUAAAACAACUAUCAAAUAUUUAAUACUAUAAAACUUAUUAAUAAACAAAAAAAAGCACCUGCACCCCAGACGUAAAGCCGUAAAGAUUAUAUUUUUCAAUAUUAUGAUCUGAAUUUUUCAACCGAGUCUUCUUAAAUUUCUCGUCUUUCUCGAACAGUGCAUUGUCAAGACUCUCGUAAAUCAUUUCCCACGACAAUAGACCCCAUGGCGCUUUCGGAAGUACUGUAUAUCAUCAACUUGGUCAAGCCAAUCGAAAUUAAUUUGACAGUGAUUUUUUCUUGCAUUUAGUACUCUGUCCGCAAAAUAAAACAGCGCAAUCUUUAAUGCGUCCAUAUCGUCCAUUUCCUCGAAAUUCAACUCCUUAAAUACUGCAUCAAAUUGCUUCACAUUAAUCUUACGAUGCACACCACCAAAAUACGUAUUCCGUAGCCUCUGCUCCAUUUCAUCAUUUUUUUCAUUGGUAUCAACACCAAAUGAAAGUCCAGUAACCAAGCACCAUUCGAUAAUUGACAAGCGAAUCAAAUGCUUACCAAUUUGAAACCAUAACUGAUCCUCACAGCUAUCUUCUUCAUGGGCCACUUGCCGCAGUAAACGAUUGUGCAAAAUUACCCCACUAAAUGGAAAACUUCGGCACUCCAAGAAAUGCCCAAAUAUAUCCUUUUUGAACAUACUCAACUGCCGCUUUGUUAAUUUUUCCUCGAUGGCUUUUACGACCGAAGAUAACAUACACAUGCUCGAAAUUCGACCAGGAAAGUGAUCAGCAUAACGAAAAUACAUCUUGCCUACUUCAAUAUCCGGUGAUUCUGAUUUCGCCAUGUAUCUGUAAUAUUUAUAAAAUUAUUACAUUACAUUUACAAAAUUAUUACCAAACUCUAAUUUUUUGGUGCGACAGGCGCCUGUCGCUCCAAAAAACUGCCUGUCGCACCACAGCUGGUGCUCCAAAAUCGAAAACAAUACUCCCAAACACUACCAACUACCACAAACAUCAUCACCACCACUAUUAAUCUCAAGCUAUAACUAUUAUUAUUCUAAAAUCUCAUUUUAAAUUAAUGAAAAUAAGAAAAAUGACUAACCUAGGUUUUGUUGAAGGUUGUAGAUCGUAGAUCGGAUGCCGGUGAGAGAUGGAGCCGCCGCCGACGAGGGUUGAUGUCGCCGCCGAUGAUGGGAGUUGGAUCGGUUUGGGAGAGAUGAGUGAAAAAGGGAGUGUUGGGGAAGAGAUGAGGGAUGGGUAUUUUGGUCUCAAAUGUUGUUUUAUGGCUAAUGUUGAUAGAAAUAUUUUUGGGGGGUUAAGAUGAAAAAAAACAAAUUUGUUUUGGUUAUUACUGUAAAUUUCCCAUUCCCUUUCAUGCUCUUAAUAAUUGAAGAGCAUACUUUUCAUUUUCAAAUGUGGAGCCGCAUCUAAUGUCGCUAAUUUAAUUUGGGAUUAAAUUAGGGGACCAUUAUAUUGCAGUGUGUACUAAUUUUUGUGUUUAUCUAAACUCCUUAAGUUUAAGACAUAUUAUGGCAUAAAUAAGAAUAUAACAAUAACAAAAGAGAUGCCGGAGCAGAUCAGCAGGGUUUGAAUAUGACCUUUGGCGGUUGCUUUUUUUUUGUGAUUUUUUUCAUUUUUUCCUUCCUGUCAUUUUAUCAUUUAUUUGGCUCUGUUUCUAUUGCGGGUGUUACUGCAUGCUUACUGUUGCUUGACAAAGUUUGCUAGCUUUUUGUUUGCAGUGCUGCUAUUCACCCCGAGUCAAGCUCCGAAAAUUUAUUAAACAACGCCGUUUCGAUAGUAACAAUUUUUUUCUUUUCCCUUUGUCUGUCUCUUUCAUCUGCUGUUUCUCUAUCACUUUUCAUUUUUUAUUUCCUUACUUCCCAGCUGCCCCUAAAUUGUUAUUCUAGCAAUAUACUUUCUCAUCUUUGAAUUUUCAUCCUUGAGUACUCCCACAGCCGUAAUUUCAUCAUUAUAGACUUCACUUGGAAUGCUGUAUUUUUUCGAUUCUUAAGCUACUUCAAUUACAUCUCCCAGUAUAGGAUCCUCAUCUUCCUUUAUUUCUUCAUCUUAUGAGGUAACAAAUGGAUUUCACAACUCAUCUACUUUUAAGCAAUUACAUAUUAUACCUUGAAUGAUUCAACUGUUCCGACAGUUAAAGAUUUUAUGCUCAACCUGCAGUGCUACGAACAUUGUCCAUGAAAGAUGAGUUUCAGCAUAUAAAAUGAAAUAUAGAUGUUUAAUCUAAAAUAACCCUUCACUGCCAAGAAACCUAGGUCACAAAAUUCACAGAUAAUGAUAAAGAGCUAAAAAAUUUGAAAAACUCUACAGAUCACACAUCAAGCAAGAUAUCAUGUUUUUUUCCCUCAUUCGGUGGUGAUUGAUUCGCUUUUUGAUGAUGGAUAUGGUAUAAAAGUUUUGACCCAAUUUCAAGCAAACACAAAUAGAAACACAAAUAGAAACACAAACACAAUCAGGACUAGAGUUGUGGGCGAUUAUCUUAGGUGUACAAGUGAAACGGUGGUGGCUGUCGAUGGUGGUAGUGGGGUGGUUGGGUAUGCGUGAUGGCUAGAUUUUAGGACAAUAAUGGUUGGAGUUGACCUCGAUCAACGAAGGAAAGUGACAACAAUUUUGACAUCAAACGGUGCAUUUUUUAGCUUAGUAAAAUGGAGCCGUUUCGAAUUUGGGGUUUAAUCCGGGGUUUGACUCGGCGCAAGUAUCAUUUUCCUUUUGUUUAUUAAAUUUUUUAUGGUCACAAAGUAUUACUCGUUCUAUUUGAGAGUGAUGUGAAUCAAUUUUUCAAUUUUAUAUUUUGUGGUCAAUGUGAAUUUAAUUUCAUUUGUCUCCUGCAAUUAUGAAAAAAUUGCAGUCAUAAUAUGGAAAAGUACACCGGCAAAAACUUUGUAAAAGCUUCGGAGUGAUACGGGGAAUUUACUUACUACUGAGGACAAUUGGUGGCAAAGCUAUUCCAUUCAUUUUAUGUCCAUCCAUCUAUUUAGCUAUUGAAGAUUAGUGGUCCAUUUGUAAAUUUCAGAUUGUCUCUCUCUCUCUCUCCCACUUGAAAUAACAAUAUUUAAUAUAUCUCUUAAAUUAUUAUAAAUUUUAAUUUACUCUCGAUUUAAAAUGGAGCAUGUCGAUAAAAAAUUUUUCUUCUUAAUAAAAUUGACGUAAGUUGUGUGUUACAGUAGUUUGAAGUUUGAAAUAUUUUAAAGAUUAUUAUUCUAUAAGGGAGUAAUAUGAAAUGAUAUUUACUUUUCAUGUGUGAAAUGAAAAAGGACGAAGCAAGUGUCCCUGCUUUUAUUUUAUUUCAAGGAGGAGUCAUCUCACAUACUUUAGCUCUUAACAUUACAUUUUUUCUGGUUACAUUUUUUAUUUAUUUAUUUUUUUUUUUUUACACAUGCGUGUGGGUUGCUUUUCUGUAAGCUCCUUAAUAUAUAUUUAAGACAAAUCAUGGAAGAGAUGGGAUUAUAUCAAGAUGAUCAAAGCAUGUAAAAAAAGAAAAAAGAAAAAAAAAAAUUAAGAAGUAAGACACUGAAAAUGGAGAAGAGAUGGAAGCAAAAGAUAUUCCAAAACAAAGCAAUCUAUCCCCUUUCGAGGGCAGACUUAUCAGGUUUAAAAAAGUACAUGCUUUGGAUUGGUAGUUGCAAUCAAGGGAAAAUAAAUAGGAUCCAAUGAAAUUUAAAUCUCGGAGAAAAUAAAUAAUCAUGCAGAUUUUCAAGAUUUUAAUAAGGGAUACUAAUAUCUUAUUUUGAUUAAUAACAUUCUUUUAUUGUGUUAACUCAAAAAAAAUAUUAUAAUGCUUUACAAUAAAUACAAAUGUCCUAUUAAAUGAAUAUAUAAAAAAUUUAGAAAAUUUAGAAUAUUAUAUAAAAUAAUUUUAAUAUAAUGCGUGAGAUAUAUUUUAUUAAUUUAAAAUGUCAUUUUACCUAAAAAAUAUGAUAAAUUAAUAAUUACAUAUUUGAAGUUAUUUCAAAUAUUACUUAAUUGUUUUUACUUUAAACAUUACCGGCCUUUCUUUUAUUUUAUUGCAAAUUAAUGCUAACAAGAAAAAGCUAGAUCAUAUUCCACAAAAGCAAAAGUGACAAACACAACCAGCUGGAAUCUUUUAUAAAACUACAAAUUAAAAUGGAGUUUUUUUAAAAAAAUUGUUAUAAAUUGGUGGCCCCUACAAUCCUCAAUAAUUGCACCGAUAUUCACAAGUUGGUGGCCCCUACAAUUCUGUUCCGAUAAUAAUUGUUUUUAUUUUUCUGCAUUCCCUUUCAUGCUCUUAAUAAUUGAAGAGCAUACUUUUCAAAUGUGGAGCCACAGCUAAUGUCGCUAAUUUAAUUUGGGAUUAAAUUAGGGGACCAUUAUAUUACAGUGUGCACUAAUUUUUGUGUUUAUCUAAACUCCUUAAAUUUAAGAUAUAUUAUGGCAUAAAUAAGAAUAUAACAAUAACAAAAGAGUAAAAAAGUGUAGAGAAGAUCUUGCAGAAAUAUAAAUAAUAUCUAUUUUAAAAUAAUUUUUAAUAUUUUAUGAUCCAUUAGAUAUAUUUAUUAUAUUAAAGUAAAUUUUAUAAUAAAUAAAAACAUACUAUUAAAAUGAAUAUAUAGAAAAUUUAGAGUAUUUUAAAUAUUAUAUAAAAAAUUUUUAAUAAAAUAUGUGAGAUAUUCAUAUUUUAUUAAUUUAAAAUACCAUUUAACCUAAAGAUUUAUUUAUGAUAAAUUAAUAAUUAUAUUUUUGAAAUUACUUCAAAUAUUAAAAAAUUAAUAUUACUAAUCUGUUAGAUAGAUUAAAUUAUAUAUAUUAUUUUCUAUUUAUUAAAAAAUUAAAAUUAUUUUUAAUUACUAUUCAAAAAAUAUAAUGAAAAAACAUAAUGAUAAAAAAAUCUUAACAUCUUUAUUAAAAAAUUAAAAACUUAUAUGAUAAAUUCUCUAAAUAUUUACGGUAUAUGUGAACCACGGUGGAUAAGCUUUAUUUAAUAUUAUUGAUUUAAAUAAUAUGUCAAUUAAAAAUGUACAGAGAAGAAAUUUCGGUGGGUAUUUUAGUCUUUUAAGCAAUUAUCAUGAUCAGAUCAGCCUUUAGCCUUCAAACGUCGGUCAGAAAAGUUUUAAAAUUAAUGCUAAAUUGUUUUUCACUUUUAACGUUGGUGGCCUUGAAAUUGCUUGUAUUUUAUUAAAAAUUAAUGCUAACAAGAAAAAGCUAGGUCAUAUUCCACAAAAUCAAAAGUGACAAAACAACCAGCUGGUUUCUUUUACUAAACUACAAAUUAAAAUAAAUUUUUUCGAUAAAUUACAAAUUAAAGUGGAUUCUUUUGAAUACAAAUGGGACAGACGAUUAGGCUCUUUUUAUUAGAGGCAAGUAAAAACUAGUCAAGAAUCGAACAGUCUUUUUCCAAUUCUUGUUUUAUUAUUUUUCAAAACUAGUUUUUGGUAAUUACAACCGGGUCAUUAAUCAUUAUUCAGAGUUACUGUUAUCUUCGGGGGCAGUGGGUAAAAGAUAAUUACUAACUGUUUUUCCUUCAAAAGUUAGCGGCUCAUGUUUGCAAGUGUGAAUGUGCGAUGCUCUUUUCUUAAAGGCCAUUACAGUGGGGCCCGAAUCAGACGUGCCUAAAUCUUUUUAAAAUUUUUGCCGUAUAACGAACAGAGGUCAUUACUAAAAUUUCUCUUCCACAGCCUACAGCAGCUUCAGUUUAUCAAACUCCAUCAAUUUUCUUUCUUAACAAAAUUCCAAAGAUGUGUAGCAUUUUUCAGAUCACAUGCGAUGGUGCUCUUUUCAAUCGUUGCUUGGAUUGCUUUCUUGGAAAAGCAGCAUACAUACGUAACCUCCAAGAUAAUCUUGUAGCCUUGGAGACUGAACUGGGAAGACUAAUCGCAGCAAAGAACGAUGUGAUGAUGAGGGUUGUCAAUGCUGAACGGCAACAAAUGAGAAGGCUGGACGGAGUGCAAGUGUGGGUUUCGAGGGUGGAUUCUGUUAAAACUGGAGCCGACGAACUUAUCACAGACGGCUCUGAAGAAAUUGGCAAAUUAUGUGUUGGAGGCUACUGUUCCAAGAACUGCAGGUCAAGCUACAAAUCGAAAACAAGUGGCUAGAAAGCUACGACAUGUGAAGACUUUAAUCGCCGAGGGAGUUUUUGAGGCGGUGGCCACUGAGGUGGUGCCCGAGAGAGCUCCGGAACCUGUAGCAGAUAAAAGACCCACUGAGCCAACAAUAGUAGGCUUGCAAUCACAGCUUGAACAAGUUUGGAGAUGUCUUGUAGAAGAAUCAGUGGGAAUCAUUGGCCUAUAUGGUAUGGGCGGUGUUGGUAAAACCACACUAUUGACCCAUAUCAACAAUAAAUUUCUUGAGAGUCCCACAAACUUUGAUUGUGUGAUUUGGGUCGUAGUUUCAAAAGAC